rnacentral:lncRNA from 1 species
UAUCAAGAGAUGCUAAAAGAAACUUUUCUUUCACUAAACCUUACCAACUUGUUUGGAACUGAGGCAUAGUUAUUGUUAUAUCUAAAACUCGGAGACUACUGUACGAUCAAAGUAGCAACCAGUAGGUCCUCCAUCAGGCAAAAGAGCUAGCAUGACAGGUCCUUCAGCUCCUUCCUCAACAGGCAUUGUUCCUGUAUGCCAGGUUAUAUCUGUGUUGACGAAACCAGGAUGGACACAAUUAAUACACAUUUUCAGGUACUUUCUUGCAAGAACUCUGGUGUAAGCAUUAAGUAAUAGUUUUGAUAUGCUAUAGACUGGUCCACUCAUCUGCCAACCGUUCACCUCGAGAGCAUCUUGUUUCAGAUCAUGCAAAAAAUUCUGCAGAAUCUCGUCGAUUUUUUCUUCUGUCAGGUUUACAAUAUCUCCGAGCUCCUUUCUCCUCUCCUCGUUUGGCAUUCGCUGUGUGAGAAGAAAAAAUCAACAAGAAAUAUGAAAUGUUCAGCAACGACGAGAAUGACUGUCUAACUCACAUUUAAAGCACCUUUACGGGAGGAGACAUUAACAAUCCUUGGUGAAGGGGAAUUUUGCAGCAAUGGAAGAAGAGCUUCAGUAACAUUCUUAACACCAUAGUAAUUAGUGUCCAAGCAUAAUUUGGCUUGCUUGUACGUUGUUUUCAUCACAGCUUGAAUGUCAUCGAAAGUUUUCCCUGGUAACUGUUUACAAUAACAACAAUUACGUCUCAGUCUCAAACAAGUUAGGAUCGGCCAUAUAAACAAAUGCUCAAAAACUUGGCAUCAAUUGACAAGUAAGCACUUCAACUCAUCCCACUAUGUCUUGUGGACACUAUGCUGUCGUGUCACAUAAAUUUUGGAGGCGUCUAAAUGUGCAUACUCGAAGUUGAAGUGUUUACUUGCCGAUUGAGGCCAAGUUUGAGUUGUUUGUCAGAGCAAGAUCAGACCACACACAUGGACCAUCGCCUACCUCAAAGCUUAGAUAUGAGAUCGAAUCGCAAAACAAAACAAGACCUAAGCAUUGAGCAAAUUAUCUUACCCAGUCUACAAGAUCUAUGUUCAUGGCCCUUAGGACAUCUUCAUUAGGUACAACUCCAGAAGCUCCAGCAUUAUUUACCUGCAGAAAUUUAUGAAGCAACUGUCCAAUUAAUAUUUGCCUCGAGAUCUAAUGAGGAGCAAUACAUAGAUUCAUGCUCUUACCAGAAUAUCAAGCCUCCCAUAUUGUUUUUGUAUGAACUUUGCUAAGGAAUCAAUGCUCUGAGCAUUUUGAACAUCAAGCUGAUGAAACACAACAUUUGAAAAUCCUUGUUCAUUCAGCAAGGAUGUUGCUUCAGUUCCUCUCUUUUCAUCUCUGGCAGUUAAGACAACUGUUACACCUGAAUUGGCGAGCUGCUUAACAGUCUCAAAGCCAAUUCCCUUGUUUGCUCCUGUAACAACUGCAUACUUACAAGCAUCUCCCAUCACUUAAGUCCAAUGUUUCUAACCUUUUCUCCUUUAGAAUCCUUUCGGGGAGAAGAAAAAAGAACACUAUUUCAAACGAAGGUACAUAUAGACUAAUAGGACAAGAGUUUGAAAUAACAACCUCACGGAUCAGAUGAAAUGACGAAUUCAUUUCAUCUACCUAAGCCUUAAUUGACAGGAUCGAUUACCGGUAUAAAGUUGAUUAGUUGAGAUUUCCGCAGCUGCUAACCUAGACACUACUGUUAUUAAACCCAAAAAACCUCUCUCUUACCAUACUACGAGUCAGGGGUAGAACUAAUGGGACGCAAAGGGGUUCAUCCGAUCCACCCCCUCCCCGAAAAAUAGCACCAUACAUGUAUACAAAGCCAAAAUUAUUUUUUAUAUGUAAGCAUAGUAAUGUUUAAUCCCCUUGAGACAAUCAAAACCUCUCAUACCCAAUGUAGUUCCACAAAGUGGAGUUUGGGGAGGGUACGCAUACAUUACCCCUACCUCAGAGGUAGAUAGGCUAUUUCCAAAAAAAAAGUCCAAAGCAUUUCUGAAAAAGAAGUAACGGAAGUACAUAGUAAUAACAAAAACAACAGACAGUAAACAAAAUAGAAACUAGAACAAAACAAUAGGAUAUAUAAUUGAGAUCCAAGAAACAACAGAUAGUAACAAAACAGAAACUAGAACAAAAUGAUACGAUAUAUAAUUGAGAUACAAGAAAGUAACAAAACAAAAACUAGAACAAAAUGAUACGAUAUAUAAUUGAGAUACAAGAAACAACAGAUAGUAAUAAUACAAAAACUAGAACAAAACAAUACGAUAUAUAAUCGAGGUACAAGAAACAACAGAUAUUAAUAACAACAAACUACAGUAGCAAGACCUCAACUAAUUCCAACAGAGAUGUGCUACUUCUCACUAACUAACUCUGUCACCUGAAUCCAAACAAUAUAGUAAACAAUCAAAGACCAAAAAUCAGAAUCAAUUCAUUUUUGUGAAGAUUUGAAAAUAUUGAGUUACCUGCAAAACAAAUCUGUAAAUGGGUUUGGCAAUUGAAGGCCUAAUUUCUGUUCUACUAUCUACUACUGGUGUAAUUAAAUUUGAUGGAUAAAUAAAUGCAACAUGAAAUUAAAAAAAAUAACAAAAAAGGGGAGAAAAAGAAUGUUAAAAAAAAAGGAAAAUAAAUAGAUUAGUCGACUUUAGAGGCACUGUUAUAGGGACUAAAAUCGUCAUUUCCCCUUUUAUAUUAUGUUGGGAAAAGGCUCAAAUAUGCCAUCAACUUUUAGAAAAAGUUCAUUUAAGUCAUCCGUUAAAAGUUUGGCUCAUCUAUGCCAUUACCGUUUAAGAAAAGGCUCAUUCAUGCCAUUAUUUUUUAACGGUGAUUUUGUAAAACCAUUUUUUACACGUGGCCAAUUAUAAUUCGGCUACAUCAUUAUUAUUUUUUUUCAGAAUUUUGAUUUUUUAUUAUAAAAAAAAUAAUGACGUGGCCGAAUUAUAAUUGGCCACGUGUAAAAAAUGGUUUUACAAAAUCACCGUUAAAAAAUAAUGGCAUGAAUGAGCCUUUUCUUAAACGGUAAUGGCAUAGAUGAGCCAAACUUUUAACGGAUGGCAUAAAUGAGCUUUUUCUGAAAGUUCGAUGGCAUAUUUGAGCCUUUUCCCUAUUAUGUUUUCAAUUCCCAUUUUAUUUUUUGAAUCCCCCACCUGGGUGGGCCCCCUUUCCCCUAAAUACACCUUCUCCUCUUGCUUCAAUUAUUGAAUUGGGAAAAAGGAUAUUUUUGUUGUUUUUUUUGUGUGGCUAAAACAUAGUUGUACCACUAGCAAAAAAGAGAGAUAGGUGGAUAUAUUAUUUUCGUAGUUAGCAACGACAAAUUUUAGUAUGGUAGAAGCACAACCAACAAAAAUUGUGUGGGGCUCCACUUAUUCUUUGACACUUGAAUAAAGUGGGUCCAUUCUUUGACUUUAAAGCUCCAAACAUUAGAAAGAAAGAGAAAAUAAAAUUUAAAAUUGACAUGACCCAAUAAAAUUAUAUUAAAUGAUAUAAAUAAAAUGAAUUAUGGGAUCCACUAUUCUUUAAGCUCAUCAUAUCCAAAUAAAAAAUAAAAAAUCAGGACAUCAUUCUUCUCCAACUUCGAACGUUUUUCUUCUAAAUUGAAAUUUUUAUCAAAAUUAUUUCUCAAUAUUAGGAAUUGACAAAAAGAAAAUUUGCUGAAAUAUUUUUGUCAGAAAAUUUGAAUCUCUAAAUACAAAUAUAAUUAAACUUGUAUAUAUUCGAAUGAUUUUUGCAAAAAAUAUUCGAAAUGAUGUUCAUGUUUGAAUGUACUUUAAUACAAUCUCAAAAGUGAAAAGUGAGCUAAAAAUAGAUUAUUUUUAAAAAGUAAAUAAUUUUUAUGUUUAAAUGGAUCCUAAAAGUAGAAGUUAAAAAGAAAUGAAUUAGAAAGAUGAAAAUUUUAAAAUACGAUAAAUGAAAAACGGUUUAAUCCUACGAUAUGAAUACAAAUUAUAUUCGUAUUUAAAUUUGACUAUUAAUAUCUUAGGUAAUUAUUUAACCAUAAAAAAUAAAAUAUAUUUUUAUUUAUAUUAUAAAAUGGAAGGAGUAAUUGAAUUGGUUUUCAAAUAUAUUUUUUUAAAAGAAAAACUGACGAGAAAAAAAAGAAGAGAAGACCAUGAAAGAGAAACAAAAGGCAAAGAAAUAAAAAUAAAAGUAGGUCCCAUAAAUCAGAAUAUAAUUGCAAUAAAAAAUACCAUCAUACAACUAAUACAAGUUGUACCUCUUUCAUAGUAAAUUUUUUCAUUAGCAACGUGUUAUAUAUUUUUAUAGUGGAUAUAUUAUUUUCUUACUCAUUUUAGGUAUCCACAUCAAUUUUUGCACAUUUUAGGGGCGACUCCUGACAUAUUUUUCUCCAUUCCAAAUUCCACAACUCGUGCUUCUAAAUUUUAAAUAAUGGUAGAAAAAUCUCAACUAUCCCACCACAACUCAUAUCAGUUGUAUUGGAUAUACAAGUGUAGACUAAAAAAUAUAACUAUGCAAGUGCAAAUAUUUUUGAAGAGAACCAAUUAACAAGCAAAAUGCUCUAUUAAUGUAUGGUAUUUGUAUAUUUAAAUUUUGAUGUAUGUCAAUCACUACGUUAUUGAAUGUUUAUUGUUUUUGAUUAUUUUUUUGCUUUGCAGUUUUAAUUGUUGAUCUGAGAAUCUACUGAACAAUAUUAGCCUCCACUAUUGGUGGUUCAAUUUCUUCAAGAGUUAUCAUAUUACCCUUUUUUUUUCUGAAAAGACUUUUGGUUCAAUUUCUUCAAGAGUUCAAUAGAUAUACUUUCUGCAAUUUCUUGUUAGUUUGAUUUGCUAACAUGGAGAAAAGGCAUUUUGAUAUCUAUUUGAUUUUUCUCUCUUUAUUUUUCUUUUUUUGAUUUGAAAGAACAAUAAAAUGGUGAAUCCUUGUUUUCAGUUUAUCCAUUGGGACAGAGUUGUACAUGGACCUAAAUAGGGACCUUCAACAUAGAAGAAUAGAAGCAACAACAUACAAGUGGGGUGUGUAUGCGGACCUUACCACUAACUUGUAGGGUAGAAAAGUUGUUUCCGAUAGACCAUCGGCUCAUGUAAACAUAGAAAAAAUAAUACCUAGAGAAAAGGAAAAAUGGAACAGAAUCCCAUUCUUCACAAUUCUAAAACGUAUACAUGAUAUACAAUGAGCUGUUGAAAAAUGGACAAGUGCAUAAAACAAAAGUAAUGAAUCGACAUAAAGCAAAAGAUACCUUCCUCUAUUGCCUCAAUUAUUCAAUUAGUUGAAUUAUACUUUUUGAAAAGAGUAAAAAGGACAGUUUUACUAAUUACAAGCAAAAGAGAGAGAGAGAGCAAUCAUUGAUCAUUCUUGUUUGCAAAUUACUCUUAACAUUCAACAAGUAAACUAAAGCUCUUAUAAACUGAGACUAUUUGAAGAUAUAUCUUCUUAAAGAAUCAUAUUGUGUUUCCUUGUUUUGCUUUGCAGAUUUCAGAAAUGGAGAUUGGCUUAGCAGUUGGUGGUGCAUUUCUCUCUUCAGCUUUGAAUGUUCUCUUUGAUAGGCUUGCUCCUCACGGUGAUCUUCUCAACAUGUUUCAGAAGCAUACAGAUGAUGUUCAGCUCUUUGAGAAGCUGGGGGACAUUCUGCUUGGUCUUCAAAUUGUGCUAAGUGAUGCAGAGAAUAAGCAAGCAUCAAAUCAAUUUGUGAGCCAGUGGUUAAAUAAGCUUCAGACUGCUGUGGACGGUGCUGAAAACUUGAUAGAACAAGUCAAUUAUGAAGCUUUGAGACUUAAAGUGGAAGGUCAGCUUCAAAAUCUUGCAGAAACAAGCAACCAGCAAGUAAGUGACCUUAACCUGUCCUUGAGUGAUGAUUUCUUUCUUAACAUAAAUAAGAAGUUGGAAGACACUAUUAAAAAAUUGGAGGGGUUGGAAAAGCAAAUUGGUCGCCUUGGCUUAAAGGAGCAUUUUGUUUCGACUAAACAAGAAACUAGAACACCUUCAACUUCUUUGGUUGAUGAUGCUGGUAUCUUUGGAAGGCAGAAUGAAAUAGAGAAUUUGAUUGGCUGUUUAUUGUCUAAGGAUACAAAAGGAAAAAAUCUGGCUGUAGUUCCUAUUGUUGGAAUGGGUGGCCUGGGUAAGACGACACUUGCUAAAGAGGUUUACAAUGAUGAGAGAGUGCAGAAACAUUUUGGUCUGAAAGCUUGGUUUUGUGUUUCUGAGGCAUAUGAUGCUUUCAGAAUAACAAAAGGGCUACUUCAAGAAAUUGGGUCAACUGACUUGAAGGUUGAUGACAAUCUUAAUCAGCUACAAGUCAAAUUGAAGGAAAGCUUAAAGGGAAAGAAGUUUCUUAUUGUUCUGGAUGAUGUGUGGAAUGACAACUACAAUAAAUGGGAUGAAUUGAGAAAUAUUUUUGUACAAGGAGAUAUAGGAAGUAAGAUCAUUGUGACGACACGUAAAGAGAGUGUUGCCUUGAUGAUGGGAAAUGAGCAGAUUAGCAUGGACAAUUUGUCUAUUGAAGCCUCUUGGUCUUUAUUUAAAAGACAUGCAUUUGAAAACAUGGAUCCUAUGGGACAUCCGGAACUUGAAGAGGUCGGUAAACAAAUUGCAGAUAAGUGCAAAGGACUGCCUUUAGCUCUGAAGACGCUGGCUGGCAUGUUACGCUCCAAAUCAGAGGUUGAAGGGUGGAAACGUAUUCUGAGAAGUGAAAUAUGGGAGCUGCAAGACAAGGACAUAUUACCAGCGUUGAUGUUGAGCUACAAUGAUCUUCCCGCACAUUUAAAACGAUGCUUUUCCUUUAGUGCAAUAUUUCCUAAAGAUUAUCCAUUUAGGAAAGAACAAGUUAUUCAUCUGUGGAUUGCUAAUGGUCUCGUACCAAAGGACGAUGGGAUAAUUGAAGAUUUAGGCAACCAAUACUUUCAGGAGUUGAGAUCAAGAUCAUUAUUUGAAAGGGUCCCAAAUCCUUCUGAAGGGAACAUAGAGAAUUUAUUCUUAAUGCAUGAUCUUGUCAAUGAUUUAGCCCAAAUUGCAUCUUCAAAACUUUGUAUCAGGUUGGAAGAGAAGCAAGGAUCUCAUAUGUUGGAAAAAAGUCGGCACUUAUCUUAUUCCAUGGGAAAAGAUGGUGACUUUGAGAAAUUGACACCCCUCUACAAAUUGGAGCAGUUGAGGACAUUGCUUCCGACAUGUAUUGGUCUCAAUUAUUUUUACCCUCUAAGCAAGAGGGUGCAGCAUAACAUACUGCCAAGACUAAGAUCCUUAAGGGCAUUAUCAUUGUCAGGUUAUGAGAUUAAGGAGUUGCCAAAUGACUUGUUUAUCAAAUUAAAGCUCCUCAGAUUUUUGGACCUUUCUCAGACAUGGAUUAGAAAGUUGCCUGAUUCCAUUUGUGUAUUGUAUAACUUAGAGGUACUUCUCCUGUCAUCUUGUGCUUAUCUUGAGGAGCUACCGCUGCAGAUGGAGAAGUUGAUUAACUUGCGUCAUCUUGACAUAAGCAACACUUGGCGCUUGAAGACGCCCCUACAUCUGAGCAAGUUGAAAAGCCUCCAAGUGCUAAUGGGAGCCAAGUUUUUUCUUGGUGGUUUGAGAAUGGAAGAUUUGGGUGAAGCACAGAACUUGUAUGGAUCUUUAUCUGUUGUAGAGUUGCAAAAUGUGGUUGAUAGUAGGGAAGCUGUGAAGGCAAAGAUGAGGGAGAAGAAUCAUGUUGACAAGUUAUCUUUGGAGUGGAAUGGAAGUAGUAGCGCCGACAAUUCACAAACAGAAAGAGACAUACUUGAUGAGCUACGCCCGCAUAAAAACAUAAAAGGAGUCGAAAUCACUGGAUAUAGAGGGACAACAUUUCCAAAUUGGUUAGCUGAUCCUUUGUUUCUUAAGCUGGUGAAAUUGUCUCUUAGCUACUGCACGGACUGUUAUUCCUUGCCAGCACUAGGACAACUCCCUUCUUUGAAAUAUCUUUACAUUGGAGGGAUGCAUGGAAUAACAGAGGUGACAGAAGAAUUCUAUGGCAGUUUGUCCUCCAAAAAGCCUUUUAACUGUCUUGAGAAGCUUGAAUUUGAAUAUAUGCUGGAGUGGAAGCAAUGGCACGUAUUAGGAAAUGGAGAGUUCCCUACACUUGAGAACCUUUCAAUUAAAUAUUGCCCUGAACUCAGUUUGGAGACACCCAUCCAACUUUCAAGUUUAAAAAGGUUUGAAGUUAGUGGUUGUCCAAAGGUUUUUGAUGAUGCUCAACUGUUUAGAUCCCAACUUGAGGGAAUGAAGCAGUUUGAAGAAUUAGAUAUUAGGGAUUGUAACUCUGUUACCUCCUUACCUUUUAGCAUACUGCCCACUACCUUGAAGAGAAUAUACAUAGAUGGUUGCCAGAAAUUGAAAUUGGAUCCGCCAGUUGGUGAGAUGAGUAUGUUUCUGGAGGAUUUGAAACUGCAUGAAUGUGAUUGUAUAGAUGAUAUAUCACACUUACGAGCACGCUCUUUGUCUGUAUAUAAGUGCCACAACCUUACUAGGAUUUUGAUUCCUACUGUGACUGAAAGACUCCAGAUUUGGGUAUUUGAGAAUGUUGAAAAACUAUCGGUGGCAUGUGGGGGGACCCAGAUGACGUCACUGGAUAUUGGGUACUGUUCAAAGCUGAAGUGGCUGCCAGAACGUAUGCAGGAACUCCUUCCAUCUCUUAAGGUACUGCAACUGAGUAAUUGUCCAGAAAUAGAGUCCUUUCCUGAAGGAGGAUUGCCCUUCAAUUUACAAUUCCUUGAGAUCAGCGAGUGCAAGAAACUGGUGAAUGGCCGAAAGGAGUGGCAUUUACAGAGACUUCCCUGUCUCAGAGAGUUAUGGAUCUAUCAUGAUGGCAGUGACGAAGAGAUUCUUGGUGCUGAGAACUGGGAGUUGCCUUCCUCUAUUCAAACACUUAACAUAAGGAAUCUGAAAACAUUAAGCAGCAACCAUCUCAAAAGCCUCACCUCUCUUCAACAUCUUUGUAUUGAGGGUAAUUUACAUCAAAUUCAGUCAAUGCUGGAACAAGGCCAGCUUUCGCACCUCACUUCCCUUCAAAGUUUAGGAAUCGGGAAUUUCCCUAAUCUCCAAUCACUUCCUGAAUCGGCACUGCCCUCCUCCCUCUCUCAGCUGAUCAUUAAUGAGUGCUCUAAGCUCCAAUCCCUUCCAGUGAAAGGGAUGCCAUCUUCCUUCUCUAAACUAUAUAUUUACAACUGUCCAUUGCUCACACCACUACUAGAAUUUGACAAGGGGGAAUACUGGCCAGAAAUUGCUCAUAUCCCCACUAUACAGAUCGAUCGGGAAUACCUUUAAUGGUUAAAACAAAUGGUGCUCUCACAAAUGUAAGUUUUUCUUUUUCUUCAGAAGCAUUCUAUUUUUGUUUUCUUCCCUUUGCUUUUUUGUCAAUUCUUUUACUUUUUUGAAAUCUUGUUGAGCAGUGUGGUAAGUCUAUUGCUCAAAUCAUAUAUGUUCAUUGGGAAAACCUGUAAUGAUUAAAACGAGUGCUGCUCUGAUAGAUGUAAGUUAUUCUAUUUCCUUAAUAUAUUUUGAUUGUUUGUUAAUUCUUUUUGACAAGUGUGUACCAUCUAUUGCUUCUUUGAAGUCGACGAAAUAUCUUUAGAUCAGGAUGAAAUCUUUAUAUUUGUAAAAGAAAUCUAGUAUAGGUAGGAAUUGAGAUAAUUUGCUCAAGAAAAUUGAUUGCUUAAUAUAUGUUAGGGUCUAAGAAAUGCAACCUCACUCUUCUCAAUCAGGUAGCCAAGACCUUGAUAAGAGUUACAUCAAGCUUCAAAUUUCAAGAAAGUGUAAACGACUUUGAAUGCCUGCUGCCAUUUUUUAUGCCAUGUUGUACCACAUUGGUUUCAAGUUUGAUGCGACUGCAUUAUUACAUCAGUUUUUUUUUUUUCAUAUUCAAAGAUCCAGAAUAUUACAUCAGUUUUUUGGUUUUGAUAUGCAGAGAACUUCUAGGAUCAUGAAGUUUCCUCCAAAUUAUGUCCAUUACUCAACCUUGAGUGACACCUCAGAGCUAGUGAAAGUCAAAGAAGUAUAUACUGCUCGUGAUGAAUUCAAGGUUAGAUAACAAAAUAAUGAUUUACUGGUGUUUCAGUUACCAAGAUACUUAUUUUGUAGUAAUAGUUUGCACUCUCAUAAAUCAGCAAAAUAGAUUUCCUUCAUUGGCACCCUCAUCAGUCAUCUGUCUGCGAAACAGAGAAAUCAACGGUUUCAAAAUUCUCUAGAACCCAUUUUCAUGAGCUUCAAGCCUUCAAUUCUGAUGACACAAAAGACAUCAACAGAGUAGAAGAAUUCAACCCAAGUUUUCAAUUCCUGCUUCACCUGAUGGGAAAGGUACAAAUAUUUUUUUCUUCUCCCUUUCUUACUGCGGCGCUAAAUUGGUUUUGCCCCACUUUGUAUCACAAUGGUGUUGGAGUAUAUCGGUUUUCUACUGGUAUUCAGAUACUUAAAAUGGAAAAUUGCUUUUGAAAAUAUCGUUUUCAUUGUUCGAAUGUUGUUUAAAUCAUCUGCUGAUCCAAAAUUUUUAUUUUUCUUGAUCUUCUUCUAUCUUUAGUUUUACAUGUCUUCUGAUUGAGUUAUAAUACAUGUCUUGAUUCUAUAGAAGAUGAGAAAUUGUCAAAUGCCUUUAUGAAGUGUUUGCUAAGUUGAUGUCGCCUAAUUCACAUUUCACUGAAUUAAUUUUCUGACCCAAGUUUAUGCAUAUGUUUGCUCUAACGUUGAAAAGGAAAAACGACCAAUGAUAUGUUAAGAAUUCAUCACCAACUUAAUUCUUUACUUAAGAUAAAUCAAGAAAAAUCUAGAAUAUUCCGGAGGUGUAGAGAAUUGAAGAAAGAUCUCUAGAAUGAGUAUUCUAGAAAGAAUAGUCUAGAAAUGUUCUAGAAAGAAUAGUUCUAGAAAAAGAUAGUUAGGAAUAUUCUAGAAUAGAGUAGUAUGUAUCUCUCUAGAUUCUUCCAUCACCACCUAUAAAUAGAGGUGGUCCAUUUGAGUUGUAAGCAACCAAUCAAGAAAGAAAGCAAGAAACAAAGUAAGAGAGAAAACAAGAGUGAGUGCUAAGUCAAGAGUGUUGCUGAAGCAAGCAACAAGUGUGAUCAAGAUUGUAAGACCGAAGCGGGUCCUUACUUUGAUAUAAUAAAAUUCAAGUUGUGAGAAAUCGAUUGUGCCCGUCGUCUCCAAACCAAUAAUAUUCAACAUGAUAUGAAUAUUUUCUUUUUUUAAGAAUACAAAGUCGUGAUAAGAUAGAAAAUUUCGAUGGUAUUAAUUUCGACAUGGAUCACCGUUAAGUACUUUGCUUGAGGUAUAAAUUUCUUUUUUCCCUGUUUAGAAAUGUUUCCUGUAGCUCCUAAUUGUGAUGCUUCUUCAUUUACACAUUUUUAAAAUUUCAUCUUAUAACAGCUAUAAAGUGUGUCCGAGUCAAUUAAAUAUUACAGACUUGGCUCUUCUUUGUUUAAUUCACUUUCUUCAAUUCGACCAGAAAUAUUCCUCUAAAGGCAUGUCAAUUUUAUUAUUUUACACGAUUUCUGUUUGUGUUACUUUUUCGAUUUCUAAUUUGUUUUAUGAAUGUUUUUUACAGUUUCAUUUUCGAUGCUUCCAAGUUUCAGCAGUCCUGAUUCCUAAAGUUUUCCGGGUGAGCAUAGUUGUGAGUUGCAAGUUUUGCAAUUCAAUUUCUGUAUUAUGAAUCAUUGAUGGACUAUGAUGAAAUUUACUUUUCUUCGUAGAAAAAAUAUCAAAGAAUUAUACUACUAUACUAAUCAGGUUUGUUAAUAUUGAUGCUGCUGAUAUUUAUAAUCACUUGGCUAUUAUGAAAUACUAGUUCUGAGAACGUGCACGCUUGACUUUUAUUAUUAUAUAAAAUUUAUAUAGGCCUAACUUAUGUAUAGAAACAUGUGUAAUAUCAACCCAAUUAACUUUAAAAAACAAUAAAAUAUACAUGUCAUCAUAUGCAUACAAAAUGAAAAAGUGUUAAACAAAGCAAUAUAUUGAUCUGAAAAAGAAAGAAUAAUUGACAAACUAAAAUUUUCAUAAGAAAGUCUAGUGGACUAACAUUUUAUGUCCAAUUUAUAAAGGAAGAAACUAUGUAUGCCGUGAUAGAAUUAUCAGCAGCCCAAGAAUAAUUCAUAAUCAAGCAUAAUAAUAAGUUAAUAGAUGGUUAAGAGAGCCGACAUAUGAGAAAUAUCAAUGAAACCCUUACCAGUCAUAUUGAAGAUGAAUUUAGAAGAAGAGGAGGAGGGGGAGAACAUCAAUGGAUCUAGUCUAGCAUGAUUCACUCAUCUGGCUAUUUAUAAAAUUCUGAAAGCUUACUAUUAGAAGUUGAAAAGAACUUUAAAACAUUGAAUUGAUAUGGGAAAAUAAGUCAAUCUAGAGUAUUGAAAUAAGUGGCAGUACCAAGGAAAUUAAUUCAUCCGUAUGUAAACUCAAAUACAUAUUAAUUAUAUUAUUGUAAAACUUAAUAUGAUAUUCUUAAUUAAUGAUAGAAUAUUUAAUAAAUUAGAUAUUUUAUAACAUUUUAAUUUAAUAUAGGGGGAAAACAACAAUUUAACUUUUUCCUAAAUUUCUUUCCACUUUUAAUAAUAUAUAUGAUGGUAUUAUUAUUAUUAUUAUUAUUAUUAUUAAUGAAAAGCUGACUUUUCAAAUUCCUCAGGCAUUUUACUAUUUCAUUAAAAAAAAUAGAUUUCUAGCAUCCCAUAAUAUUUGUAUUUAAUAUAUAAACUGACUUUUCAAAUUCUUCAGGCAUUUUACUAUUUCAAUUAAAAAAGAAAGUAGAUUUUUAGCAUCCCAUAAUAUUUAUAUUUAAUAUAUAAUAACUAAUAAUAUAUGAUUUUAAAAAAAAGUUUUUAGUAUAAGGGUAAAAUGGUAUUUCCACUUUACACUUUGGAGCUUCCCACUUUUAGUAAUAUAUGAUGAUAUAUGAUAUGAUAUGAUGAUGAUGAUAUGAUAUGAUAUAUGAUGAUAUGAUGUUGAGGAUAUUUACAAAUUUUAUAAGCUCACAAAGGUCUGGUGAAUAUCAGAUGUCUUUGUUUCGAUGCUAUUACUGUGUUAUUUUAAUGUGACAAAUAGUAGUUGUGUGACUUUAUUGUGUAGUGUAUAAAAUUCAUGCUAUUUUGAUAAUUUGGUUGAUUCAGGAUGAAUGUCGAUCGUAUGAUUACAUGGAUUCACAACUAGAUAUCAAUGUCAGGGUUAGAGCUAGAAAAUUUUCUGGAAGGUUGAACUACUUGAAAAAAAUGAAAGCUACAUUAAUGAAUACAGUUGCGAGAUCAAGAGAAACUUUUUAGAUCUGUUGUCAAUAUUCUUAGCAGUGUAACUCAUGUGCACAUUCUACAGCAAAAAGUAAGUAGAAGAACUCAAUUUUUUGCAAUGAAAUGGCACCAUUUUCUCACACUCAAAAUGACCUUAAAUUUCAUGAAUGAAACAAUAUGUAUUACUUAGCUUGAAGCCCCAUUUUCUUCCUUGUUUUCCCAACGUAUAAAUCCUUAGACUUGCUCAUCUCAGGGACUAAUCCAAUGAUCGUCGUGAACGAAAAUUGAGCCACUGCUUCAAAGCUCGUAUAUUGCAAGUUUGCUUUCUUUUCCUCCGCUCAUCAAAAGUUUCAAGUUCUUCACGGUCAUUAGAGCAUGUUUUUGAGCCGAAUAUCCUUGUUUAAGUUCCUGAUAGGGAAGAAGCAUUAGAAUUCAAUUGAAUAACAACAACAUACACAAUAUAAUCCUACAAGUGGAGUCUGGGAAAAGUAGAGUUUACGCAUACUUUAUCCCUACCUUGUCAAGUAAGAACUCAAUUGAAUAGCAGAAUCAAAAUUCAAGUAAUAGCUAGCUGCUUCAGGUCCUCUGGCAACUGUUAUAUUAUCAAAAUGCCUUCUAAAUUCAACAUAUAUAUUCUUUAACUGUAGUUUCUCUUGCAACAACAACAACAAAUCCUUAUGUUUCUAUGACCCUUGAUUCUAAGAUUUUUAUCAACCUUCAAUCUUCCAAAAUUAUUGAUUCGAUCCUUCAAAUAUGUCUCCCUUAACCACUCUGAACCCGGUGGCUUUCCCGUGCAAAGAAAAAUGGCUGAAUCCCGUGAAAUUACUAGUAAAUCUCGACAUCUUUGUAAAAGAGUAGAGGAGUCACGAUCAAGACAAUUGGCUGAAUCCCAUGAAAUUAACUUAAAUCUAAUAUAAAAAUAAUAUAACCUUUAACUUGGCCUCAACUCAUAUAUAUGCCCUCAAACUUUGGAUGUGCGCAGGUAGACACUUAAAUUUGUAUAAAGUUAAAUAAAUAGACACAAACGUCCUAAGUGACAUCUUACAUGACAAUUUUCAUCUUACGUGGUGUCCUGUGUGUAUUAUGUCACGUAAGACUCAUGUGUCUAUUUGUUCAAUUUUAUACAAGUUAAACUGUCUACUUGUGCAUACCAAAGUUGGAGGACAUAAAUGUGAAAUGAAGUCAAGUUAAAAGCCAUAUUAUUCAAAAUUCAAAUUUCAUAGGGUUUGAAGUUUCAAUUCCAUUGAUGGAUAACGUUACAAUUUUAGUGCAACACAAUGGAACUUGAGAUUCAAACAACCACUAUGACCAAAGAACAAAAAAAACGGCUAACCGAGAGUCCUUGCCCGACUAAAAGAAAAGGUUUGUUGGUAGAAUGGGGGUAGGCCGACAAUUUUUCCGGAUAGAUCGAACUAUUGAAAAAAAAUAAAAAAGAAAGACCGAGUGUUAUCACAUUGAUGCAAUUCUAGUCAAUUCCACUUCCAAUUCAUAGAUCUAGUCACAAAUUUACCUUUUUAUCCUUGGCGGAAUGUAAUGGAUGGUUCUAGAUAUAUGAAGAAAAUGUUUUUAUUAGUGUAAAUUUACUUCUUUACCUUGGUCUUUCUUUGUCUUCACAUUUCUGUAUAGUAGAAAAGAAAAAUACAAGAGGGCAUUUCUAGAUAAUUCAACAUCUAAAAUCAUCCAAACAAUGAUCUACCUGGUGUCAACUAUUAGCGAGUUUUAAUUAUUAUUUUUUCUUGAUCGGAUUUUGGUAACAAUAGAUUCUUUGCUUAGUUGGCGAAAGUUUUAUUUCCAAUAUAAAUAUGUGAAUUUUGGUGGUAUGUGGUCCCCACUAAAUUAUAGGUCAACUCUUUUUUCCCUUUUUAAAAUAGGAAUAAUACAUAAAUAAUUUCUUAGUACACGUUAGAACUUACUAUAUAUGCUUAGAGUAAUUAUUUAAUUCUACACCAUAACUCCACGUUAUUGCCACUAUACCAAAAAGUCAAUCCUCCCAAUUUGAAACCAUCCAUUUACUCCAACCUACCCAAUAACUUGAAGCUUGAGGCAAUCCUCCCAAUUCGAAAAGUCUUUUCUGAACAUAUGACAUGUAUUUAUUGGUUUAUUGUAAAUAACAAAUACUUUUUCUGUCUCGAAACCUCUAAUUAAAUACGAUAAAAUUAUAUAUAACAAAACAACUACAAGGGAGAACUUUUAAUCAUUUCACUGUACCUCUAGAUGUUAUCAAAUUCCCAACUUGAUAUGUUUUCAAGUAUAAAAAAAUAUUAUGAAGACAAAGUCUGGUUGUUGGGGGGAAAAGUUAUACUCGUGGAAAAGACAGCUUAAAUUCUUUUCUUUUUCCCUAUAGCUGUCACUGUAGAAAACUAUUGUUGUACCAUUCUUGUUUGCAAAUCACUCUUAGCAUUCAACAGGUAAAGUAAAGUUGUUAGUAAUUGAACAUACAAACAUUUAUCUUCUCUAAACUAUUGUUCUCACUUUACUUGUUUUGCUUUGCAGAUUUCAGAAAUGGAGAUUGGCUUAGCAGUUGGUGGUGCAUUUCUCUCUUCAGCUUUGAAUGUUCUGUUUGAUAGGCUUGCUCCUCAUGGUGAUCUUCUCAACAUGUUUCGGAAGCAUAAGGAUCAUGUUCAACUCUUACACAAGCUGCAGGACAUUUUGCUUGGUCUUCAGAUUGUGCUAAGUGAUGCAGAGAAUAAGCAAGCAUCAAAUCGACAUGUGAGCCAGUGGUUUAAUAAGCUUCAGAGUGCUGUAGAUGGCGCUGAAAACUUGAUAGAAGAAGUCAAUUAUGAAGCUUUGAGGCUUAAGGUGGAAGGCCAGCAUCAAAAUCUUGCAGAAACAAGCAACAAACAAGUAAGUGACCUCAGCCUGUGCUUGAGUGAUGAUUUAUUUCGUAACAUAAAGGAUAAGUUGGAAGAAACCAUUGAAACAUUGGAGGUGUUGGAAAAGCAAAUUGGUCGCCUUGGCUUAAAGGAGAAUUUUGUUUCGACUAAACAAGAAACUAGAACACCUUCAACUUCUUUGGUUGAUGAUUCUGAUAUCUUUGGAAGGCAGAGUGAAAUAGAGGAUUUGAUUGACCGUUUAUUGUCUGAAGAUGCAAGUGGAAAAAAGCUCACUGUAGUUCCUAUAGUUGGAAUGGGCGGCGUGGGUAAGACAACACUUGCUAAAGCCGUUUACAAUGAUGAGAAGGUGAAGGACCAUUUUGGUUUGAAAGCUUGGUUUUGUGUUUCUGAGGCAUAUGAUGCUUUCAGAAUAACAAAAGGGUUACUUCAAGAAAUUGGCUCAACUGACUUGAAGGUUGAUGACAAUCUUAACCAGCUACAAGUCAAAUUAAAGGAAAGAUUAAAGGGAAAGAAGUUUCUUCUUGUUCUGGACGAUGUGUGGAAUGACAACUACAACGAGUGGGAUGACUUGAGAAAUGUUUUUGUACAAGGAGAUAUAGGAAGUAAGAUCAUUGUGACGACACGUAAAGAGAGUGUUGCCUUGAUGAUGGCAGCGCUGAUGUUGAGCUACAAUGAUCUUCCUGCACAUUUGAAGCAAUGUUUUGCUUAUUGUGCAAUAUAUCCCAAAGAUUAUCAAUUUCGCAAGGACCAAGUUAUUCACUUGUGGAUUGCUAAUGGUCUUGUACAGCAGUUGCAUUCAGGUAACCAAUACUUUCUUGAGUUGAGAUCAAGAUCAUUGUUCGAAAGGGUCCCAGAGUCUGAAUGGAAACCGGAGGGAUUCUUAAUGCAUGACCUCGUCAAUGAUUUGGCCCAAAUUGCAUCUUCAAAUCUUUGUAUAAGGUUGGAAGAGAACAAAGGAUCGCACAUGUUGGAACAAUGUCGGCACAUGUCCUAUUCAAUAGGAAAAGAUGGUGACUUUGAGAAAUUGAAAUCACUCUUUAAAUCAGAGAAGCUGAGGACAUUACUUCCAAUCAUUCUCCCGCCCUAUUAUAACAACGGUCAGCUAAGCAAGAGGGUGCUGCAUAACAUAUUGCCAAGACUAACAUCCUUAAGGGCAUUAUCGUUGUCACGCUAUGAGAUUGUUGAGUUGCCAAAUGACUUGUUUAUUGAAUUAAAGCUCCUGAGAUUUUUGGAUAUUUCUCGGACAAAGAUUAAAAGGUUGCCAGAUUCCAUUUGUGGAUUGUAUAACUUAGUGACACUUCUCCUGUAAUCUUGUGCUGAUCUUGAUGAGCUACCACUGCAGAUGGAGAUGUUGAUCAACUUGCGUCAUCUUGACAUAAGCAACACUUCUCUCUUGAAGAUGCCACUAUAUCUGAGCAAGUUGAAAAGCCUCCAAGUGUUAGUGGGAGCCAAGUUUCUUUUAGGUGGUUCGAGAAUGGAAGAUUUGGGUGAUGUACAUAACUUGUACGGAUCUCUAUCGGUUGUAGAGUUGCAAAAUGUGGUUGAUAGUAGGGAAGCUGUGAAGGCAAAGAUGAGGGAGAAGAAUCAUNNNNNNNNNNNNNNNNNNNNNNNNNNNNNNNNNNNNNNNNNNNNNNNNNNNNNNNNNNNNNNNNNNNNNNNNNNNNNNNNNNNNNNNNNNNNNNNNNNNNNNNNNNNNNNNNNNNNNNNNNNNNNNNNNNNNNNNNNNNNGGAUAUAGAGGGACAAAAUUUCCAAAUUGGCUAGCUGAUGUUUCGUUUCUUAAGCUAGUAGAAUUGUCUCUUAUAAACUGCAAGAACUGUUAUUCCUUGCCAGCACUAGGACAGCUUCCUUGUUUGAAAUUCCUUUCCAUUAGAGGGAUGUAUGGAAUAACAGAGGUGACGGAAGAAUUCUAUGGCAGUUUGUCCUCCAAAAAGCCUUUUAACGCUCUUGAGAAGCUUGUAUUUGAAGAUAUGCCGGAGUGGAAGCAAUGGCAUGUACUAGGAAAUGGAGAGUUCCCUACACUUGAGAAGCUUUUAAUUAUAAAUUGCCCUGAACUCAGUUUGGAAACACCCAUCCAACUUUCAUGUUUAAAAAGGUUUGAAGUUGAUGGUUGUCAUAAGGUUGGAGAUGCUCAAAUGUUUAGAUCCCAACUUGAGGGAAUGAAGCAGAUUGUUGAAUUAGAUAUUAGUGAUUGUAACUCUAUUACCUCCUUUCCUUUUAGCGUUCUUCUCAUUACCUUGAAGAGAAUAGUUAUAUCUGGUUGCCAGAAAUUGAAAUUGGAGCAGCCAGUUGGUGAGAUGAGUAUGCUUCUCGAGGAUUUGUCACUGCAAGAAUGUGAUUGUAUAGAUGAUAUAUCACCUGAGAUGCUCCCAACAGCACGCAGAUUGUUUGUAUGUAAUUGCCAGAACCUUACUAGGCUUUUUAUUCCUACUGCCACUGAAAGUCUCUAUAUUGCUUAUUGUGUGAAUCUUGAAAUACUUUCGGUGGCAUGUGGGAAGACCCAGAUGAUGUAUUUUCCAGAACGUAUGCAGGAACUCCUCCCAUCUCUUAAGACACUGAUUCUAUCUAAUUGUCCAGAAAUAGAGUCCUUUCCUGAAGGAGGAUUGCCCUUCAAUUUACAAAAACUUCAUAUCUACAAUUGCAAGAAACUGGUGAAUGGCCGAAAGGAGUGGCAUUUACACAGACUUCCCUGUCUCAGAAAGUUAAGCAUCUACCAUGAUGGCAGUGAAGAAGAGAUUGUUGGUGGUGAGAAUUGGGAAUUGCCUUCCUUUAUUCAAAGACUUACCAUAUACAAUCUCAAAACAUUAAGGAGCCAAGAUAUCAGAAGCCUCACCUCUCUUCAAUAUCUAUGUAUUGGUAAGUUAUCUCAACUUCAGUCAAUGCUAGAAGAAGGGCAGCUCACUUCACUUCAAAGUCUAGACAUCAAUAAUUGCCCUAAUCUCCAAUCACUUUCCGAAUCAGCACUGCCCUCCUCCCUCUCUGAGCUGACCAUCAAUAAUUGCCCUAAGCUCCAAUCCCUUCCAGUAAAAGGGAUGCCCUCUUCCCUCUCUAAACUAUCAAUUCGCGACUGUCCAUUGCUCACACCAUUACUAGAAUUUGACAAGGGGGAAUACUGGCCAAAUAUUGCUCAAAUUCCCACCAUAGUGAUCGAUGAGGAUUCCAUGUGAUGAUUAAAAAGAAUGACCCUCCAAUAGACGUAAGUUUUUCUAUUUCCUUAGUAUCUUUUGAUUUUCGGUUACUUCUCUUUGCUUGUUUCUUAAUUCUUUUUCUAUGUUGCAGAGAUGAAAUCUUAAGGAUAAAAAUAUGUUUUACUCCUCUUGAUAUGCAGAUAUGUUGCAGAGAUGAAGUCCCUGUGAGAUACAUUUAAAGUAUAUCCUGUUUGGGAUGAAUUCAAGGUGAGUGUAGACAGUGAAGGUUUAUUGAUAAAUCCAUACUAAAUUUGGAUUAAAUCUUAAAUUCAUGAUACGUUGACCAAGUCAAAUUACUGGUUAAUAAAGUCGGAUUAAUAUUUAUGUCAGAAUUAUAUGACUUAAAUCAAGUCCAAAUAACAUUUGGGCCAGUCCAUUAAAUUGACAAGAUGAGCCCAACUCAUAUUCUUCAGGCCCAGGGGUCAAAAUUACUUGGACCAAAAUACCCCUAAAGCCCUAGCUCAGACCUAUAUAAAGAGGUCUUCAUAAGACCAAAAGGGAGAUAUACACACAUACACACACAUAAAUACAUAGUUGCUCUUCAUUGGUGAUCUGCAAGUCUUCCGCAUACAAAGAAGUCUUCGCUCCAAGUAUUGAGCCGCAAGUAUUCCGCCAAAUCAAGAACAUCUGUGGAGAGAAGAAUCAAGGGAUUACAUAUCUUUUUAAGAGAUUUUAUAAAGAUUGUAACCUUCGCAUUAAUUCAAAUACAAAUAUUAUUGUUUGCUUGCUAUUUUUCUUUUCCUGUUUACUGUAUUUCAGGAUUGAAACUUUAGACGCUUUCAGUGAGAUAACAAAAUAAUGAUUUACUGGUGUUUCAGUUACCAAUAUGCUUAUUUUGUUGUAAUACUUUGCACUCUCAUAAAUCAGCGAAAUAGAUUUCUUCAAUGGCACCCUCAGCAGUCAUCAGUCUGCGAAACAGAGAAAUCAACGGUUUCAAAAUUCUCUAGAACCCAUUUCGAGUUUCACGCCUUCAAUUCUGAUGACACCCAAGACACAAAAGACAUCAACAGAGUAGAAGAAUUCAACCUAACUCCCAUAAUGAACCCACCCAAGUUUUCGAUUCCGCUUCACCUGUUGGGAAGAAGUUUACGACUGAGAAAGGUCUAAAGGUACAAAUAUAUUGUCUUCCCCCUUUCUUACUGCAGCGCUUAAAUUGGUUUUUCCCCACUUUGCAUCAUAAUGAUGUUGGAGUAUAUCGGUUUUCUACUGGUAUUCAGAAACUUAAAAUGGGAAAUUGCUUUCGAAAAUAUCGUUUUCAUUGUUCGAAUGUUUUUUAAAUCAUUUGUUGAUCCAAAAUUUUCAUUUUUCUGUUGAUCUUCUUCUAUCGUUAGUUUUACAUGUCUUCUGAUUGAGUUAUAAUACAUGCCUUGAUUCUAUAGAAGAUGAGAAAUCGUCAAAUGCCUACAAGUGGAGUCUGGAAAAAGUAGAGUUUACGCAUACUUUAUCCCUACCUUGUCAAGUAAGAACUCAAUUGAAUAACAGAAUCAAAAUUCAAGUAAUAACUAGCUGCUUCAGGUCCUCUGGCUACUGCUAUAUUAUCAAAAUGUCUUCUAAAAUCGACAUAUAUAUUCUUCAACUGUAGUUUCUCUUGCAACAACAACAACAAAUCCUUAUGUUUCUAUGACCCUUGAUUCUAAGAUUUUUAUCAACCUUCAAUCUUCAAAAAUUAUCGAUUCGAUCCUUCAGAUGCAUCUCCCUUAACCACUCUGAACCCGGUGGCUUUCCCGUGCAAAGAAAAUUGGCUGAAUCCCGUGAAAUUAAUAGCUAGUACCUCUUGACAUCUUUGUAAAAGAGUAGAGAAGUCACGAUCAAGACAAUUGGUGAAUCACGUGAAAUUAACUUAAAUCUAAUAUAAAAAUAAUAUAACCUUUAACUUGGCCUCAACUCAUAUAUAUGUCCUCCAACUUUGGAUGUGCGCAGGUAGAGACUUAAAUUUGUAUAGAGUUGAAUAAAUAGACACAAACGACCUAAGUAACAUCUUACAUGAAAAUUUUCAUCUUACGUGGUGUCUUGUGUGUAUUAUGCCACGUAAGGCACAUGUGUUUAUUUGUUCAAUUUUAUACAAUUUAAAGUGUCUACUUGUGCAUACCCAAAGUUGGAGGACAUAAAUGUGAAAUGAGGUCAAGUUAAAGGCCAUAUUAUUCAAAUUGCAUAGGGUUUGAAGUUUCAAUUUCAUUGAUGGAUAACGUUACCAUUUUAGUGCAACACAAUGGAACUUGAGAUUCAAACAACCACUAUGACCAAAGAACAAAAAAAAGGGUUAACCGAGAGUCCUUGCCCGACUAAAAGAAAGGGUUUGCUGGUAGAAUGGGGUAGGCCGACAAUUUUUCUGGAUAGAUCGAACUAUUGGAAGGGGUUAACCGAGAGUCCUUGCCCGACUAAAAGAAAGGGUUUGCUGGUAGAAUGGGGUAGGCCGACAAUUUUUCUGGAUAGAUCGAACUAUUGGAAGAAAAUAAAAAGAAAGACCGAGUGUUAUCACAUUGAUGCAAUUCUAGUCAAUUCCAUUUCCAAUUCAUAGAUCUAGUCACAAAUUUACCCUUUUAUCCUUGGCAGAAUGUAAUGGAUGGUUCUAGAUAUAUGAAGAAAAUGUAUUUAUUAGUGUAAAUUUACUUCUUUACCCUUGGUCUUUCUUUGUCUUCACAUUUCUAUAUAGUAGAAAAGAAAAUACAAGAGGUCAUUUCUGGAUAAUUCAACAUCUAAAAUCAUCCAAACAAUGAUCUACCUGGCCUCAACUAUUAGCGAGUUUUAAUUAUUAUUUUUCUUGAUCGGAUUUUGGUAACGAUAGAUUCUUUGCUUAGUUGGCGAAAGUUUUAUUUCCAAUAUAAAUAUGUGAAUUUUGUUGGUAUGUGGUCCCCACUAAAUUAUAGGUCAACUCUUUUUCCCCUUUUUAAAAUAGGAAUAAUGCAUAAACAAUUUCUUAGUACACGUUAGAACUUACUAUAUAUGCGUAGAGUAAUUAUUUAAUUCUACACCAUAACUCCACGUUAUUGCCACUAUACCAAAAAGUCAAUCCUCCCAAUUUGAAACCAUCCAUUUACUCCAACCUACCCAAUAACUUGAAGCUUGAGGCAAUCCUCCCAAUUCGAAAAGUCUUUUUCUGAACAUAUGACAUGUAUUUAUUGGUUUAUUGUAAAUAACAAAUACUCUUUAUGUCUCUAAUUACUUGUCCAUUUUUCCUUUUUUAGUUGUCCCUAAUUACUUAUCCAUUUUGACAAAUUAUUUUUAUCUAUUAUACUCUCAAUUAAUUACUAUGAAAAAGAUAGAACUUCUUGAAAAUCUUAAAUUUUUAAUUCACCUACUUCAUAAUUAAUAGGGGUAAAAUCGUAAAUUCACUAUGUCAAUUAUUGUUUUCUUAAUAGGUGUGUACUUUUUAAAAUUUUGUUGAAUCUUUACUUAAUAUUUCUAUUGAGUUAAAUAUUAGACAUUGGUAGCUUUUGCUUAUUAUCAAGGUAUGUGGUCCCCACCAAACUAUAGGUCAACUCAUUUUCUCCUUUUUAAAAUAGGAAUAAUACAUAAACAAUUCUUAAUACACUUUAGAACUUAAUAUAAGCUUAGAAUAAUUAUUUAAUUCUACACCAUAACUCCACGUUAUUGCCUCUAUACAAAAAAAAAAAGUCACUCCUCCCAAUUUGAAAAGUCUUCGCGUGAACAUAUGUCAUGUAUUUAUUAGUUUAUUGUAAAUAACAAAUACAAAUAAGUUUUCACCUUAUCUGAAUUUGCUUGGGAUGUUUUAGCUCUCACUAUCAAGAGAAACUUUAUCACAACGAUUCAAGCUCGAAACCUCUAAUUAAAUACGACAAAAUUAUAUAUAUAAAGAAAAUUAUAUAUAACAAAACAACUACAAGGGAGAACUUUUAAUCAUUUCACUGUACCUCUUAAUGUUAUCAAAUUCCCAACUUGACAUGUUUUCAAGUAUAAAAAAUAUUAUGAAGACAAAGUCUGGUUGUUGAGGGGAAAAGUCAUACUCAUGGAAAAGACAGCUUAAAUUCUUUUCUUUUUUUUCCUAUAGCUGUCACUGUAGAAAACUAUUGUUGUACCAUUCUUGUUUGCAAAUCACUCUUAGCAUUCAACAGGUAAAGUAAAGUUGUUAGUAAUUGAACAUACAAACAUUUAUCUUCUCUAAACUAUUGUUCUCACUUUACUUGUUUUGCUUUGCAGAUUUCAGAAAUGAAGAUUGGCUUAGCAGUUGGUGGUGCAUUUCUCUCUUCAGCGCUGAAUGUUCUCUUUGAUAGGCUUGCUCCUCAGAGUGAUCUGCUCAACAUGUUUCAGAAGCAUAAGGAUCAUGUUCAGCUUGUUGACACCCAAUUUUGACCCUCCCCGAUGUAAUUNNNNNNNNNNNNNNNNNNNNNNNNNNNNNNNNNNNNNNNNNNNNNNNNNNNNNNNNNNNNNNNNNNNNNNNNNNNNNNNNNNNNNNNNNNNNNNNNNNNNAUUUUUUCUUAAAAAUUAAGUGGCGACUCUAAAACCAAUCAAAUUAUUAUUUUAAAUAAAGCACAGCUCUUACACAAGCUGCAGGACAUUUUGCUUGGUCUUCAGAUUGUGCUAAGUGAUGCAGAGAAUAAGCAAGCAUCAAAUCGACACGUGAGCCAGUGGUUUAAUAAGCUUCAGAGUGCUGUAGACGGCGCUGAAAACUUGAUAGAAGAAGUCAAUUAUGAAGCUUUGAGGCUUAAAAUGGAAGGCCAGCAUCAAAAUCUUACAGAAACAAGCGACCAGCAGGUAAGUGACCUCAACCUGUGCUUGAGUGAUGAUUUCUUUCGUAACAUAAAGGAUAAGUUGGAAGAAACCAUUGAAACAUUGGAGGUGUUGGAAAAGCAAAUUGGUCGCCUUGGCUUAAAGGAUCAUUUUGGUUCGACUAAACAAGAAACUAGAACACCUUCAACUUCUUUGGUUGAUGAUUCUGAUAUCUUUGGAAGGCAAAGCGAAAUAGAGGAUUUGAUUGACCGUUUAUUGUCUGAAGAUGCAAAUGGAAAAAUGCUGACUGUGGUUACUAUUGUUGGAAUGGGCGGCGUGGGUAAGACAACACUUGCUAAAGCCGUUUACAAUGAUGAGAAGGUGAAGGACCAUUUUGGUUUGAAAGCUUGGUUUUGUGUUUCUGAGGCAUACGAUGCUUUCAGAAUAACAAAAGGUUUACUUCAAGAAAUUGGCUCAUUUGAGUUGAAAGCUGAUGACAAUCUUAAUCAGCUUCAAGUAAAAUUGAAGGAAAGCUUAAAGGGAAAGAAAUUUCUUAUUGUUCUGGAUGAUGUGUGGAAUGACAACUACAAUGAGUGGGAUGACUUGAGAAAUGUUUUUGUACAAGGACGUAUUGGAAGUAAGAUCAUUGUGACGACACGUAAAGAGAGUGUUGCCUUGAUGAUGGGAAAUGUAGCAAAUUAAGCAUGGACAAUUUGUCUACUGAAGCCUCUUGGUCUUUAUUCAAAAGACAUGCAUUUGAAAACAUGGAUCCUAUGGGAAAUCCGGAACUUGAAGAGGUCGGAAAACAAAUUGCAGCUAAGUGCAAAGGAAGGCCCCUUAGCUCUGAAGACGCUCGCCGGCAUGUUACUCUCCAAAUCAGAGGUUGAAGAGUGGAAACGUAUUUUGAGAAGUGAAAUAUGGGAGUUGCCACACAAUGACAUAUUACCAGCGUUGAUGUUGAGCUACAAUGAUCUUCCGGCACAUUUAAAACUAUGUUUUUCCUUUUGUGCAAUAUUUCCUAAAGAUUAUCCAUUUAGGAAAGAACAAGUCAUUCAUCUGUGGAUUGCCACUGGUCUCGUACCACAGGAAGAUGAAAUAAUUGAAGAUUCAGGCAACCAGUACUUUCUCGAGUUGAGGUCAAGAUCAUUAUUCGAAAGGGUCCCAAAUCCUUCUGAAGGGAACAUAGAGAAUUUAUUCUUAAUGCAUGACCUUGUCAAUGAUUUAGCCCAAAUUGCAUCUUCAAAACUUUGNNNNNNNNNNNNNNNNNNNNNNNNNNNNNNNNNNNNNNNNNNNNNNNNNNNNNNNNNNNNNNNNNNNNNNNNNNNNNNNNNNNNNNNNNNNNNNNNNNNNNNNNACAUGUAUUGAUCUCAAGCAUUGUUAUCACCCUCUAAGCAAGAGGGUGCAGCAUAACAUACUGCCAAGACUAAGAUCCUUAAGGGCAUUAUCAUUGUCUCAUUACGAUAUUGUUGAGUUGCCAAAUGACUUGUUUAUCGAAUUAAAGCUCCUGAGAUUUUUGGAUAUUUCUAAGACAGAGAUUAAUAAGUUGCCAGAUUCCAUUUGUGGAUUGUAUAAUUUAAAGACACUUCUCCUGUCGUCUUGUGAUUAUCUUGAGGAUCUACCACUGCAGAUGGAGAAGUUGAUCAACUUGCGUCAUCUUGACAUAAGCAACACUUCUCUCUUGAAGAUGCCACUAUAUCUGAGCAAGUUGAAAAGCCUCCAAGUGUUAGUGGGAGUCAAGUUUCUUUUAGGUGGUUUGAGAAUGGAAGAUUUGGGUGAAGCACAGAACUUGUAUGGAUCUCUAUCAGUUGUAGAGUUGCAAAAUGUGGUUGAUAGUAGGGAAGCUGUGAAGGCAAAGAUGAGGGAGAAGAUUCAUUGUUGACAAGUUAUCUUUGGAGUGGAGUGAAAGUAGUAGUGCCAACAAUUCAGAAACUGAAAGAGACAUACUUGAUGAACUACACCCACAUAAAAACAUAAAAGAAGUCGAAAUCACUGGAUAUAGAGGGACAAAAUUUCCAAAUUGGCUAGCUGAUCCUUUGUUUCUUAAGCUGGUGGAAUUAUCUCUUAGCAACUGCAAGGUCUGUUAUUCCUUGCCAGCACUAGGACAACUCCCUUGUUUGAAAUUCCUUUCGAUUAGAGGGAUGCAUGGAAUAACAGAGGUGACGGAAGAAUUCUAUGGUAGUUUGUCCUCCAAAAAGCCUUUUAACUCUCUUGUGGAGCUUAGAUUUGAAGAUAUGCCGGAGUGGAAGCAAUGGCACCUACUAGGAAGUGGAGAGUUUCCUAUCCUUGAGAAACUUUUCAUUAUAAAUUGCCCUGAACUCAGUUUGGAGACACCCAUCCAAUUUUCAAGUUUAAAAAGGUUUAAAGCUGUUGGUUCUUCUAAGGUUGGAGUUGUUUUUGAUGAUGCUCAACUGUUUAGAUCCCAACUUGAGGGAAUGAAGGAGAUUGAAGAAUUAUAUAUUGUGAUUGUAACUCUGUUACCUCCUUACCUUUUAGCAUACUGCCCACUACCUUGAAGAGAAUAGAGAUAUCUGGUUGCCGGAAUUUGAAAUUGGAUCCGCCUGUUGGUGAGAUGAGUAUGUUUCUCGAGGAAUUGAGUCUGAAGGGAUGUGAUUGUAUGGAUGAUUUGCUCCCAAGAGCGCACAAACUGAGAAUUUGGAGUUGCCAGAAAAUUACUAGGUUUUUGAUUCCUACUGCGACUGAAACACUCAAUAUUUGGAGUUGUGAGAAUCUUGAUAAACUUUCAGUGGCAUGUGGGGGGACCCAGAGGACGUGUUUGAAUAUUUGGGAGUGUAAGAAGCUGAAGUGGCUGCCAGAACGUAUGCGGGAACUCCUUCCAUCUCUUAAGGAACUGCAUCUGUGGGAUUGUCCAGAAAUAGAGUCCUUUCCUGAAGGAGGAUUGCCCUUCAAUUUACAAGCCCUUCAGAUCAAAUUUGCAAGAAACUGGUGAAUGGCCGAAAGGAGUGGCGUUUACAGAGACUCCCCUGUCUCACAAAGUUAACGAUUAUGCAUGAUGGGAGUGACGAAGAGAUUGUUGGUGGUGAGAAUUGGGAGUUGCCUUCCUCUAUUCAAAGACUUUUUAUAGAGAAUCUGAAAACAUUAAGCAGCCAACAUCUCAAAAACCUCACCUCUCUUCAAUAUCUAGCUAUUAAGGGUAAUUUACCUCAAGUUCAGUCAAUGUUGGAACAAGGCCAGUUUUCGCACCUCACUUCGCUUCAACGUCUACAAAUCAUUGAUUUCCCUAAUCUCCAUUCCCUUCCAGUAAAAGGGAUGCCCUCUUCUCUCUCUAAACUAUGUAUUUCAGAAUGUCCAUUGCUCACACCACUACUAGAAUUUGACAAGGGGGAAUACUGGCCAAAUAUUGCUCAUAUCCCCACCAUAAAGAUCAAUAAGGAAUGUCUUUAAUGAUUAAAACAAAUGGUGCUCUCAUAAAUGUAAGCUUUUCUUUUUCCUCAUAAGCAUUCUAUUUUCUUUAACUUCCUUUGCUUUUAUGUUAAUUCUUUUUCUUUAUUACAUUCUUGUUGCGCAGUAUGGAGUGUCUAUUGCCACUCUGAAACUGAGAAAUCAUCUUCAGAUUAGAAUUAUUUUAAUUUUAGAUCUCAAUAGCAAUUAAUGUUACAUAUCUUACUCGAAGAUUUUUAUCGCUUGAACUUUCAUCUCAAUAGCAAUUCACGUUGUUCAUAUUAUUUCCCUUUUCAGUCAGUUUAGAGUGAUCCACAUGUCCACUAUCGAAUUCAAAACUAUAAUAGAAUCCAAAGGUGUGCCAUACACAAGAUUUGUUUCCUAUGUAUCAAAAAUACAGAUGUUUGCCUCCCAAUAAAUUUAACACCUAAAAGCAUCAGCACUAUUCAGGUUUUAUUAAUGAUUCAGCCCCAUCAUAGAGAUCAAUUGGGAAUACAUGUGAUGAAUUAAAACAGAUGGCUCUCCAACUGAUGUAAGUUAUUCUUUUCCAUCAGAAGCUUUUAAUUUUGUUUACUUCACUUUGAUUUUUUUUUUAUUCUUUUCCUUUUUAAAACCUUGUUGAGCAGUGUGGAAUGUCUAUUGCUCAAGAAAGUUGAUUGCUUAAUAUAUGCUAGCAGGAUGUCAUCACCUUUGGAGAUAAAGGGUCCAAGAAAUACAACCUCACUUUCUCAAUCAGGUAACCAACACCUUGAUAAGAGUUACAUCACGCUUCAAAUUUAAAGAUAUUGAAAACGACUUAAAUUGCCUGCUUCCAUUAUUGACGUCAUAUUGUACCACAUUGAUUUCAAGUUUGAUGCGACUGCAUUAUUACAUCUAGUUUUUUUCAUAUUCAAAGAUCCAGAAUAUUACAUUAGUUUUUGGUUUUGAUAUGCAGAGAACUUUGAGGAUUAUGAAGUUUCCUUCAAAUUAUGUCCGUUACUCAACCUCGAGUGGCAACCUUACAGCUAGUGGGAAGUCAAGAAAGUAUAUCCUGCUCGGAAUGAAGUCAAGGUUAGAUAACUAAAUAAUGAUUUACUGGUGUUUCAGUUACUAGGAUGCUUAUUUUGUAGUAAUAGUUUGCACUCUCAUAAAUCAGCGAAAUAGAUUUCCUUCAUUGGCACUCUCAUCAGUCAUCAAUCAGCGAAACAGAGAAAUUAACGGUUUCAAAAUUCUCUGGAACCCAUUUCGAGCUUCACGCCUUCAAUUCUCAUGACACCCAAGACACAGAAGACAUCAACAUAGUAGAAGAAUUCAACCCAAUACCCAUUUCAACCCAAGUUUUCGAUUCCUGUUUCACCUGAUGAGAAGAAGUUUACGGGUGAGAAAGUUACAAAGGUGCAAAUAUCUUCUUCUAUCUUUUGUUUUACACAUCUUCUGAUUGAGUUAUAAUACAUGCCUCGCUUCUAUACAAAAUGAGAAACCAUAAAAUGCCUUUAUGAAGUGUUUGCUAAGUUGAUGUCACCUAAUUCAGAUUUCACUGAAUUAAUUUUUGAAACGUUGAAUGAUAUGGAUAUUUUCUUUUUAAGAAUACAAAAUCGCGAUAAAGGUAGAAAAUUUAGAUGGUAUUAAUUUUGAUAUGGAUCACCGUUGAGAACUUUGCCUGAGGUAUUAAAUUCUAUUUUCCCUCUUUAGAAAUGUUUCAUGUAGCUCCUAAUUGUGAUGCUUCAUUUACAUAUUUUUAAAAUUUUAUCUUAUAAUAGGGAUAAAGUGUGUCCGAGUCAAUUUGAUGUUACAGACUUGCAGCUAACUGUUGUGCAUUAUAUAAUUGCAUAUUUUUUAGACACCAGAUAUGGCCAAGUUCCAUCUACAAUGUUAACAGAAUCUUUGAUAGGUAAAGGAGGCAGACAAAAAAGCUAAACAUCUUUUUUCUUCCGUAUAGCUCCCAGGCAAUUACACUGGGCAAUGCUUGAUAUAAGGGCUUCAAAUAUACAUUUGCAGGGUGUUUAUCGUAUGAGUAAGGAAAUCACUGUCUUCGCUCCCCAGCAGACAGUGAUUGGAAGAUCCAUCCUCGCAUCACUUAGCACCUUCCAGCAGGCAAGCCUUUAUUUUUAAAAAUCUUCUCUUGCAUAUACUUUUGCAAUUUUAAACUUCAUUUUGAAUUGUGUUGUUGCUAACUUAAACAUGUUUUGUGCUUAAUCAGAUGUGGAUUUUGAACGGUGAGUACGACAAGUCUGGUCCAUCCAUUGUCCACAAGAAGUGCUUCUAAGGUGCUGCUGCUAUUUUUACAUCUGUUCGCAAGUUCUUUUUUAUUUUUUUGUUCUUCCCGCUAAAGCUAUUAUGUCGUCCACAGUGAACGCAUGUCUGCUGCUAUAGCCAAGUCUUUGAGAUGGGGUUAUCAAAGAAGGGCAAUUAAAAACAUUGUACCGCUGAUACUAUUUCAUGUUUCUAGUGCAAGCCUCUUUUAUAAGUUGACAAACUCGAUUUGUAAAUAUGUUUGGGACUCAACUAGUGGUUAGAGUUCUGAUUUUAUAAGAUUUGUGUACAGAAAAUCAAAGUAGAAAGAUAACUCGUGAUGGUUGAAUAAGCUCGAAGAAGUGGAUUUGAAUUUCAAAUCGUGUCUUUUUUUUUUAUGUGUGUGAGAUGUUUGAAGUGUUGUUUAGAUUUGUUGGAAUAGUCUAAAGAGAUUGUCUCUAUAAAAUUUGAAGACAUUUGAUGGAGAUCUGAUUAGAUGAUUUUGAACAACAAUUGCAACUGAAGAUGGAUAUGUAUAUUAUAUUUGUAGUUAGCAACGUGUUGUAUAUUUUUAUAGUCGAUAUAUUGUUUUCUCAUUCGGUGUUUGGUAUCCAUAUUGGAGUUUGACUAAAUUCGGAUUUCCUCAUUUCAACGGGCGGUGCUCUUGACAUGAUUUUUUCCAUUCCACGGCUCAUGCUCCAAAAUUCUAAUUAAGGAUAGAAAAAUCUCAACUAUCUCACCACAACUCAUAUCAGUUAUAUUGGGUAUACAAGUGUAAACUAAUAAUACUAUGAAACUAAUAAUAUUUAAUUUAUUUUAGAGGUAAGAUAAGGACAAAAUGGUAAUCCAACUUAGAGGUUAGGAGCUUCACACUUGUAAUAAUACUAAUAUAAUAUAUGGGCACGUGUGUUCCCAGUUACUUUUUAUAUAUAGAUACGUUAGAAUGAUUACAAUUUUAUGAAAGAAUGCGUGUAAUUAGUAAUAAAAUACAACAAUUACAAAUUAAUCUUUAAGAGUUUGACAAGAAACACCAAAUGAGAGGUGAAUUUUAAUGUUUAAAAUUAAUUAAGCAACCAACAUAAAUUUUGAACUAUAAUUGGUAGUUAGCAAACUUCCAAUAAAAUCACAAAGGGCUAAUUUGAGCUCAACAAAGAUAUACACACUUACUACAAUAAGAAAUUAAUAGAAAAUUAAAUUAAAGAAGUUUAAUGGAAGAGAAAACACACAAAAAGAUAGAGAAGGAAAAAAUACAACAUACACAUUUUUUUUAAGACUUAUAUCAUAACAAUAUAGAUGGAAAAAGAAGUACAAUACAUAAUUUUCAAGUUCUUGUGGAGGCUUAAUUAUCCAUAACCAAUCAAAAUUCAAAAGUCAUCUUCGUCGAGUCAAACUAAAACAUGAGCCAAAUAGUACAAUAAUGAUAUAAGUCGUUACUUUAACUAUAGAAUGAAAAUGAUAAUAUUCUUGAGUAGGGGUCUCAUGAAACAAAAAAAAAAUGAAUUUAUAUAGAUAAAAAUUAAGGAAUACCAAAAGAUAAGUUUUAAAUUAAAUGUUUGAAGGUUAUAUGGUGUUUUUUGGUCUGCACCUAAUUCAAUAAAGGAAUAGAAAAAGUCACUAAAGUGGCUGCUAGUGUUCUCUAUGUAUGUAUCAGUUAUAAUUUUCAUCAAAUAGAUGAAUGCCAUCUUGCAUUUAAUUAAUCAAGUGAAGUUAAUGUAUUGAAUUAAUCAUCUUUUUUUACUUCAUUGUGUAAAGUAUUUAAAUUGAAACUGACUUAGCACCUUCCCAUUUUUAGGAUUUAGUAUAUAAUAGGAUAUAAUUACUACUACAAUAUUUAAUUAAUUAAAUAAUCUUUUUUAUAAUUUUUAUUUAAUAUAUAGGGGUAAAACGGUAAUUCAACUUUGAACAUAAAUUCUUUCCAUUUUUAAUAAUACUAGUUUUUGUGAACGUGUGUUGCACGUUUAAUUUGUCCCUUGUAAUUACUACAAGAUUUCUAUAUAAUUUUUUUAAAAAAUAAAUAAAUUUCAUAAUAGAAAAUAUGCAUGUAUUUCACGCUACUUAGUAUUAAUAUUUGUAAAUGAUUUAAAUACAAUUACAAUAUGUAUAAAUAGUUAUUCAUAAAAUUAAGUAAUCAAAAAGAGAAGGAGUCUAAACACCAAAUUAAAGCUUAACAUCAAAUGGACAAUCUGACAAUCAUAUCAAAUAGUUUUAAGAAAUUGUAUCAUUUUGAUACGUAAAUUUCACAUGAGUUAUUAGUUGUGAAGAUGUCAUAUAAUGUUUGAAGAUAAUAUAUAAAAAUUUAUCAAUAUCCAUUACAUUAUUAUAGCAUCACAAUAAAUUAUACAACUUCAGAUGUACAUUAUGUUCAUCCCACAAAUAUUCGAAAAUAAGAUGAAAUAGAGUAGACUAAAAACAAUGAAAUAGCUAAUGAAUUCUAAAACCUUCAAAUAACAAAAAUUAAAGAGAGAAACCGUUCCAGUUUAAAAGAAUGGAGGAACUUCCUCAAUAACUAACAAAAGCAUAAAUAGAUUUACCUCUUUUUUAUUGCAUAUGUGAUGAGCAAUAACAUCCAUCAACAAUUAUACAUUAGAAUAACUACGUGUGUGCAUUAACAUAAAGUGAUAGUGAUGAGCAAUAUAAUUACAUCCACCAAUAAUCAUCCAUCAACAAUUAUACAUCGGAAUAACAAAGUGUAUGCAUUAAUAUAAAGUGAUUUUGAAAACAAUUUUUUGGUACGUAUAAUUAUAAGUCAUGAAUUAUAAAAGUCAUUUAAAAAUUGAUGAUAUACAUAACAUCUAUGAGAAUUAGAUUGGUUAAAGUUGGGAUAUGUAAAGUUUCUAACUAAAAUUUAAUUAUGUGUGUCAUAUUAAGAUGUCUGGUAAUUCAAAGGACAUUUUGUUGUUUAAUGUUCAAGGAUAUUUCAGUUUUUAAAGGAUAUAAAUAUUUUUGACCAUUGCCUCAGUGAGGUCGAGGAAGCAUCUUCAGAUCAGGAUGAAAUCUUUAUAUUUGCAUUCAAACAUUGUAAAAGAAAUCUAGUAUAGGUAGGAAUUGAGAUAAUUUGCUCCAGAAAGAACUCUUCUUGCAUUUUGUUUCCUUUGUUGCUCUGCAUAUGACCUUCAAUUUCAGUCAUUGUUUCAAAUUUUGUUUGCUCUGGUUCGACUCUGUGUUUAGUGUUUCUGAGUUUUUCUUCUCUUUUUUUUUUCAUCAGACUCUACUCUAUUUGUCGGCAAUCUUCUUUCUUUGUUUACCUGCUUUUGUUCUUGGGUGGAUCGAAUAUAAACAUUUGUGUACAUCUUUGGCUCUUCUUUGUUUGAUUCACUUUCUUCAAUUAGAUCAGAAAAUAUUUCUCUGAAGGCAUGUUGAUUUUAUUAUUUUACACGAUUUCUGUUUGUGUUACUUUUUCGAUUUCUAAUUUGUUUUAUUCAUGUUUUUUACAGUUUAAUUUUUGAUGCUUCCGAGUUUCAGCAGUCCUGAUUCCUGAUGUUUUCUGGGUGAGCAUGGUUCUCUCCUUUUUCAAGUUAACAACUUAUUUUAUAUUACUUUUGCUGAGAUUGAUUGUGAGUUGCAAGUUUCGCAAUGCAAUUUUUGUAUUAUGAAUCCUUGAUGGACUAUGGUGAAAAUUUACUUUUCUUUGUAGAAAAAACAUCAAAGAAUUAUACUACUAUACAAAUCAGGUUUGUUAAUAUUGAUACUGCUGAUGUUAAUAAUCACUUGGCUAUUGUGAAAUAUGUUGAGGAUAUUUACAAAUUUUAUAAGCUCACAAAGGUCUGGUGAAUAUCAGAUGUCUCUGUUUCAAUGCUGGGGUGAUUUUACUGUUAUAGUGGAUACGGUGAGUUACUUUAAUGUGACAAACAAUAGUUUUGUGAUUUUAUUGUGUAGUGUAUAAAAUUCAUGUUAUUUUGAUAAUUUGGCUGAUUCAGGAUGAACGUUGAUUGUAUUAUUACAUGGAUUCACAACCACACAUCAACGCCAGGGUCAAAGCUAGCAAUUUUUCUGGAAGGUUGAACUACUUGAAAAACAUGAAAGCUACAUUACUUCACACAGUUGCGAGAUGAAGAGAAACUUUUUAGGAUCUAUUGUCAAUAUUUUUAGCAUUGUUAGUACUGUAACUCUCAACUAAAAGCUGGACAAAGUUACAAUUUUCAUCAAAAAUCGGUAAUGGCAGAGGGGCGUUUCUUUGGUUAUUGCUCAAAACUACAACUGCUAGUGAUUAUUUCUCAUGUAGUGAUUUUUUUAUGGAAUCAAUGUGUUAUCAAAACAUUUACGUUUAGUUAUGUUAUAACACAAACAGUUGAGGAUUGCACAACCUUACUACUAAAUGUUCAGAAAUAGACUUCUUUCUUGAAGGAGGAUUGCCAUUCAAUUGACGACUUGUGAUCAUCAAUUGCGAGAAGCUGGUGAGUGGCCGAAACGAUUGGCAUCUCAAAGAGUUUAUAUGUGAUCUAGCAGAACACAAUAGAUUGGGAGGGGGUGGAGACAGGUUUUUCUGAUUAAAUUUGGCACUAGUACUCGAUUUCUUGAGUUUUUGCUUCAGUAAAAGGGAAAAAAGGCUAUUUCUUAGUCUGUAUUUUGUAGUUUUAGCAAACAAGCAUAUUGCUAACUGGUGUCAAUAAACCAAGAGUGUAUUGUACCUUUUUCAGGACAAUUAUGUUAUAUUAUAUGUUGGAUGUUUAUUUGUUAUUUCAUUUCCAUAAAACGGUGGAUCGUUGAUUUCAGUUCAUUCAUUGGGACAGAGUUGUACAUGGACCUAAAUAGGGACCUUACCACUAUCUUGUAGGGUAGAGAGGUUGUUUCCGAUAGACCAUCGGCUCAAGUAAACAUAGAAAAAAUAAUACCUUAGAGAAAAGGAAAAUGGAACAGAAUCCAAUUCUAAAACGUAUUCAUGAUAUGUUAGACCCAAUUAAGCACUACAAUGAGCUGUUGAAAAAUGAACAGUGCAUAAAGCAAAAGUAGUGAAUAAACAUAAAGCAAAAGAUAUCUUCCUCCAUUAUUCAAUUAGUGGAGUCAUACUUUUUGAAAAGAGAAAAGAGGACAGUUUUGCUUCUUGUAGAUUAGCUGAAACAUAGUUGUACUAAUUUCAAGCAAUCACUGAUCAUUCUUGUUUGCAAAUUACUCUCAACAUUCAACAGGUAAAGAAGUUCUCUCUUAGUAGUUGAAGCUAGAUAGAAAAAUUUGUCUUCUCAUCAAAAUCAUUUUGUGUUUUUCAGAAAUGGAGAUUGGCUUAGCAGUUGGUAGUGCAUUUCUCUCUUCAGCUUUGAAUGCUCUCUUUGAUAGGCUUGCUCCUCACGGUGAUCUGCUCAACAUGUUUCAGAAGCAUAAGCAUCAUGUUCGGCUCUUAAAGAAGCUGAAAAUGACUUUGCGUGGUCUUCAGAUUGUGCUAAGUGAUGCAGAGAAUAAGCAAGCAUCAAAUCCAUCUGUGAGUGACUGGCUUAAUGAGCUUCGAGAUGCUGUCGACUCUGCUGAAAACUUAAUAGAAGAAGUCAAUUAUGAAGCUUUGAGACUUAAGGUGGAAGGUCAACAUCAGAAUUUUGCAGAAACAAGCAACCAGCAGGUAAGUGACCUCAAUCUGCGCUUGAGCGAUGAAUUUUUCCAUAACAUAAAGGACAAGUUGGAAGACACUAUUGAAACAUUAAAGGAUUUGCAAGAGCAAAUUGGUCUCCUUGGCUUAAAGGAGUAUUUUGGUUCCACGAAACAAGAAACUAGAAGACCUUCAACUUCUGUGGAUGAUGAAUCUGAUAUCUUUGGUAGGCAGAGCGAAAUAGAGGAUUUGAUUGACCGUUUAUUGUCUGAAGAUGCAAGUGGGAAAAAGCUGACAGUAAUUCCUAUUGUGGGAAUGGGUGGCCUGGGUAAGACAACACUUGCUAAAGCCGUUUACAAUGAUGAGAGGGUGAAGAACCACUUUGGUUUGAAAGCUUGGUAUUGUGUUUCUGAGGGAUAUGAUGCUUUGAGAAUAACGAAAGGGUUACUUCAAAAAAUUGGCAAAUUUGACUCAAAGGAUGUCCACAACAAUCUUAAUCAGCUUCAAGUCAAAUUGAAGGACAGCUUGAAGGGAAAGAAGUUCCUUACUGUUUUGGAUGAUGUGUGGAAUGACAACUACAACGAGUACAUCAGAAUUUUGCAGAAACAAGCAACAAGCAAGUGACCUCAACCUUUGCUUGACUGAUGAAUUUUUCCUUAACAUAAAGGACAAGUUGGAAGACACUAUUGAAACAUUAAAGGAUUUGCAAGAGCAAAUUGGUCUCCUUGGCUUAAAGGAGUAUUUUGGUUCCACGAAACAAGAAACUAGAAGACCUUCAACUUCUGUGGAUGAUGAAUCUGAUAUCUUUGGUAGGCAGAGCGAAAUAGAGGAUUUGAUUGACCGUUUAUUGUCUGAAGAUGCAAGUGGGAAAAAGCUGACAGUAAUUCCUAUUGUGGGAAUGGGUGGCCUGGGUAAGACAACACUUGCUAAAGCCGUUUACAAUGAUGAGAGGGUGAAGAACCACUUUGGUUUGAAAGCUUGGUAUUGUGUUUCUGAGGGAUAUGAUGCUUUGAGAAUAACGAAAGGGUUACUUCAAAAAAUUGGCAAAUUUGACUCAAAGGAUGUCCACAACAAUCUUAAUCAGCUUCAAGUCAAAUUGAAGGACAGCUUGAAGGGAAAGAAGUUCCUUACUGUUUUGGAUGAUGUGUGGAAUGACAACUACAACGAGUGGGAUGACUUGAGAAAUAUAUUUGUGUACAAGGAGAUAUAGGAAGUAAGAUCAAGAUCAUUGUGACGACACGCAAAGCGAGUGUUGCCUUGAUGAUGGGAAAUGAGCAAAUUAGCAUGGACAGUUUGUCUAAUGAAGCCUCUUGGUCUUUAUUUAAAAGACAUGCAUUUGAAAACAUGGAUCCUAUGGGACAUCUGGAACUUGAAGAGGUCGGAAAACAAAUUGCAGCUAAGUGCAAAGGACUGCCCUUAGCUCUGAAGACGCUCGCUGGCAUGUUACGCUCCAAAUCAGAGGUUGUAGAGUGGAAACGUAUUCUGAGAAGUGAAAUAUGGGAGCUGCGAGACAAGGACAUAUUACCAGCGUUGAUGUUGAGCUACAAUGAUCUUCCCGCACAUUUAAAGCGAUGUUUUUCCUAUUGUGCAAUAUUUCCUAAAGAUUAUUCAUUUAGGAAAGAGCAAGUUAUUCAUCUUUGGAUUGCCAAUGGUCUCGUACCAAAGGAAGAUGAAAUAAUUGAAGAUUCAGGCAACCAAUACUUUCUCGAAUUGAGGUCAAGAUCAUUAUUCGAAAGGGUCCCAAAUCCUUUUGAAGGGAACAUAGAGAAAUUCUUAAUGCAUGACCUUGUCAAUGACUUAGCCCAAAUUGCAUCUUCAAAACUUUGUAUCAGGUUGGAAGAGAGCCAAGGAUCUCAUAUGUUGGAAAAAAGUCGGCACUUAUCUUAUUCAAUGGGAAAAGGUGGUGAGUUUGAGAAAUUAACACCCCUCUACAAAUUGGAGCAGCUGAGGACAUUGCUUCCGAUAUUUUUUGAUGUCAAUCAUGACUCUCUAAGCAAGAGGGUGCAGCAUAACAUACUGCCAAGACUAAGAUCCUUAAGGGCAUUAUCAUUGUCUCAUUACAGGAUUAAGGAGUUGCCGGAUGACUUGUUUAUCAAAUUAAAGCUCCUGAGAUUUUUGGAUAUUUCUAAGACAGAGAUUAAUAAGUUGCCAGAUUCCAUUUGUGGAUUGUAUAAUUUAAAGACACUUCUCCUGUCAUCUUGUGAUUAUCUUGAGGAGCUACCACUGCAGAUGGAGAAGUUGAUCAACUUGAGUCAUCUUGACAUAAGCAACACUUCUCGCUUGAAGAUGACACUACAUCUGAGCAAGUUGAAAAGCCUCCAAGUGCUAGUGGGAGCCAAGUUUCUUCUAGAUGGUUGCUCACACCAUUACUAGAAUUUGACGAGGGAGAAUACUGGCCAAAUAUUGCUCAAAUUCCCACCAUUGUGAUUGAUCGGGAGUUCCUAUGAUGAUUAAAACAAAUGGCUCUCCAACUGAUGUAAGUUAUUCUUUUCCUUUUUUAAAAAUCUUGUUGAGCAGUCUAUUGCUCAAACCACGGCUACUGACCAAAAAUUGUUCAUAUUUUUUUUUUCUAUUUAGAAACGGGAGUUUGGAAGGAUUCACAAUGGCAAGCCUGAUUCCUGAAGUUUUCUAGGUGAGCAUGGUUGUCUCCUUUUCAAGUUAACAACUUAUUUAUAUUAAUUUUGCUGCUAUUGAUUGUCAGUUGCAAGUUUCGCAAUUCAAUUUAUGUGUUACUACAUCUGGGAACGUGCGUUGCACGUUUAUCCCAAAAUACUUUAUAUAAAUUUUGUAUUGCAAAUAACAUAUUCUAUCCCCUCUAAAUCUAUAGUAUUUACUAAAAAAAAAUUCAUCACAUAUAUCUUUAUAAAUAUAUAUAUAUAUAUAUGAUUAUUAAAUUGACUAAAAGUGUAUAGAGUAAAAAUAACUUCCAAGUAAUAGUCAUCAGUUAGAUGAGAUAAUAGAUGUAGAUAGAGAUAUAGAAAUAUUCAAGCAAAAUAAAUUAAAAUUAUUAAAUCCACAAGUUCUAUAUAAUACAGGACUAUUUUCGUCAAUAGCACACUUAUACAGACAUUAUAGAGAAGAACAAUUGAGUGUAUCAGAAAACGAUAGUGAAAGUAUAAAUUUAAUUAGUAAAUAAUCUAUGCAAGAAAUACAAAAAAGACGAAUGAAUCUCAUGCAUAUGAGAUUGGUAGUAAUCGGACUUAAAGGUUUAACUAGAAAAAAUUUAGGUACUAAAGUAUUAAUCACUUUAUAUGAUAGUAGAUGGUCAGAAUCUAAAAGAUCCAUAAUAGGUUUAACAGAAGUCGACAUGAGUAAUAAUGGAGGAAUUUUUUACUGUAGUCCAGAUUUCAUGAUAAAUUCAAAAGAAUUUGGAAAAUACAUAAAAAUAGGCAUACAAACCAAGGGUUACGAAGAAAUGAACUGUGGAAACAAUCUAUUAGUUUGUGUUGGCUUCAUAGGAAAAUUAGCAACCAACAGUAGUUCAAGGUUUAAAAUAAAAAUAGACAAUGCGGUAGGCAUAAUGGGAAAUAAAGGAAUAAAAUUAAUGAAACUUUUAAAAAUAAAUUCAGAAGAAUAUGCAGGUAGAGAAUGGAAUUUAGAAAAAUUCUAUAAAAAAGAAGUGUUAAGACCAAAUGACCACCUCACAUACACAAAUAAUAAAGGUGAGACAUCAAUCAGAUUCACUGAUUAUAAAUAUACAAAUCAAAAGAAAUAGAUGAAGAUUUAGAAGAUAAUGAAUCAACCAUAAAUAUGGAAGGAAUGAAUGUUCAGAUCAAUAAAGAAGAAGACUAUGAAGUAGAUAUAUCAAUAGCAAAAGCUAAAGAAAUACACAAGUCAAAUAAAGAAAAUUUAUUUAAAUGUAAAGGAUGUAAACUAGGAAAACUAAAAUUUUCUAUAGUAGAAAAACACUUCAAAGAGUGUAAUUUUAGAACAGACAAUUAUGGAUUUCGCCAGAAAGAAAAAACACAGGAAGAAAGUGAUGAUGAAACAACACGUAGUUUAAAAGAAUUAGAUGAAAGCGAUGAUGAAACAACACGCAGUUUAAAAGAAUUUAUGGAAACCGCUUCUUCAAGCUCAAGUCCCUUCCAAAAGACAACCCCAAUACCACCAAUAGAAUAUACUAUAGGUAAUUUACCACAACACCGUGUAUUUAGACAAGACCCGAUGACAGAACCAGAAAUGGUUAGACCUAUAGGAAUAAUAAUGCCAAUAGAAGCCCCCAUCAAACUCCAAGACAGGGGAGAUAGAUGAAAAAUACUAAAUAUAUCGGCUCAUGACCCUCAAUUAUGGAACUCAGUACUAGAUGUAUGGAAAGGAGUAGUAGUAGCAGACAACAUACACCAUUAUAGUGAAACAGAUGCAGAAACUAUGUAUAGAUACAUGGAAACCUUUCUAGGAGAAUCAAUCAAAGGAGUAUGGGAAGAAUAUAAGGUAGCUUACCCUCAAGAAUUCCAAGAACUAGUAAAUAUAGGACCAAACUCGUAUAAUUUUACUAAUAAAAUACACAGCCUGAUAACAGGAGAAGACCCAAAUAGCGGAUUAGUAGUGUUACAAAAGAAUGCACUAAUAAAAUUAGAACAACUUAGCAAAACAAAUUGGAGUCAUAUAAAGAAUUUUUUAAAAGACUAUUUUUACUAUUGCGCUAUAAGCGGUAAUGCGUUUGACCAAAGCUUGGGGAAAAAACUUUUUAACAAACUCCCUGGAGCCUUAGGAAGAGAAAUAGAGGAAAGAUGGAACAAAAGAGAGGGAGUAAUGACAAAACCCAAAUGCCAACUGGUCUAUAGGACAUAAAAUACAACAUGUCAUGGAAAUAUUACAAGAGAAAUGUACAAAUAUACAAAUACAAAAAUAAUUAAAACAAAAUGAGACUAGUUUUUGUAAGAAUAUAUAUACAACACAAAGCUAUGAUCAAAGUACACCAAAAAGAAAAUACAGAAAGACAUAUCAAAAUAACCAAGACUACAAACCUAGGAAAAGGUAUUAUCUAAGAAAAUCUACGGCAAAAAAACCUUACCUAAAUAAAGAUAGACAUGUAAGAAAACAAUAAUAAUAAUAAUAGAAUUUACAAAAAUAAGACUAUCUUGUUUUACUAUGUGGAAGUGAAGAACAUCUAGCUAAUACUUGUCCAGGUAGAAAUAAUAGUAGAACAAGAAAUGCCCAACUUAUAGAAGACUUCCAAGAAACCCUGAUAAAUGUAGAUGAAUACAAGUCAGAUAAUGAGAGCAUAUAUUUAGUAAUAAGCAUAGAUGCUAUAGAAGGAAGACAACAAGAUUCGUCUGAUUCAGAAGAAGAAACUUUAAUAAACGAGAUAGGAUUAGAAAAAUUAGACUUAAACAUGAAAGAUUUUACCUUUGUUAAUAUACAAUGCGAUCACCAAUUCUCCAAAGCAAAAGGGUUAGAUAGUCAAAAAUGCUUUAAUUGCACAUGAUACCCCAGUAAAGACAGAAGAGCUAAAUGUAUGAACUGCUAUGUAGAGGGAUGCCUUAUGUGCAUCGACAUGAUAUUUAACAUAAAAGUUAUAGACCAAACAAGAAGUACAAAAGAAAAAACAUUAAUAUCUUUAGAAAAAAGGAUUGAUAAUUUAGAGGACAGAAUAAGUAAAUUAGAAAAGGGAAAAGAAAAAUUAGAAGAGGGAACCAACCAAAACACAACGCCAAAAGAGGAAAUCGAGCUCUUAAAUGAAAAGGAGGACUAUAAAUCAUUUGAGGGAUUAAUUUGUAAUGAAGACAAGAAAAUUAAUACUAUCAAAAUAUUAACAAGAAUAAGAAUUCAAGACUACGAAAUAGAAACUUUAGCUCUAGUAGACUCUGGAUGUAAAAGUAUAAUAGAUAGAAGUAUCCUGCCUCUAGAUAUAAUAAAAUAAUUUCCAGAGCCACAAAGCGCCAUGCAAAUGGAUGGAUCUUCAAAUGUAUAUAAACAUUAUGUUAGUAAUGCUCAAAUAAGUUUUUUAAAUACAUGUGAAAACUUUUAUAAACACAUGUAUAGAUUAGAAAAAAUAUGGGUUAGAGACUUAAAUAUUAUAGUAGACUUUGUUUUAGGUUUAGACUUCUUAUUACAUAACAACGGAUGUUGUCGCCUUACUAGAGACGGAGUAAUAUUCUCUAAAAAUAUGACUCAUACCUCAAUAACAACAGAAUCGUUUCCAACGAAAUCUAGGUAUCUUAAAAAUACUGAUAAACUUAAUACAAACACUUCAAAAUGUAAUAAAGGAGAAGAAUGUAAUUAUACUAAGAUACAUGUUAUUGAAGAAGAAAUUGAAUUAUUAGAGCUAAGUUUAUCUGAUAUACAACUAGAGAAAAGUUAUAACUUAAUAGAAAUAAAUACAGAAUUUUAUAAUUUCAAAAAAGGAUUACAACAUAUAGGAGUCAUAAAAAAUCAAAAAGACCUAGAGGAGGUAAUUUCCAUCUUAGAUAAAUUAGAGAUAAUUGGAGAAAGACCUUUAAAGCACUGGGAAGCCAAUCAUAUAACUUGCAGACUGGAUAUCAUUAACCCAGAAUAUACUGUUAAAACUGAUUCAAUAGAAUCCACAAAUGAAGACCUAAAGGAAUUUGAAGAUCAGAUAAAAGAAUUACUAAAUUAGGGAGUGAUAAGAAGAUCAACUUCAAGACAUAGGUCAUCAACAUUUGUGGUAAGAAAUCAUAAUGAAAUAUUAAGAGGAAAAGCUAGAAUGGUAAUAAACUAUAAAAGACUUAAUGACAAUACCAAAAUGGAUGGAUAUAAGUUGCCAGAAAGAUCAAAAUUAAUAAAUCGAAUGCAAGGAAGAAUUUUUUUUAGUAAGUUUGAUUGUAAAUUCGAAUACUGGCAAGUCAAAAUGUAUGAAGACAGUAUAGAAUAGAAAACUUUCACUUGCCCAGAAGGACAUUUCGAAUGGUUGGUAAUGCCCUUCGAUUUAAAAACAGCUCCUCCGAUCUUUCAGAGAAAGAUGGACAAUAUAUUUAGAGAUUAUAAAAAUUUUAUUUUAGUAUAUGUAGACGAUAUCUUAGUAUUUAGUAAUAAUGCCAACAAACAUCUAAGACAUUUACAAACGGUGUUUAAAUUAUUUGUAGACAAUGGAAUUAUAAUUAGCAAAAAGAAAAUGGAAUUAUGUAAAAAACUAACAGUGGUUUCUCCUCCAACAGUCAAGUAACUAGCACUGGUUAUUCCAGCAAGAGCUCUUACUCUAACAGAACUAGUACCGUCAACUCCAAUUGUAGCAGCAGGAAUGUCUUCACCACCAGAUAAAUCUUAUAAAAUUCCUAGGGGUAGAAAUUGGAAAUGGAAAGAUAAAAUUACAACCCCAUAUAGCAAAAAAGGUUCUCGACAUGCUUGAUAAAUUAGAUAAUACUAAAGACUUACAAAAAUUUCUAGGAAUAUUAAAUUAUGCACGAAGUUUUAUAAAAGACCUAGGAAAAGUAACAGGACCCUUAUAUUCUAAAACAGGAAUUCAUAGGCAGAAGACAUUCAAUAUGGAAGACAUAAAAUUAGUACAAAAGCUUAAACAAAUGGUUAAAAAUAUACCAGAUCUAGCCCUCCCACUAAAAACUGACUGCCCAAUAGUGGAAACCGACAAAAGUCUAGAAGGAUGGGGAGCAGAAUUAAAAACAAAGAACAAUAAAUAUAUAGAAAAGAAAGACGAAAAAAUUUACGCCUAUCACAGUGAAAAAUACAAGGAAAAAGGAAACAUGAGUAGCAUAGAUGCAGAAAUUCUAGUAGUCAUAUAUGGACUAAAUAGCUUUAAAUUAUUUAUUAUUAAUAAAAAAGAAAUUUUAGUAAGAACUGACUGCAAAGCUUUUGUAAAAUUCCACCAGAAAAUAGAAGGAAAAAAUAGUAGUAAGAGAAGAUGGCUAAAUUUUUUAGACGCUACAUCAAUAUACAAUAUAUUUUUAGAAUAUAUAAACGGAAAAGAUAAUUCCUUAGCAGAUCAACUAAGCAGACUCAUGAAAACUAAUUAUUUAUUUUCAGAAUGAGUACAUGUAAGAACAAAGACAAGGCAUCCAGUUCAAGUUCAAGUAAUAGUGGGCAAAAAGACAAAGAUAUAUACUUAUAGACAUUAUUGGGAAACACUUCGUUUAGACCACAUACAAGAGAAGAAGAUGCAAGGAUAAAUACUCCUAUAGAAAGACUAUACUUUGGAAGACAAAAUUUAAUAUUUUAUCCUCCAUCUAAUUUAAGUUUCAGAGUAAAGCCAGAAACAAAAAUAGAUAAACAUCAAAGAUGUUUGAUAGACAAUCUAUGGAUAGCAUAUAACAAAAUUUUGAAAGACAAUAGCUAUUUUAUUUCAGUAUUAAACUCAGUAAGUUAUUAUUUUACGGAGAAAAAUGAAGACAAAAAGUUUAAAUUCUACGUAGUAGUUCGAGGAAAGCUAGCAGGCAUCUUCCAGACUUGGAUCGAGGUGAUAGACUCAAUUAAAGACUUUCCUACCCCAUUUUUCAAAGGAUUCAACGAUUUAAAUAAAGCACUAGACUAUGCUAGAGGAACUCUUGGGCCAAAUUAUUUCAUAAGCCCAGCUUUAAGACAAACUUCAAGACCUUUCCUGCAAUACAAUAUUCGAAAGGAUACUGACAAGAUAAUCUUCUGCGAUCAUUGUUCUUCAAUGACUGAAGGAUUCAAAAUACUAAACCAGACAAUUGAGAAACUAGAGACUGAGAAAGGGGAACUGACACAACAUAUCCACUCAUUACAAGAAAAAAUAAGGUUCUUCCUUGGAAAUACUAAUCAAACCAUACCAUUACAAAUACAAGACUACUCAAAAGGACCAAAGAGUUCUCCAUCUCAUCUUAAAAUGGAUAAGACGGGUGUUCAUCCUCCAACGAAUGUAGAAAGAGCUAUUGUAUCAGCUAAAUGUACAACUAGUCCCGUUCAAAUGGUAGCGGGUAAAGAUUCAUCAAAUCCGUUGAUGGCUGACACUUUGCCAAAAAGUGUUAAAAACAAAUUUGAAAAUAUUUGUUAAAAACAAACUUAAUUUUUUUGAAAUUGGGGGGUGGGGGGUCGCGGGUAGGGAGUGGNNNNNNNNNNNNNNNNNNNNNNNNNNNNNNNNNNNNNNNNNNNNNNNNNNNNNNNNNNNNNNNNGGGGAGGGGGUCGAGGGUAGGGGUGGGGUGGGAUGAAAAAUAAAAAAUUUAAAUUGGAAAUAUUUUUUUAAAAAAAAUUAUUUUUUUUGUGGGGGGGAGGGGUAGGGGGUGAGGUAAAAAAAUUUAAAAUUGAAGGCUUUAAAUUUAUUUUUUUCAACAAAAAAAUAAUAAUUGUAAUUUGAAGUUGGAGAGAGUUUUGGAAAACGUUUUUCUUAAUUUUUUGAAAGUAAGUCAUUUUCCUUAAAUUUGAGAAAAAUGAGUUAAUUUGAAAAUCAUUCUCCAAAACGUUUUACCCAACCAAAUAUGAUAAAAUUGAAAUACAUUUUCCGAAAAUGUUUUCCUUCAUACCAAACACACCCAAUAUGAUGAAUCAAUGAUGGAUUAUGGUGAAAUUUACUUUUUUCAUAGAAAAAUAUCAAAGAAUUAUACUAUUCAUGUUUGAUAAAAUAUCCUUCAAUAAGACCUGGUGAAUAUCAUAUGUCUCUGUUUCGAUGCAUCUUAUAAAUCCUAUUGAAAUUCUGUGAGGUUGCUCGUGUCCUUUGGUUGGUGGGCUUAAUUUUUUGAACUGUGAAUGCAUCUUAACAUAAUUUUGAUUUUUGAUGGGUUCUCCAAAUCUAACAAUUUUAUUUGGGAUCCCUUUUUUUAGGGGGAAAGUCUCAAAUGGGAAAUAAAGUUGGCACUUUGAAGAUUUUGAAGCUAGAAUUUGUGAGCUCUCUCUUUGUCUACACAAAUUUCAAACGGCCUGUUAUAGCUUCAAGGUAAUCGUCUUCGGAAAUUUGAAUUCUUUUGGUUCUUAUUUUAAUCUUGCACAAAAGUGUAACAUUUACCCUUUGUUUGGAUCAUUGUUACCCAUUAUAUUGUAUCGUUACUAUACCUACAAUGUUUGUUUUGAUUAUUACUUAAAAUAUAUUGUAUUGUAUUGUUAAAUUUCGUUGUUACGUAACAAUGAAAACCUCUAUUUUAUGGAACAACCAAUUUGGUGUGUUCCCAAUUGUUACUUAAUUUCUUUUUCCAAUUAUAUCUUUUACAUAAUAUUUCAAAAUACUAUUUUAUCCUUUACCUUAUAUUAUUUAAUUCUAAUCAAACCUCCUACUCUACAUAUAUACAAAUGGCUUACAUAUACCAUUUUCCUCUAACAGAGAUGAAAAAAAUUAAUUUUAGUUUAAUUUUUUUUAAAAAAAAAAAAACUAUAAUCCCAUAUGAGUAUAUUUAAUCCUCCUCAAACAUAUAUUUUUUUUGUUUCAAUGACUAAUUUAAAUUUAUUAUUUUAAUGGUCAAAUUUAUUUAUGUUUCACUAAUAUUCUUGUAAAACUUAUUAUUGUUUACAUCUCCGCUUUAUUCAAAUAGGGCGAAACGUCCUGAUGACUCAAAAAAUAAACAAUUGAUUCAAUUUUAAAUUUUUUUUAAGAAAAUAAGAAUUUUAAAGGAGUCACCACCUAAUUUUAGGAAACCAAUUAAAUGAUCUACGAAACCAAGAAAUUUUAGGUAAGGGGUUCAAGUUAAUUCGAAGGAAAAGUGUUAGGCAUCAUUCGAAAUUCACAAUUGUGAGUUCCGACCGAAUUCAUUUUUUCAAAUUGAGGAGGAAGUAAAAAUAGUAUACAAAUAUAACAAACAUACAAUAUACACAAGUAAUAUGAGAAACGACCUAAUAUUUGCCUAUCAUCAAUAAUAUACAUAAUAAUGAUUAUAAUAUUCGAACUUUAUUCGAAUGGCUUCGAUGAGAAACGACUUCGGGGUACCUAUAAAGACACUUAAUAAAAGUGUUAAUACUAAAUAUAUAUGAAUAAAAAUAAAUAAAGCAAAUAAUAACUUAAAAAUAAAAACUCAUCUUAUUAACAUAGGAGGCCUUAGAAAUAGACUGUAAUUUCUUCAUCGGCCAAUUUUAACAAAUAAAAUAUACAAACUUAAAUUAAAUUUUCGUCUUUUGCAAUGUAGAGGCCUCCAAAACCGACGGAAAUUUUUUUUCAUUAGGCAAAUUAUAGCAUUUACUUAACAUGAAUUAAGGAAAUAAUCCUAUAGUAAAAUUGACAAAACCCUUCGGGGUGGCCCAGUGGUUUGGGCUUGGGACUUCCAUGUUGGAGGUCUCAAGUUCGAAACCCCUUGCCAGCGAAAGCAAGGGUUUGCCCUCUGGGUCGAGCUCAUCGCACCGGGCUUGCCUAGUGCGGGUUACCUCUCCUAUGUGGUUUGCGAGCUAUUGCAUAAGAGCGGGGGUUUUACCCUGUGCGCAUCCAAAGGGUAGCAGCUGCGGGUUUCCCUUGUCAUCAAAAAAAAUAAAAUUGACAAACAUUAUAUUUAAACUAGCUCAAAAAGAAUAACAAAUUAAUAACGGACAAUGCACAGAUAAUGAUAAAAUAAUUUCGACACUUUUCUAAAAAAAACAACUACUAGUGCUAACAACAUCAAAGAAAUAAAUAAAUUAAGAAGAAUAAUGGAAGUAAAAUCUGUAAUCUAAACAAAAAUAAAAAUAAAAAAUGAAACCGAACACCACAAUCACAAUAGUAUCUAAAUGAAGUAUAAUCUGUAACCGAUUAAAAUAAUAAUAACAAUAAUAAACAAAAGAGGAAACAAAGGCAUAAUAAUAACAAUAAAAUAAAUCCACAACUUAGAGAAAAUUACAAUACUCAACCUUCUUUAAUUAAUAAUUAGAAAUUACCAUUAUGUGCCACUUUAUACGAAUUGAGAGAAUUAACCACAAAUAAAUAGACUAAUCAAGAAUAGCUAACUAUAGUAUCCAAAAUAAACUAAACAAAAAUAAUGGAUUCGAAAGCACAUUCAUAAACUGUAAACGUAAACAAUAAUAAAAAGAAAUCAAGGAAUAACAGAUACAAAAAUUACCGAUCCCGGUCUGGUUCCUGGCGACUUCGUUGUUUUGAGCUACUAUUCGCCGGAGUUGUUUUGCCAGAGUUCGGAAUGUUGGUUGUUGUUAUUGUUACCUCCUGGAGGAGCUCGUGGGUGGAGCUGGUGUGGUCAGCCUCUGGUUUCGAUGAGUUGGAGCUUGGAGCUCACUGGCUGUUGUUCGCCUGGGCUUCGUGGGUUUUGAGCUACUUCUUGCUGGGGUUGCUGGUUCAACGAGCAAAGGGGAGAACGAGGAUGGGGUUUUGGGUUGGUUUCGCCGGAAAAAGGGUGAAGAGAGUUGGGGUCUUAGUGGUGGUUUUGGUGGUGAUUUUGGCUGAAGGGUGGUGGCGUUUGGGUGGGUUGGAGAGCUGCUGGUUGCAGCAGAGAAAACAGGAGGGGUUUUGGGUCUGUUUGGUUGGCUGAUUUUGUGGAUUUGGGGUCUAUUUGGAUCGUGGUUUUGCCGGAAAAAGAGGUGAACGGAGAUGGUUUGUUGGGUUGGAGUUUCUCGGAGGUUGUUUGGUUGUUGUUAAUGGUUGUUUUCGGUGGCUUUUGGUCUUUGGUGGUGGCUGGAUUGUUGCUGGAAACGAAAAGGGGGGUGAGCACUGGCUCGCCGGAAAUGGAGUUUGAGUGGUGAUGAGGAAGGAGGGUGGCGGCAGCUUUGACAAGAUGAUAGAAAAAUCGUUUUUGGUUUCAGUCAUUUUGAAAUUUUUCACCACUUGGACUAAAAAUAUUGUUCAUCCUCUUCACUUAAUGAAUAAGCUAUUGUUUAUAUAGAAAAUUGAAAAUUAUCUAUAGUAUAAUACGAUUAUCUUAAAAUCAUGGGCUGAAACCAUUAGUUAAAUAAAAUAUUUGUAUAUAAAUCUUAUUUAUAUUUGAAUCAAUUUUUAGACAGUGCAAAAUAUCAAAAUUAAUAUUAGCAAAUGUAACAAAUAAAAAUGAAUAUUAUUAAAAAAAAGGAAAGUAAUGAACGUAACAAAUGACAUGUAUAAAGUGCAAUUUAAUAGAAAUAACUAUUUAAUCAAGAUGAACAAAUAUUUGAACGUAUUUAACCAGCUAUGACAAAAAAUAAUGAAAUUAAAAUUAACUGAUAAAAAAUCCUAAAUUUUGACAAAUAAAAAUAAUUAUCGAUAAACUUAUUUAAAAUUAUAAAAAAUGUAUUUUGAACAAUUAAAUAAAUAAAACUUAAAAGUUACGAAUUUUGAAAAUGUUAGGUCAAAAUUGGGUGUCAACAAUUAUAGAUGACCUUUUUUUUUUCUUCAAAUACAAAAAUUAAAUUACAAUAUAGACAAAAAAAAAAUUGUUUUAAAUUAUAAUAUAGCUGCAAAAAAAUAGUUUUAAUUUUUUUUUCUUUACACCAAGGAAUGAAAGAAAAAAUAAAAUAAGAAUAAGAAACUAAAAUAAUGAAAAUCAAAGAAGUCAAAAAAUAAUUUAUGUAUGAAAAAAAUUGAAAUAUACCUUGAACUUUGCAGAAGAAUCUUAUAUAUCCCUAAAUGAUUUUUAAAACAAUUAAAAGUCAAAAAUAUAAAUUUAAAAUUAAUUUUUUCACUUCCGUUAAAUGAAGAUAUAUGUGAGCUCAUUUUGUAACGAUAGGGUAUAUGUGAGCCGUUUAUAUAACAACAAAGGUAUAUAUGAGUCACUUUCAUAACGAGGACAUAUCAACUCUAAAUAAAAAAAUUGACAGGUAUAUCAGACCCUUUUCCCUAGAAAAAAUAAUACCUUAGAGAAAAGGAAAAUGGAACAGAAUCCAAUUCUUCACAAUUCUAAAACGUAUUCAUGAUAUGCUAGGCCAAACUAAGCACUACAAUGAGCUGUUGAAAAAUGGACAAGUGCACAAAGCAAAAAGUAACGAAUAGACAUAAAGCAAAAGAUACCUUCCUCAAUUAUUCAAUUAGUGGAGUCAUACUUUUUGAAAAGAGAAACGAGGACAGUUUUGCUUCUUGUAGAUUAGCUGAAACAUAGUUGUACUAAUUUCAAGCAAUCACUGAUCAUUCUUGUUUGCAAAUUACUCUCAACAUUCAACAGGUAAAGUAAGUUCUAUCUUAGUAGUUGAAGAUAGAAAAAUUUAUCUUCUCAUCAAAAUCAUUUUGUGUUUCCUUGUUUUGAUUUGCAGAUUUCAGAAAUGGAGGUUGGCUUAGCAGUUGGUGGUGCAUUUCUUCUCUUCAGCUUUGAAUGUUCUCUUUGAUAGGCUUGCUCCUCAGGGUGAUCUUCUCAACAUGUUUCACAAGCAUAAGCAUCAUGUUCGGCUCUUCAAGAAGCUGAAAAUGACUUUACUUGGUCUUCAAGCUGUUCUAAGUGAUGCAGAGAAUAAGCAGGCAUCAAAUCAAUUUGUGAGCCAGUGGCUUGAUGAGCUUCGAGAUGCUGUGGACAUUGCUGAAAACUUAAUUGAACAAGUCAAUUAUGAAGUUUUGAGGCUUAAGGUUGAAGGUCAGCAUCAGAAUCUUGCAGAAGCAAGCAAUCAGCAAGUAAGUGACCUUGACCUGUGCUUAAGUGAUGAUUUUUUUCUUAACAUAAAGGAGAAGUUGGAAGACACCAUGGAAACAUUGGAGGAUUUGGAAAAGCAAAUUGGCCGCCUUGGCUUAAACGAGCAUUUUGGUUCGACUAAACAAGAAACUAGAACACCUUCAACUUCUUUGGUUAAUGAAUCUGAUAUCUUUGGUAGGCAGAGCGAAACAGAGGAUUUGAUUGACCGUUUAUUGUCUGAAGAUGCAAGUGGAAAAAAUCUGACUGUAGUUUCUAUUGUUGGAAUGGGUGGCGUGGGUAAGACAACACUUGCUAAAGCGGUUUACAAUGAUGAGAGGGUGAAGAACCAUUUUUGUUUGAAAGCUUGGUAUUGUGUUUCUGAGGCAUAUGAUGCUUUCAGAAUAACAAAAGGGUUACUUCAAGAAAUUGGCUCAUUUGACUUAAAGGAUGACAACAAUCUUAAUCAGCUACAAGUCAAAUUGAAGGAAAGCUUAAAGGGAAAGAAGUUUCUUAUUGUAUUGGAUGAUGUGUGGAAUGAAAACUACAAUGAGUGGGAUGACUUGAGAAAUAUUUUUGUACACGGAGAUAUAGGAAGUAUGAUAAUUGUAACGACACGUAAAGAGCGUGUUGCCUUGAUGAUGGGUAGUGGGGCAAUCAACGUGGGGACUCUGUCUGAUGAAGUCUCUUGGGAACUAUUCAAACGACAUUCACUAGAAAACAGGGAUCCUGAGGAACAUCCAGAACUUGUAGAGGUUGGAAAACAAAUUGCACACAAGUGCAAAGGAUUGCCUUUAGCUCUAAAGGUACUUGCUGGUAUUUUACGCUGCAAAUCAGAGGUGGAUGAGUGGAGAGACAUUUUUGAGAAGUGAAAUAUGGGAGCUUCCAAGUUGUUCGAAUGGUAUAUUACCAGCGCUAAUGUUGAGCUACAAUGAUCUUCCUGCACAUUUGAAGCAAUGUUUUGCUUAUUGUGCAAUAUAUCCUAAAGAUUAUGAAUUUUGCAAAGACCAAGUUAUUCACUUGUGGAUUGCUAAUGGUCUUGUACAUCAGUUGCAUUAUGGUAACCAAUACUUUCUCGAGUUGAGAUCAAGAUCACUGUUCGAAAGGGUCCCAAAGUCUGCAUGGAAACUGGAAGUAUUCUUAAUGCAUGACCUUGUCAAUGAUUUGGCCCAAAUUGCAUCUUCAAAUCUUUGUAUAAGGUUGGAAGAGAACAAAGGAUCGCAUAUGUUGGAACAAUGUCGGCACAUGUCCUAUUCAAUAGGAGAAGGUGGUGAGUUUGAGAAAUUGAAAUCACUCUUUAAAUCAGAGCAGCUGAGGACAUUACUUCCAAUCAAUAUGCCUUUCUAUUGCCAAAAUAAGCUAAGCAAGAGGGUGCUGCAUAACAUUUUGCCAAGACUAACAUCCUUAAGGGCAUUAUCGUUGUUACGCUAUGAAAUUGUUGAGUUGCCAAAUGACUUAUUUAUCGAAUUAAAGCUCCUGAGAUUUUUGGAUAUUUCUCGGACAAAGAUUAAAAGGUUGCCAGAUUCCAUUUGUGUGUUGUAUAACUUAGAGACACUUCUCCUUUCAUCUUGUGAUUAUCUUGAGGAGCUACCGCUGCAGAUGGAGAAGUUGAUCACCUUGCGUCAUCUUGACAUAAGCAACACUCGUGCCUUGAAGAUGCCACUAUAUCUGAGCAAGUUGAAAAGCCUCCAAGUGUUAGUGGGAGCCAAGUUUCUCUAGGUGGUUCGAGAAUGGAAGAUUUGGGUGAAGUACAUAACUUGUACGGAUCUCUAUCAGUUGUAGAGUUGCAAAAUGUGGUUGAUAGUAGGGAAGCUGUGAAGGCAAAAAUGAGAGAGAAGAAUCAUGUUGAGCAGUUAUCUUUGGAGUGGAGUGGAAGUAGUAGUGCCGACAAUUCACAAACAGAAAGAGACAUACUUGAUGAGCUACGCCCACAUAAAAACAUAAAAGAAGUCGAGAUCACCGGAUAUAGAGGGACAACAUUUCCAAAUUGGCUAGCUGAUCCUUUGUUUCUUAAUCUAGUAGAGUUGUCUAUUGAUAACUGCAAGAACUGUUAUUCCUUGCCAGCACUAGGACAACUCCCUUGUUUGAAAUUCCUUUGGAUUAGAGGGAUGCAUGGAAUAACAGAGGUGACGGAAGAAUUCUAUGGCAAUUUGUCCUCCAAAAAGCCUUUUAGCUCUCUUCAGGAGCUUGGAUUUGUUGAUAUGCCGGAGUGGAAGCAAUGGAACAUACUAGGAAUUGGAGAGUUCCCUAUACUUGAGAACCUUUCAAUUAUAAAUUGCCCUGAAGUCUGUUUGGAGAGACCCAUCCAACUUUCAUGUUUAAAAAGGUUUGCAGUUUGUGGUUGUCCUAAGGUUGGAGAAGCUCAAAUGUUUAGAUCCCAACUUGAGGGAAUGAAGGAGAUUGAGAAUUUAGAAAUUAGUGAUUGUAACUCUGUUACCUCCUUUCCUUUUAGCAUACUGCCCACUACCUUGAAGAGAAUAACCAUAUAUCGUUGCGAGAAAUUGAAAUUGGAGGUGCCAGUUGAUGAGAUGAGUAUGUUUCUGGAGGAAUUGACACUGUAUAAAUGUGAUUGUAUAGAUGAUAUAUCACCUGAGUUUUUCCCAACAGCACGCCAUUUGAAUGUAGAGGAUUGCCACAACCUUACUAGGGUUUUGAUUCCUACUGCCACUGAAAGACUCACUAUUUUGAAUUGUGAGAAUCUUAAAAUACUUUCGGUUGCAUGUGGGGGAACCCAGAUGACAAUUUUGUAUAUUGAGGGCUGUUGGAAGCUGAAGUGGCUGCCAGAACGUAUGCAGCAACUCCUUCCAUCUCUUAAGGAACUGUAUCUCUAUAAUUGUCCAGAAAUAGAGUCCUUUCCUGAAGGAGGAUUGCCCUUCAAUUUACAAGCCCUUUGGAUCAGAAAUUGCAAGAAACUGGUGAAUGGCCGAAAGGAGUGGAGUUUACAGAGACUCUCCUGUCUCAGAGAGUUAUCCAUCGUACAUGAUGGCAAUGACGAAGAGAUUGUUGGUGGUGAGAAUUGGGAGUUACCUUCCUCUAUUCAAAGACUUACCAUAGAGAAUCUGAAAACAUUAAGCAGCCAACAUCUCAAAAGCCUCACCUCUCUUCAAUAUCUAUGUAUUCGUAAUUUACCUCAAAUUCAGUCACUGCUGGAACAAGGGUGGCUUCCCUCGCCUCUUUCUGAGCUACGUUUAUAUCACCAUCAUGAGCUCCAUUCACUAGGUCUUUGGCACCUCACUUCGCUUCAAAUUCUACACAUCAUUAAUUGCCCUAAUCUCCAAUCACUUUCCGAAUCAGCACUGCCCUCUUCCCUCUCUAAACUACAUAUUCGCGACUGCGCAUUGCUCACACCACUACUAGAAUUUGACAAGGGGGAAUACUGGCCAGAAAUUUCUCAUAUCUCCACCAUACAGAUCAAUGAGGAAUACCUUUAAUGAUUAAAACAACUGUAAGUUUUUCUUUUUCCUCAUAAGCCUUUUAUUAUUUUUUCAACUUCUCUUUGCUUUUAUGUUAAUGCUUUUUCUUUAUUACAUUCUUGUUUCGCAGUAUGGAGUGUCUAUUGCCACUAUGAAGCUGAUGAUUUUAAUUUUAGAACUCAAUAGCAAUUAAUGUUACAUAUCUUACUCGAAGAUUUUUAUCGCUUGAACUUUCAUCUCAAUAGCAAGUCAUGUAUACUUGUUCUUUCCCUUUUCAGUGAGUUUAGAGUGAUGCACAUGUCCACUAUCAAAUUCAAAACUCUUAAUAGAAUUCAAAGGUGUACCAUACACAAGAUGUGUUUCAGUGAGUUUAGAGUGAUGCACAUGUCCACUAUUCAGGUUUUUAUUAAUGAUUCAGCCCCAUCGUAGAGAUCGAUUGGGAAUACCUGUGAUGAUUAAAACAAAUGGCUCUCCAACUGAUGUAAGUUAUUCUUUUCCAUCAGAAGCUUUUUAUUUUUGUUUUCAUUUUGCUUUUUUGUUGAUUCUUUUCCUUUAUAAAACCUUGUUGAGCAGUGUAGAAUGCCUAUUGCUCAAAUCAUAAAUCUUGAUUAGGAGAACCCUGUAAUGAUUAAAACGAGUUCUGCUCCGAUAGAUGUAAGUUAUUCUAUUUCCUUAAAUGUAACUAAUAUUCACUGGAUAUUCUAUUUCCUUAGUAUAUUUUGAUUGAGAUAAUUUGCUCAAGAAAGUUGAUUGCUUAAUAUAUGUUAUCACCUUUGGAGAUAUAGGGUCCAAGAAAUGCAACCUCACUUUCUCAAUCAGGUAGCCAACACAUUGAUAAAAGUUAUAUCAAGCUUCAAAUUUAAAGAAAUUGAAAACGACUUUGAAUAUCUGCUUCCAUUAUUUUACGCCAUGUUGUACCACAUUGAUUUCAAGUUUGAUUCCACUGCAUAAUUACAUCAGUUUUUUUUUUGUUUUGAUAUUCAAUUAUCUAGAAUAUUACAUCACUUUUUGGUUUUGAUAGUCAGAGAACUUUGAAGAUUAUGAAGUUUCCUUCAAAUUAAGCCCAUUACUCAACCUCGAGUGACACCUCAGAGCUAGCGGAAAGUCAAGAAAGUUUAUCCUGCUCGGGAUGAAGUUAAUGUUAGAUAACAAAAUAAUGAUUUACUCGUGUUUCAGUUACUAAGAUUCUUAUUUUGUAGUAAUAUUUUGGACUCUCAUAACUCAGUGACAUGGAUUUCCUUCAUUGGCACCCUCAUCAGUCAUCAAUCAGUGAAACAGAGAAAUCGACUGUUUCAAAACUCUCUGAAACCCAUUUUGAGCUUCAUGCCUUCAAUUCCGAUGAAACCCAAAAGGCAUCAACAGAGUAGAAGAAUUCAACCCAAAACCCAUUUCAACCCAAGUUUUCUAUUCCUGCUUCACCUGAUAGGAAGAAGUUUACGUAUGAGAAAGGUCUAAAGGUACAAAUAUUUUUUCUUCUCCUUUUCUUACUGUGGUGCUUAAAUUGGUUUUGUCCCACUUUGCAUCACAAUGAUGUUGGAGUAUAUCGGUUUUCUACUGGUAUUCAGAUACUUAAAAUGGAAAAUUGCUUUGGAAAAUAUCGUUUCAUUGUUCGAAAGUUGUUUAACAUACAAUUGGCAUCUGUUGAUCCAAUUUUUUCAUUUUUCUGUUAAUCUUCUUCUAUCCUUAGUUUACAUGUCUUCUGAUUGAGUUAUAAUACAUGCCUUGAUUCUAUUGAAGAUGAGAAAUCGUCAAAUGCCUUUAUGAAGUGUUUGCUAAGUUGAUGUCGCCUAAUUCACAUUUCACUGAAUUAAUUUCUGACCCAAGUUUAUGCAUAUGUUUGGUCUAACAUUGAAAAGGAAAAAUGUCGAAUGAUAUGGAUAUUUUUGUUUUUAAGAAUACAAAGUCACUAUAAAGGUAGAAAAUUUCGAUGGUAUUAAUUUUGAUAUGCAUCACCAUUGAGAACUUUGCCUGAGGUAUUAAUUUCUAUUUUCGCUGUUUAGAAAUGUUUAAUGUAACUCCUAAUUGUGAUGCUUCAUUCACACAUUUUUGAAAUAUAUUACAUAGAAAAUAUGCUUCUAUCCAAGGAAAAUUAUAUCUGCCUAGCUCUAACCUCCAGUACGUGUAUUCAUGAAUAAAAUGAUAGAAAAUGGAAACAAGGAAGGAAAACAUGUGCUGUUUGUUCUCGAUUUUUAAAUAUUGUAUCCUCUUUCGCUUCUGUUUUUCAUUUGCUCUCCUAGCUAAUAGUCUUUUAUUUACUGAAUAAUCAUAUGUUAUAUGUCUCCUUAAGUUCCUGUAUUUUUUAUUUCACAAACUUCACAUAAGCAUACAAGUAAUUGCAAUAGUUUAUUUGUGCUUCCAGAUUCGUUUAGUGUGAGGUCUGAUUUUUCUUUUUCCUUUUACAGCUAUUAGGAAAAGCUUGCCUAUGUGGCUCUUGACUAUGAGCAGGAGAUUGAAACUGCCAGGAGCAGCUCCUCCACUGAAAAGAACUAUGAAUUGCCUGAUGGACAAGUUAUUGCCUUUGGUGCUGAGAGGUUCCAUUGCCCAGAGGUCCUCUUCCAGCCAACGAUCCUUCCCGUGCGUUGAUCGUGGAUAAGACACUCAGAAGAAGAAAAGAUGACACGAAGAUGGUUAGCUGCAACAUGACUGACAGAAAUUUCUUUAUAGGAGGAAAAUGGAAUCUAUCAUGAAGAAUCCGGGAUGAAGACAUAGACCCACAGUGUGAAAGAGGUAAGAGAGUUUCAUCUACAAUGUUAACAGAAACUUUAAUAGGUAAAGGAGGCAGACAAUAGCAAUUGAUUAUCGUUUAGUGAUUAUCUUGCUUGUUAUAAACAUCAGGAGCAUUUGAUGGUAAGAUGUCAUAUAUCUUGGUAUCUAACAGGUACCCUGGGGUAUUAAUGAGUGAGGUUGAGGAUGGAAAGCCAUUCAGCCAAGUUGUUAAUGCUGCUAAAAGCCUUGGCUACACUAUUAAUGUUUGUAAAAUCACCAUAUAUAUGAGAAUUGAAGAUAUGACUUACAAAAACAGAAAGUUGUCGAUUGAAUAUAUGAUAUUGUCUAUUCAUAAUUAUGUGUAGUCUUACAUUUUUGUUUAUAUGUUGCUCUUUCUAUGAGUAAUUUCCACUCGUUUUCCUGUCAGGCAAGUGUUCCUCUGGUACAAUAAUAUUUUCUGGCCUUCUGCUUAGGAAGUUUGUCUAGGACUAAUUUGAAUGUGAGAGAAGUCAGAGAAACACGAGAAGCGAUUAAGAGAAUGUGUAAUACAAAUGUCUUACACAUGAAUUCUUCUUUUAUAUGCUCACUUUACGGUGCAUCUUCAUACAUUUGUCCAAUGUGGUGAACAUGCACAUACAACUCUAUAUUACAAUUAUCUCUUGUUAUUUACAUUUAGCUAUCUGAUUCUCCCCUCUAGCUGGUGCGUACAUGUAACCUGUAUAGGAUUUGAUGAAUAUGUCUAUAAGUUGAUCGGUCGACUUUCCAAACUUUAUAAGAGUGUCGUGAAAGCAUUUUUUGGGGAAGGGACAGUCGGUUUCUAUAUGCUUGGUCCUCUUGUCAGAUUCUGCAUACAAUGGAUACAAGUACAACUUGAUUAAUUAUCACACUCAAGUUUUGUUAUGAUCAAAUUUCAAUUGUUAGAGAAAAAUGUAUCUCAGGUUUAACUCUGCCCAAAAGUUACCUCAUGACAUGCGGAUUGCCAAAGAUCACAUAAAGAGAUUACAACAAAACAUCCUCAACUGAAGUGAGACUAACAUCUUAAUUCUUAUCGCUUGCACAGGGCGGAACAUAUGAAGUAUGUAUAACAUAACACAGGGGGGCUUAACAUUGGGUAAUAACUAAACACUAGGGAUGAGCUUGAGUGAGAUAUCAUUAAGAAAAUGGACUUUGUGCCUAACCCAGUCCAGAAAGCUAGUCCAAGAUCAUAUAAGGGUACCUUUAACCAAUGUGGUAAACUAACAGCAACCAUUUUCGAUCCUUUUGGUGGUUGUUAAUCUAUGUGCUCAUCGUUACCAUAGUCAUGACCCAAUAUUCUCUUUCUUCUAUAUUGCCCAAUUGCCUGAAAGUAUUAUAGUAUUUAGAAGUAAAACGUAUAUAAAGAAGGUAUCACUGUCCAUUUUGCAUCGUAAUUGUCUUUGAUUUUUGUUGAUAAUCCUUUCCAAGAGCAGGCUUCCUACCCCAAAAUUCUGUUUCCAGCUGGAUUAUAUAAGAAAUUUGGAGCCAUUCAAAACUUCUAAGGAGAUUCUAGUUCCUGUUCUAAUAAAGAAAUAAUGUCUUCAAUGCAUUGUCAAGAUGCAGUCAAUUUUCUAGCAGCAGUUAGCAGGAACCGUACAUCCAUCCCAAAAUAUCAUUAUGGAAGAAAUCGCUGACACUACACUUCAUCUCAAUUCUCAUUAGGAUAGUUGAAGUAUGAAGUUAUUCUUAUGUAUUUAUACUUAUCUGCAGAUCCUCGGGAUGAUCUAGGUGGUAUGGAUGCAGCAAGAAAGGUUAGGAAACGUCUUUCUUCUGAUUAAACUUACAGUGUCCAAGAUUUCAAUCCAUUUAUAUUGCCAAAUUAUUAUGCUGAUUAAGCAUUAUCUUUCUUUUUUCUUUAUCUGAACUUACCUGCAGUCUUACAGUAUGCAUAAUUGAUACAAUUAUUCUAUUUUGCAAAGGCUGGCUAUGAUAUUAUGUAAAAAGGCUGGCUAUGAUAUUAUGUGAAAAGAUCUGAGCUUCCAAUAUUGGAGACCCUAUAACCUUUAAAAUCCUCUGUUCAACCCAUAUGCAACAACUAUAUAACUCAACUGGAAAUGGCUAAGAAUCAAAUAUACGAUACUCCAAGACCACUCAAUUCUUUGUUUAUAAGCCAACAUAAACAAUAUGAUACAAUUAUUCUGUUUUGCAAUGUCAACUGCAACGAGUCUGAACCAUUGAAUUAACCAUCUAAAAGAACGUAAUUAAAAGUAAAUUUUGAAAAAAGAACGAAAAACUAGUUGAGUGAUUGGUGAUUAUCAUUUGCUUAUUCUGUUUUUUCCCCUUAUCAUGGUUACUUGUAAGUAUAAUCUCGUAAGGAAAAAAAACAUUCAAGCCAGUCCCAUCUGGAUAUAAAAUUCAAGGUUUCUUCUAGUCUGUGAUUCUGCUAUUCUCUUUUGUAUCAUGAAAAGUGUCUCGUUAGCUAUAGUCAUAUGUGCAUGAGAGUGUAGAGGGAGCAUCUCUGCUUCAUAUUUCAAGUACUUUGUUAUAAUCUUUCCUUAAUUUGUAUUUGGGAUGAUGAUGUCUUUGGGGGGUAGAAAAGCUGUGAUUAAGCCAGAAUCAUUUUCGCAGAUUGCGAUGGGAAGCAUAUCUUAUCCAACUUAAUAUAGUUAAUACUUGGUUUCUCGGUACCUUUCAUGAAACGUUCAUAGUUCUAAUUGGUUCUGUAAAUUUUGAGAAGUUGAACAUCCCUCAUAACAAUAUUUUGUUUUGAUGUCUUCAUAACAGGCUCUAAUUCUUGCUCGGCUCCUUGGACGACGUUUAAACCUAGAUAAUAUGAAGGUUAGGAUACAUGUCACCAUGUCUCUUUGUUUUGUUACUAGCUCAAUUAGCUUCAGAAACCUUGAUGCAUAUGCAAAUCCCUUUUCAGAUUGAAAGCUUGUAUCCUGAAGAAAUGGGACCAGAUGUGAUGCCUCUGGAAGACUUUCUAGUGAAUGGCCUUCCCUUACUUGAUAAGAAAAUUGAAGAUAGGACUAAACAAGCUUGAAUUUUCUGCGUUAGUUUGCUUGAUGAUGAUGCGUGGUAAUUCUUUCACUUCAUUUUUAGUUUGCUCAAUGGAUAAUGACAACUUGAUCUUUUAUUCUAAUCACAUUCUGCAAGUCACCAUACCUCUAGCAGCUUAAAGCAAAGCUUGCUCACUGACGGGAGUGUUAUGGUCAGUUGUUCACCUCUCGUAUCCACGACCAAUUAAAGAACGAGUUAGAAGUAUAAAUCUGUAAUGGCAUAGAUGAGGGAACAUUGAACUAUCUUUAAAUGAUAGUUCCAAAAUAUUUUCAUUAAUUAGUUCUUUUUUCAUGUAUUUAGGGUUGGGAAGGUGGCAGAUGGGUAUGCAGAAUUAUCAUAUUUUUUUCUUGAGACUUAUGUUGAGAAAAUUGUUAUAAGCUCUUGUAUUUAGUAUAACAUCAAUUGAAAAUUGGGAAGCAAAAACUUGUCGGCUCAUUCUACAUAAGACCUAUGUUUGGAUUUACAAAAACAACAUACCCAAUGUAACCCCACAAGUGGGGUUUGGGGAGGAUAGGAUGUAUGCAGACCUUGUCUGGAUUUGUUUGAAUAUAAUUCACUAACAUGUUCAUAUGGUAAUGAUGGGUUCGUUUGGAUGCAAAAUGGCAAUGUUAUCCAUACUAGUAGAAACUUAGAAUCUAUCUUUGGUUUCUUUAAGCGGUUUGGUCUCACCUUGUAAGGUUUGAAGUUUCAUUUCUUGUAUUGUCUUGAACAAGUGUAUAUCAAGGAGUAUUUAUUAACUUGUUGGUUGAAGAAAAAAAAUAGAUAUUUCUGUUUAUUGGUUUUUGUCUUCUUGAUAAGUGUCUACUUUAGAACUAUUAUGAAUUGUUCUAGCAAAAUCAACUGCUACAAACAGCUUCACUGAAAACAAAUAGCACAGAAGAAAGUGUCUGGCGGUCUGCUGCUUGGGGAAAAAUUGAUUAUUGAAAACACUUUUGUGUACAUGACAUUAACAUCACUCAUUUUCAGAUAUGAAGUUGGCAUCCAAGAAGUUCCAAAAGAUUUUGCAUUGGGAAGAUUAAGAGGAAGUGAUAAUGUGGUGCGCAUUGUGCACUUUCACCUCCCAUUUUGCUGUUUCUUUGGUCCCUCUUCUUUUUGUUCCAUUACUUUGUUUUCCGUUGGGAAUUUUCUUUUAACUGCUAUGGAGGUUCAACCAUAUCAUACUCGUCGUUAUUAGAUUAUCAAGGUAAAACAUUUUUAAUUGUUUAAAGCCCUUUUGUGAUGUCAUUUUUGUAGUGAUGUAUUACAUCAUGCUGUGAUUUUAAAGAAUUGCUCAUCUUUUACCCAUGCCUAAGGCGAACGCUUUACUUUGUCUUUACUCUUUACACAUCAUCUGGUGUCGCCCUGCAAAACUUUGUGCAGUUAAGGUCUUUGAUUCUAUUCUACCUUAAUCGUAGAAUGUAUCCCUUGUACUAAUUAGGAGGUAAUACAAACAGUAAGAUUAAUGACUUGGUUUUGUCGAAGAAUGACUAUGAUGAUUGAACGUCUGUAAUUUGGAUUGUUUGUCUACAGGUGGAGAUAUACAGCCGUUGUUACGAGAAACAACCUUUGGUUAUCCAAGGCGCUGGAGCAGGAAAUGAUACCACAGCAGCUGGUGUCCUAGCUGAUAUCCUUGACAUUCAAGAUUUAUUCCCUUGACCGAGUAUUAUACACUGAGAUACAAACAUUCGAUCCUCAAAGGAUGAAAAAUCGACUCUUCUUGUCCCUCUGCUUCAAUCAUUGAAGACUGAAAUCAGGCUCAUUUAGCACAUCCAUUUUUUGAAAAAAAAUUCGACACGUGAGAGUGCGUUGUCAGUUUAUGGAAAAUUAUUGCACGAUUUCUCGCGUCUAUCUUGUCACUAGUGAAAUUGAUCAUAUAUUUGCCUCAUUGCUUGACUAGUUUUUAAGAUUUCACUUCAGCUUAUAAUCAGUUUAUGUUGUAAUGACCAUUUUGGUACCUAAACUUUUUAUGUUACUACAAUUUUAGAGACUUAGUUAUUAUGCUUUCAGAAUAACAAAAGGGUUAAUACAACGUGUAGGAUGACUUGAGAAAUCUUUUUGUACAAGGAGAUAUAGGAAGUAAGAUCAUUGUAACAACACGCAAAGAGUGUGUUGCCUUGGUGAUGGGAAAUGAGCAAAUUAGCAUGGAGAAUCUAUAUAUGGACUACCUAUUUCAUUUUAUGAGAAGAGAAGAGAAUUUUAAAAAUGAUGUUGGCCUUUUCUUUUCUUCGACUGUCAGCUAUACAAAACCAAGACAAAUGUUGUAAUGGAGAACUUGUUCCCUCCAGCACUAUCUUCAUUUAUCUUUAUCCUGACAAAAUUUAGAAAGUAGAAAACGUAAAACAAAGAAAAUAAUAAGGAAGAAAGUGUGAAGAUUUACCAAAACUCUUGCUUCCAGUAAUGAAUAGUCAAGAAACCAGACUGGCAGACUCCAUAAUUAUUUUCUAUGGCUGUGAGCUGCAGACUGUAGAUAAAACAUAGUUGUACCAAUUACAAGCAAAAGAGAGGGGGAGAAAUCAUUCUUGAUUAUAUAUCACUCUUAGCUCUUAGCAUUCAACAGGUAAAAUAAAAUUGUUAGUAAUUGAAGUUUGAAACAUUUAUCUUCUUAAAAUCAUUUUAAGAAGAUAUCAUUUAAACCAUAUGGCAAUCUAGCUCGGCAAGAGAUACAUGCUAAAGUAUAUCCUGCUCGGGAUGAAUUCAAGGUUAGAUAAUAAAAUAAUGAUUUACUCGUGUUUCAGUUAUCAAGAUGCUUAUUUUGUAGUAAUAGUUUCCUCUCUCAUAAAUCAGCGAAAUAGAUUUCCUUCAUUGGCACCCUCAUCAGUCAUCAAUCAGCAAAACAGAGAAAUCAACGGUUUCAAAAUUCUCUGGAACCCAUUUCGAGCUUCACGCCUUCAAUUCUGAUGACACAAAAGACAUCAACAGAGUAGAAGAAUUCAACCCAAGUUUUCGACUCCUGCUUCACCUGAUGAGAAGAAGUUUACGGGAGAAAGUUUGCCUUAGGUAUUAAUUUCUAUUUUCGCUGUUUAGAUAUGUUUCCUGUAGCUCCUAAUUGUGAUGCUUCAUUUACACAUUUUUAAAAUUUUAUCUAAUAACAGGGAUACAGUAUGUCCGAGUCAACUUGAUGUUACAAACUUGCAGCUAAUUGUUGUGCGUUAUAUUUUUGCAUAUCAUGAAGAAUCCGGGAUGAAGACAUAGACCCGUAGUGUGAAAGGGGUAAGAGAGUUCCAUCUGCAAUGUUAACAAAAUCUUAUAUAAAAAUAAUAUAUACGAAAAUUAAUUUAUAAAAAUUAUAUACCAAAUUGAAAACUUAAAAUCAAUAUUAUAAAAAUAUUACAUCUUAUAUAUAUAAAAGAGAACCUUAUGCCCGCCUACGUGGCGCCACCACAAACCAGAAUUCUCUUUAAAUUUAUUUAUUUCCAAAACUAGCCUUCCUCUUUUAAUGAAAAGUUGUGACAUUUAUGAAAAAUUGUGAAUUUUAUGAAAAGUUUUGACUUUAACUAGCCUUCCCCUUUCAUGAAAAGUUGUGACUUUUAUGAAAAAUUGCGACUUUAAUGAAGAGUUGUGACUUUUAUGAAAAAUUCUGACUUUUAUGAAAGGUUGUGACCUUUCCGAAGGGUUGCAACCUUUCUAAUAAAUCACAAUAAACAUUUGUUCACAUUACCCUUUGUUGUCUAUAAAUAGAGGGAUUUCCUCUCAUUUUAAAACAACUGAAAUUCUGAAUCUCUUCUUCUUCUUCACAAUUAAAUAUUUGUUUGUUUUGCUCAUGUUGAGUGGCUCAGUGAUACCAUUGCUUAUGUUACAGAUCCUGGUAUGUAUUUUUACAGUCAUUAAUUUAUGCUUAUGUUAUUAAGAAUAAAUGAUAAAGAUGUAAUAAUUUUCAUUUUCCUUUACAUUAUUAAUUUUUGUUACUACGUAAUCUUAUAUGUAAGAUAAUAUAGUGUUUUUGUUUUAAUGACUGAUAGGUUUUUAAGUAUUAUUUUAUAAAUUCCAUGAUACUAUUAAAUUCCCGAGCGAAGCGCGGGUAAUUUUACCAGUAAAAGAUAAUUAAGUAUACUGCGAACUUAAUUAAAAUAUAAAAUUUAUAAUAUGUUAAAUUAAUUUUUUUUAAUAUUAUACAAAUUCAGAGUUGCACAUGUUCACCCUUGUGCUUUGAUAAAAUGCAGAAUCUUAUGUAUAAAAAAAUACAAGAGGUUGUGGUGAAAGUUUAUUUCCAAUAGAAAUACGUGAAUUUGGUGGUAUGCCGUCCCCACCAAAGACAUAACCUAUAUUUAUAAAGAUUAUGAAAACUUACUAGUUCAAGAAAAAAAGAAGUGAUGUAUGAUUGAGAAAAGAAAGGAAGAGAGUUUGUAGCGAGAGAGAGAUAUGGAAAGUUUCGCAAAGAGAGAGAGGCAUAUUUUGUUGUGUAUUAAAUAAGUCUGAAUAUUAUUAAACUUAUUAGCAAAUUUUAUUCGUUUUGAUUCUUUUUUCUUCUAUGGCUGUCCACCCACCAAAAUAAAUAAAAUAUCCUUCCUCUUUUGCCUCAAUUGUUGGCUAAAAGUCAACUCAUGGAAAAGAGACAAUUUAAAUUAUUAUUAUUAUUUUCCUAUAGCUGUCAGUUGUAGAUGGUAGAAAACUAUAGUUGUACCAAUUAUAGAUCACUGAUUAUUCUUGUUUGCAAAUUACUCUUAGUAAUUGAAGAUAGAAACAUUUAUCAUUUUGUGUUGCUUUGCAGAUUUCAGAAAUGGAAAUUGGGUUAGCAGUUGGUGGUGCAUUUCUCUCUUCAGCUUUGAAUGUUCUCUUUGAUAGGCUUGCUCCUCACGGUGAUCUUCUCAACAUGUUUCAGAAUCAUACGAAUGAUGUUCGGAUCUUUAAGAAGCUGAGAGCGACUUCGGAUGGUCUUAAGAUUGUGCUAAGUGAUGCAGAGAAUAAGCAAGCAUCAAAUCCAUCGGUGAGCGAGUGGCUUGAUGAGCUUCGAGAUGGUGUGCACUCUGCUGAAAACUUAAUGAGAAGUUAAUUAUGAAGCUUUGAGGCUUAAGGUGGAAGGCCAGCAUCAAAAUCUUGCAGAAACAAGCGACCAGCAAGUAAUUUGAUAUUUUGAUAAUUUGAUUGAUUCAGGAUGAACGUCGAUCGUAUGAUUACAUGGAUUCACAACCAGAUAUCAACGUCAGGGUCAGAGCUAGAAAAUUUUCUGGAAGGCUGAACUACUUGAAAAAAAUGAAAGUUACAUUACUGCACACAGAUGCGAGAUCAAGAGAAACUUUUUAGAUCUGUUGUCGAUAUUCUUAGCAGUGUAACUCAUGUGCACAUUCUACAGCAAAAAGUACAGUAAGUAGAAGAACUCAAUUUUUAGCAAUGAAAUGGCACCAUUUUCUCACACUCAAAAUGAUCUUAAAUUUCAUGAAUGAAACAAUCAUAUAUUACUUAGCUUGAAGCCCCAUUUUCUUCCUCGUUUUCCCAACGUAUAAAUCCUUAGACUUGCUCAUCUCGGGGACUAAUCCAAUGAUCGUCGUGAAUGAAAAUUGAGCCACUACUUCGAGGCUCGUAUAUUGCAAGUUUGCUUUCUUUUCCUCCGCUCAUCAAAAGUUUCAAGUUCUUCGCGGUCAUUAGAGCAUGUUUUUGAGCCGAAUAUCCUUGUUUAAGUUCCUGAUAGCAAAGAAGCAUUAGAGUUCAAUUGAACAAUAAUAACAUACACAGUAUAGUCUCACAAGUAGAGACUGUGGAGUGUUUACGCAGACUUUAUCCCUACCUUGUCAAGUAAGAACUCAAUUGAAUAAUAGAAUCAAAACUCAAGUAAUAGAUAGCUGCUUCAGGUCCUCUGCCUACUGCUAUAUUAUCAAAAUGCCUUCUAAAUUCGACAUAUAUAUUCUUCAACUGUAGUUUCUCUUGUAACAACAACAACAAAUCCUUAUGUUUCUAUGACCCUUGAUUCUAAGAUUCUCAUCAACCUUCAAUCUUCCAAAAUUAUCGAUUCGAUCCUUCAAAUACGUCUCCCUUAACCACUCUGAACUCGGUGGCUUUCCCGUGCAAAGAAAAUUGGCUGAAUCCCAUGAAAUUACUAGUACAUCUUGACAUCUUUGUAAAAGAGUAGAUCGCAGUCAUGAUCAAGACAAUUGGUUGAAUCCCGUGAAAUUAACUUAAAUCUAAUAUAAAAAUAUUAUACCCUUUAACUUGGCCUCAACUCCUAAAUAUGCCCUCCAACUUUGGAUGUACUCGAGUAGUCAGUUAAAUUUGUAUAAAGUUGAAUAAAUAGAUACAAGCGUCCUAAGUGACAUCUUACAUGACAAUUUUUCAUCUGACGUGUCUUGUAUGUAUUAUGUCACGUAAGACUUGUGUGUCUAUUUGUUCAACUUUAUACAAGUUAAAGUGUUUACUUGUGCAUACCCAAAGUUGGAAGACAUAAAUGUGAAAUGAUGCCAAGUUAAAGAGCAUAUUAUUCAAAAUUCAAAAAUAGGGUUUGAAGUUUCAAUUCCAUUGAUGGAUAACGUUACAAUUUUAGUGUAGCACAAUGGAACUUGGAAUUCAAACAACCACUACAAUAAUUAUCACAUUGAUGCAAUUUUAGUCAAUUCUACUUCCAAUUUGACAAAUUUGGUCAUAAAUUUAUCUUAUUAUCCUUGACAGAAUGUUAUGGAUGGUUCUAAAAUUAUGAAAUAAAAUGUAUUUAUUAGGAUAAAUUUACUUUUUUACCCUUGGUCGUUCUUGGUCUCCACAUUUCUAUAUAGUAGAAAAAUUCAAGAGGUCAUUUUCAGAUAAUUUAACAUCUAAAAGCAUCCAAACAAUGAUCUACCUGGCCUCAACUAUUAGUAACUUUUAAUUAUUAUUUUUUCUUGAUCGGAUUUUGGUAAUGAUUAUGUUCUUUGCUUAGCUAGUGAAAGUUUUAUUUCCAAUAUAAAUAUGUGAAUUUUGGUGGUAUGUGAUCCCCACUAAAUUAUAUGUCAACUCUUUUUUCCCUUUUUAAAAUAGGAAUAAUACAUAAACAAUUUCUUAGUACACGUUAGAACUUACUAUAUAUGCUUAGAGUAAUUGUUUAAUUGUUUAAUUCUACACCAUAACUCCACGUUAUUGCCACUAUACCAAAAAGUCAAUCCUCCCAAUUUGAACCAUCCAUUUAUUCCAACCUACCCAAUAACUUAAAGCUUGAGGCAAUCCUCCCAAUUCGAAAAGUCUUUUUCUCUGAACAUAUGACAUGUAUUUAUUGGUUUAUUGUAAAUAACAAAUACAAAUACGUUUUCACCUAAUCUGAGUUUGUUUGGGGUGUUUUAUCUCUCACUAUCAAGAGGAACUUUAUCACAACGAUUCAAGCUCGAAAUCUCUAAUUAAAUACGAAAAAUUAUAUAUCUUUUUUUUUUUAUAAGGGAAAGAUCCUCUUGAUGUUAUCAAAUUCCCAACUUGGCAUGCUUUAAAGUAUAAAAAAAAUAUUAUGAAGACAGAGUCUUGUUGUUGGGUGAAAAGUCAUCCUCAUGGAAAAGACAGCUUAAAUUCUUUUUUUCCCUAUAGUUGUCACUGUAGAAAACUAUUGUUGUACCAAUAUUCUUGUUUGCAAAUUACUCUUAGCAUUCAACAGGUAAAGUAAAGUUCCUUUAGUAAUUGAAACAUUUAUCUUCUCAAAAUCAUUUUGUGUUUCCUUGUUUUGCUUGCAGAUUUCAGAAAUGGAGGUCGGCUUAGCAGUUGGUGGUGCAUUUCUCUCUUCAGCUUUGAAUGCUCUCUUUGACAGGCUUGCUCCUCAUGGUGAUCUGAUGAAGAUGUUUCAGAAGCAUAAGGAUCAUGUUCAGCUCUUACAGAAGCUGCAGGACAUUUUUCUUGGUCUUCAGAUUGUGCUAAGUGAUGCAGAGAAUAAGCAAGCAUCAAAUCGACACGUGAGCCAGUGGUUUAAUAAGCUUCAGAGUGCUGUGAACGGCGCUGAAAACUUGAUAGAAGAAGUCAAUUAUGAAGCUUUGAGGCUUAAGGUGGAAGGCCAGCAUCAAAAUCUUGCAGAAACAAGCAACAAACAAGUAAGUGACCUCAACCUGUGCUUGAGUGAUGAUUUAUUUCGUAACAUAAAGGAUAAGUUGGAAGAAACCAUUGAAACAUUGGAGGUGUUGGAAAAGCAAAUUGGUCGCCUUGGCUUAAAGGAGAAUUUUGUUUCGACUAAACAAGAAACUAGAACACCUUCAACUUCUUUGGUUGAUGAUUCUGAUAUCUUUGGAAGGCAGAGUGAAAUAGAGGAUUUGAUUGACCGUUUAUUGUCUGAAGAUGCAAGUGGAAAAAAGCUCACUGUAGUUCCUAUAGUUGGAAUGGGCGGCGUGGGUAAGACAACACUUGCUAAAGCCGUUUACAAUGAUGAGAAGGUGAAGGACCAUUUUGGUUUGAAAGCUUGGUUUUGUGUUUCUGAGGCAUAUGACGCUUUCAGAAUAACAAAAGGUUUACUUCAAGAAAUUGGCUCAUUUGACUUAAAGGAUGACAACAAUCUUAAUCAGCUACAAGUCAAAUUGAAGGAAAGAUUAAAGGGAAAAAAGUUUCUUAUUGUUCUGGAUGAUGUCUGGAAUGACAACUACAACGAGUGGGAUGACUUGAGAAAUGUUUUUGUACAAGGAGAUAUAGGAAGUAAGAUCAUUGUGACGACACGUAAAGAGAGUGUUGCCUUGAUGAUGGGUAGUGGGGCAAUCAACGUGGGGACUCUGUCUGAUGAAGUCUCUUGGGAACUAUUCAAACGACAUUCACUAGAAAACAGGGAUCCUGAGGAAUAUCCAGAACUUAAAGAGAUUGGAAAACAAUUUGCAGACAAGUGCAAAGGUUUGCCUUUAGCUCUAAAGGCACUUGCUGGUGUUUUACGCGGUAAAUCAGAGGUGGAUGAGUGGAGAGACAUUUUGAGAAGUGAAAUAUGGGAGCUUCCAAGUUGUUCGAAUGGUAUAUUACCAGCGCUGAUGUUGAGCUACAAUGAUCUUCCUGCACAUUUGAAGCAAUGUUUUGCUUAUUGUGCAAUAUAUCCCAAAGAUUAUCAAUUUCGCAAGGACCAAGUUAUUCACUUGUGGAUUGCUAAUGGUCUUGUACAGCAGUUGCAUUCAGGUAACCAAUACUUUCUUGAGUUGAGAUCAAGAUCAUUGUUCGAAAGGGUCCCAGAGUCUGAAUGGAAACCGGAGGGAUUCUUAAUGCAUGACCUUGUCAAUGAUUUGGCCCAAAUUGCAUCUUCAAAUCUUUGUAUAAGGUUGGAAGAGAACAAAGGAUCGCACAUGUUGGAACAAUGUCGGCACAUGUCCUAUUCAAUAGGAGAAGGUGGUGAGUUUGAGAAAUUGAAAUCACUCUUUAAAUCAGAGCAGCUGAGGACAUUACUUGCAAUCAAUAUCCAGCUCUAUGAUUACAAAAUUAAGCUAAGCAAGAGGGUGUUGCAUAACAUAUUGCCAAGACUAACAUCCUUAAGGGCAUUAUCGUUGUCACGCUAUGAGAUUGUUGAGUUGCCAAAUCACUUGUUUAUUGAAUUAAAGCUCCUGAGAUUUUUGGAUAUUUCUCGGACAAAGAUUAAAAGGUUGCCAGAUUCCAUUUGUGGAUUGUAUAACUUAGUGACACUUCUCCUGUCAUCUUGUGCUGAUCUUGAGGAGCUACCGCUGCAGAUGGAGAUGUUGAUCAACUUGCGUCAUCUUGACAUAAGCAACAUUUCUCUCUUGAAGAUGCCACUAUAUCUGAGCAAGUUGAAAAGCCUCCAAGUGUUAGUGGGAGCCAAGUUUCUUUAGGUGGUUCGAGAAUGGAAGAUUUGGGUGAAGUACAUAACUUGUACGGAUCUCUAUCGGUUGUAGAGUUGCAAAAUGUGGUUGAUAGUAGGGAAGCUGUGAAGGCAAAGAUGAGAGAGAAGAUUCAUGUUGGCAAGUUAUCAUUGGAGUGGAGUGAAAGUAGUAGUGUCGACAAUUCACAAACUGAAAGAGACAUUCUUGAUGAGCUACGCCCACAUAAAAACAUACAAGAAGUCCGAAUCACCGGAUAUAGAGGGGACAAAAAUUUCCAAAUUGGCUAGCUGAUGUUUCGUUUCUUAAGCUAGUAGAAUUGUCUCUUAUAAACUGCAAGAACUGUUAUUCCUUGCCAGCACUAGGACAGCUUCCUUGUUUGAAAUUCCUUUCCAUUAGAGGGAUGUAUGGAAUAACAGAGGUGACGGAAGAAUUCUAUGGCAGUUUGUCCUCCAAAAAGCCUUUUAACGCUCUUGAGAAGCUUGUAUUUGAAGAUAUGCCGGAGUGGAAGCAAUGGCAUGUACUAGGAAAUGGAGAGUUCCCUACACUUGAGAAGCUUUUAAUUAUAAAUUGCCAUGAACUCAGUUUGGAAACACCCAUCCAACUUUCAUGUUUAAAAAGGUUUGAAGUUGAUGGUUGUCAUAAGGUUGGAGAUGCUCAAAUGUUUAGAUCCCAACUUGAGGGAAUGAAGCAGAUUGUUGAAUUAGAUAUUAGUGAUUGUAACUCUAUUACCUCCUUUCCUUUUAGCGUUCUUCCCACUACCUUGAAGAGAAUAGUUAUAUCUGGUUGCCAGAAAUUGAAAUUGGAGCAGCCAGUUGGUGAGAUGAGUAUGUUUCUCGAGGAAUUGAAACUGCAAGAAUGUGAUUGUAUAGAUGAUAUAUCACCUGAGAUGCUCCCAACAGCACGCAGAUUGUUUGUAUGUAAUUGCCAGAACCUUACUAGGCUUUUUAUUCCUACUGCCACUGAAAGUCUCUAUAUUGCUUAUUGUGUGAAUCUUGAAAUACUUUCGGUGGCAUGUGGGAAGACCCAGAUGAUGUAUUUUCCAGAACGUAUGCAGGAACUCCUCCCAUCUCUUAAGACACUGAUUCUAUCUAAUUGUCCAGAAAUAGAGUCCUUUCCUGAAGGAGGAUUGCCCUUCAAUUUACAACAACUUCAUAUCUACAAUUGCAAGAAACUGGUGAAUGGCCGAAAGGAAUGGCAUUUACACAGACUUCCCUGUCUCAGAGAGUUAAGCAUCUACCAUGAUGGCAGUGACGAAGAGAUUGUUGGUGGUGAGAAUUGGGAAUUGCCUUCCUUUAUUCAAAGACUUACCAUAUACAAUCUGAAAACAUUAAGGAGCCAAGAUAUCAGAAGCCUCACCUCUCUUCAAUAUCUAUGUAUUGGUAAUUUAUCUCAAUUUCAGUCAAUGCUAGAAGAAGGGCAGCUCACUUCACUUCAAAGUCUAGACAUCAAUAAUUUCCCUAAUCUCCAAUCACUUUCCGAAUCAGCACUGCCCUCCUCCCUCUCUGAGCUGACCAUCAAUAAUUGCCCUAAGCUCCAAUCCCUUCCAGUAAAAGGGAUGCCCUCUUCCCUCUCUAAACUAUCAAUUCGCGACUGUCCAUUGCUCACACCAUUACUAGAAUUUGACAAGGGGGAAUACUGGCCAAAUAUUGCUCAAAUUCCUACCAUAACGAUCGACGAGGAUUCCAUGUGAUGAUUAAAAAGAAUGACUCUCCAACUGAUGUAACUUAUUCUUUUCCAUCAUAAGCUUUUUACUUUUAUUUACAUCACUUUGCAUUUUUGUUAAUUAUUUUCCUUUUUUAAACCUUUUUGAGCAGUCUAUUGCUCAAACCAUGGCUACUGACCAAAAAUUGCUCAUAUUUCCACCAUAAAUGUUCAUUGGGAGAACCUCCAAUAGAUGUAAGUUUUUCUAUUUCCUUAGUAUCUUUUGAUUUUCGGUUACUUCUCUUUGCUUGUUCCUUAAUUCUUUUUCUAUGUUGCAGAGAUGAAGUCUUGAGGAUAAAAAUAUGUUUUACUCCUCUUGAUAUGCAGAUAUGUUGCAGAGAUGAAGUCGCUGUGAGAUACAUUUAAAGUAUAUCCUGUUUGGGAUGAAUUCAAGGUGAGAUAACAAAAUAAUGAUUUACUCGUGUUUCAGUUACCAAUAUGCUUAUUUUGUUGUAAUAGUUUGCACUCUCAUAAAUCAGCGAAAUAGAUUUCUUCAUUGGCACCCUCAUCAGUCAUCAGUCUGCGAAACAGAGAAAUCAACGGUUUCAAAAUUCUCUAGAACCCAUUUCGAGCUUCACGCCUUCAAUUCUGAUGACACAAAAGACAUCAACAGAGUAGAAGAAUUCAACCCAACUCCCAUAAUGAACCCAAGUUUUCGAUUCCGCUUCACCUGAUGGGAAGAAGUUUACGAGUGAGAAAGGUCUAAAGGUACAAAUAUAUUGUCUUCCCCCUUUCUUAUUGCGGUGCUUAAAUUGGUUUUGCCCCACUUUGCAUCAUAAUGAUGUUGGAGUAUAUCGGUUUUCUACUGGUAUUCAGAUACUUAAAAUGGGAAAUUGCGUUUGAAAAUAUCGUUUUCAUUGUUCGAAUGUUUUUUAAAUCAUCUGUUGAUCCAAAAUUUUCAUUUUUCUGUUGAUCUUCUUCUAUCUUUAGUUUUACAUGUCUUCUGAUUGAGUUAUAAUACAUUCCUUGAUUCUAUAGAAGAUGAGAAAUCGUCAAAUGCCUACAAGUGGAGUCUGCAAAAAGUAGAGUUUACGCAUACUUUAUUCCUACCUUGUCAAUUGAAUAAUAGACUCAAAAUUCAAGUAAUAGAUAGCUGCUUCAGGUCCUCUGGCUACUGCUAUAUUAUAAAAAUGCCUUCUAAAUUCGACAUAUAUAUUCUUUAACUGUAGUUUCUCUUGCAACAACAACAACAAAUCCUUAUGUUUCUAUGACCCUUGAUUCUAAGAUUUUUAUCAACCUUCAAUCUUCAAAAAUUAUCGAUUCGAUCCUUCAGAUGCAUCUCCCUUAACCACUCUGAACCCGGUGGCUUUCCCAUGCAAAGAAAAUUGGCUGAAUCCCGUGAAAUUACUAGCUAGUACCUCUCGACAUCUUUGUAAAAGAGUAGAGAAGUCACGAUCAAGACAAUAGGUGAAUCUCGUGAAAUUAACUUAAAUCUAAUAUAAAAAUAAUAUAACCUUUAACUUGGCCUCAACUCAUAUAUAUGCCCUCCAACUUUGGAUGUGCGCAGGUAGAGACUUAAAUUUGUAUAGAGUUGAAUAAAUAGACACAAACGACCUAAGUGACAUCUUACAUGACAAUUUUCAUCUUACGUGGUGUCUUGUGUGCAUUAUGCCACGUAAGGCACAUGUGUUUAUUUGUUCAAUUUUAUGCAAUUUAAAGUGUCUAUUUGUGCAUACCCAAAGUUGGAGGACACAAAUGUGAAAUGAGGUCAAGUUAAAGGCCAUAUUAUUCAAAUUUCAUAGGGUUUGAAGUUUCAAUUUCAUUGAUGGAUAACGUUACAAUUUUGGUGCAACACAAUGGAACUUGAGAUUCAAACAACCACUAUGACCAAAGAACAAAAAAAACGGUUAACCGAGAGUCCUUGCCCGACAAAAAGCAAGGGUUUGCUUGUAGAAUGGGGGUAGGGCCGACAAUUUUUCUGGAUAGAUCGAACUAUUGGAAGAAAAUAAAAAAGAAAGACCGAGUGUUGUCACAUUGAUGCAAUUCUAGUCAAUUCCAUUUCCAAUUCAUAGAUCUAGUCACAAAUUUACCUUUUUUAUCCUUGGCGGAAUGUAAUGGAUAGUUCUAGAUAUAUGAAGAAAAUGUAUUUAUUAGUGUAAAUUUACUUCUUUACCCUUGGUCUUUCUUUGUCUUCACAUUUCUGUAUAGUAGAAAAGAAAAACACAAGAGGUCAUUUCUAGAUAAUUUAACAUCUAAAAUCAUCCAAACAACGAUCUACCUGGCCUCAACUAUUAGCGAGUUUUAAUUAUUAUUUUUUCUUGAUCGGAUUUUGGUAACGAUAGAUUCUUUGCUUAGUUGGCGAAAGUUUUAUUUCCAAUAUAAAAUGUGAAUUUUGGUGGUAUGUGGUCCCCACUAAAUUAUAGGUCAACUCUUUUUUUCCUUUUUAAAAUAGGAAUAAUACAUAAACAAUUUCUUAGUACACGUUAGAACUUACUAUAUAUGCUUAGAGUAAUUAUUUAAUUCUACACCAUAACUCCACGUUAUUGCCACUAUACCAAAAAGUCAAGCCUCCCAAUUUGAAACCAUCCAUUUAUUCCAACCUAUCCAAUAAAUUAAAGCUUGAGGCAAUCCUCCCAAUUCGAAAAGUCUUUUUCUAAACAUAUGACAUGUAUUUAUUGGUUUAUUGUAAAUAACAAAUACNNNNNNNNNNNNNNNNNNNNNNNNNNNNNNNNNNNNNNNNNNNNNNNNNNNNNNNNNNNNNNNNNNNNNNNNNNNNNNNNNNNNNNNNNNNNNNNNNNNNNNNNNNNNNNNNNNNNNNNNNNNNNNNNNNNNNNNNNNNNNNNNNNNNNNNNNNNNNNNNNNNNNNNNNNNNNNNNNNNNNNNNNNNNNNNNNNNNNNNNNNNNNNNNNNNNNNNNNNNNNNNNNNNNNNNNNNNNNNNNNNNNNNNNNNNNNNNNNNUAGCUGCUUCAGGUCCUCUGGCUACUGCUAUAUUAUAAAAAUGCCUUCUAAAUUCGACAUAUAUAUUCUUUAACUGUAGUUUCUCUUGCAACAACAACAACAAAUCCUUAUGUUUCUAUGACCCUUGAUUCUAAGAUUUUUAUCAACCUUCAAUCUUCCAAAAUUAUUGAUUCGAUCCUUCAAAUAUGUCUCCCUUAACCACUCUGAACCCGGUGGCUUUCCCAUGCAAAGAAAAUUGGCUGAAUCCCGUGAAAUUACUAGCUAGUACCUCUCGACAUCUUUGUAAAAGAGUAGAGAAGUCACGAUCAAGACAAUAGGUGAAUCUCGUGAAAUUAACUUAAAUCUAAUAUAAAAAUAAUAUAACCUUUAACUUGGCCUCAACUCAUAUAUAUGUCCUCCAACUUUGGAUGUGCGCAGGUAGAGACUUAAAUUUGUAUAGAGUUGAAUAAAUAGACACAAACGACCUAAGUAACAUCUUACAUGAAAAUUUUCAUCUUACGUGGUGUCUUGUGUGUAUUAUGCCACGUAAGGCACAUGUGUUUAUUUGUUCAAUUUUAUACAAUUUAAAGUGUCUACUUGUGCAUACCCAAAGUUGGAGGACAUAAAUGUGAAAUGAGGUCAAGUUAAAGGCCAUAUUAUUCAAAUUUCAUAGGGUUUGAAGUUUCAAUUUCAUUGAUGGAUAACGUUACAAUUUUAGUGCAACACAAUGGAACUUGAGAUUCAAACAACCACUAUGACCAAAGAACAAAAAAAACGGCUAACCGAGAGUCCUUGCCCGACUAAAAGAAAGGGUUUGCUGGUAGAAUGGGGUAGGCCGACAAUUUUUCUGGAUAGAUCGAACUAUUGGAAGAAAAUAAAAAAGAAAGACCGAGUGUUGUCACAUUGAUGCAAUUCUAGUCAAUUCCAUUUCCAAUUCAUAGAUCUAGUCACAAAUUUACCUUUUUAUCCUUGGCGGAAUGUAAUGGAUGGUUCUAGAUAUAUGAAGAAAAUGUAUUUAUUAGUGUAAAUUUACUUCUUUACCCUUGGUCUUUCUUUGUCUUCACAUUUCUGUAUAGUAGAAAAGAAAAACACAAGAGGUCAUUUCUAGAUAAUUUAACAUCUAAAAUCAUCCAAACAACGAUCUACCUGGCCUCAACUAUUAGCGAGUUUUAAUUAUUAUUUUUUCUUGAUCAGAUUUUGGUAACGAUAGAUUCUUUGCUUAGUUGGCGAAAGUUUUAUUUCCAAUAUAAAAUGUGAAUUUUGGUGGUAUGUGGUCCCCACUAAAUUAUAGGUCAACUCUUUUUUUCCUUUUUAAAAUAGGAAUAAUACAUAAACAAUUUCUUAGUACACGUUAGAACUUACUAUAUAUGCUUAGAGUAAUUAUUUAAUUCUACACCAUAACUCCACGUUAUUGCCACUAUACCAAAAAGUCAAUCCUCCCAAUUUGAAACCAUCCAUUUACUCCAACCUACCCAAUAACUUGAAGCUUGAGGCAAUCCUCCCAAUUCGAAAAGUCUUUUUCUAAACAUAUGACAUGUAUUUAUUGGUUUAUUGUAAAUAACAAAUACUUUUUCUUUCUCUAAUUACUUGUCCAUUUUUCCUUUUUUAGUUGUCCCUAAUUACUUGUCCAUUUUGACAAAUUAUUUUUACCUAUUAUACCCUCAAUUAAUUACUAUGAAAAAGAUAGAACUUCUUGAAAAUCUUAAAUUUUUAAUUCACCCACUUCAUAAUUUAAUAGGGGUAAAAUGGUAAACUCACUAUGUCAAUUAUUGUUUUCUUAAUAGGUGUGUCAAUUCAAAAGUGGACAAGUAAUUAGGGACAGAGGGAGUACAAUUAAGUUUUCACCUAAUCCCAGUUUGCUUGAUAAUAAUUUACUAUGUGGUGUUUUAGCUCUCACUAUCAAGAGGAACUUUAUCCUAACGAUUCAAGCUUGAAAGCUCUUAUUAAAUAUGAGAAAAUUAUGUGAAUACUUAAUUAAUUAGAUUAUAAUUUAGUAUAGAAACAAAAUAAUGAUUUAACUUUUGCCUAACAUUCUUUCCAUUUUUAGUAUAACUAAUUUCUCAUCACAUGCAUAGCACGUGGAGCUUCGACUUCUGAGUAACAACAAAAACUUGGUUAAACAUAUUUUUUAAAUUACCAAAUUUAAACUACAAAAUAAAGUUUAUUAAUGUUUCUUGAAGAACAUUAUAACAAAUUUACUCCUAUAUAUUUUGACAGACGUUAAUUAGUAAAAAAAAUCAUCCAACACUCUAUUAAUAUUUCUUGAAAAACAUUAUAACAAAUGUGUACUUUUUAAAAUUUUAUUGAAUCUUUACUUAAUAUUUAUAUUGAGUUAAAUAUUAGACAUGGUAGCUUUUGCUUUUAUACCUACUAGUCUUUGGGAACGUGCUUUGCACGUUUGUCCCAUAUUAUUACUAUUAUAAAACUUCUUUAUAUUUUAAAAAUUGAAUUAUAAAAUAGAAAUUGUUGAAAUUUAAAAUAUUAAUUCACUUUCCAUGUUUUCUGAUAGGCACACCAUAUAGUUUAAAUGUGAACAUAAGCAAGGUUGGUUAUGUUUUCAAAUGCUUCACAUCUUAAAAUUUAUGUCAUGACUUUCAGAAACUGGGAAUUCCUCCUCUUAUAGUCGUAUGCAUAACAAGAAGUUGUUGCGAAUGAAAGUAGUAUUUUGUAAAUAUUGAACAAAAAGUUGAUCAAUAUAUGUCUUCUUUAAUAUGGCUAUAAUAUCAUUGUCAAUUUUAUAGAAUACACCUAGUAAUAAAAGUAGUAAUUAUAUUAUGACGAAGAUAAUAAAUUAUUACUGACAUCAAAAAAUUGAAUCAAUAUAUAUUAAUUAUAAUUGCAUGUACAUGUAUAUCCUUUCUUUGAUUCAAGAUUAGGAUUUCUUUAACAUAAGAAUAUUAUUUGUAUGAUUGAAAUAUAAUAAGAAUCAAUCUCUAUUCAAGAACAUUUUCUUUCAUAUGAAAAUUUGACAUAAGAGUAUUACUUGUAUUGUUUAAGUAUAAUUGCAUUAGGAAAUACAAUAAGAAUCAAUCCUUAUUAAAGAACAAGGGACUUGAUAUAAAAAGUUGAAAUAUGUAAAAGAUGUUAAAAAGUAUAAGAUCUAAAUAUCCUGAAAAUUAUACAGAUAAUUUCUCAAAUCUAAAAAAUCUUAUUUCUAUAUUACGUUUCCUACAAACUAUAUUUUAUGUAUGUGAAAUAAUAAAAUUGAUAAAAAGAGAGUUGUAAAUAGCAUAUCCAGUAUGUACCGGAUGAUGAGAAGUGAAGAGCACACAGUUUCCAAACAAAAUCUGAAAUGAAGAGAAAUAAAUAAGAAUUAGUUAGCAAACUCAAGGAAAUCUUCAUAUAUUAAAUAUAUAUUGUUGAGAACUAAAAUGAGCAUAAGAGGAAUAAAGUAGUUACCAAUCAACAAUAUAUAUUUAUAUAUUUAAACUUUUAUGGCAUAUAGCUGCUAAUCUAUAUAUAUUAUAUAAAGCUUAAAGAUGAAAGAUUAAUGUGACUUGAGUUGUAUAAAAUCACUGCACAUGCACUAUAUAUUACUCCAAUUCUAUUUGACAAGGAACAUGAAAAGUUCACAUAACCGUUGGAAGCUCAAGGGAAAAAAUAGUAAAUGUGAGAUAUGAAAUAGUAGGAUUGUAAAUUGAGUUUAAGUAAUCUGUAUUAGGUUAAUUAAUGGGGAGAUGAAAAGAUUUUAUCAAUUAAAUGUAGUUAAAUUACUGAUAAAUAACUUUUUUUUAAAUGAUAAAAUGAUUACUCAACUUUUAACUAUUUAAUAUUUUAUUAUUUACAUGUUUUAUAACAUUUUUAUUUAGUCUAGGGGCAAAAUGAUAAUCCAACUUUGAAUGUUGGAGCUUCCCACUUAUAAUAAUAAUAUAUGAUUAUUAUCAAGGUAUGUGGUCCCCACCAAACUAUAGGUCAACUCAUUUUCCCCCUUUUAAAAAUAGGAAUAAUACACGUUAGAACUUAAUAUAAGCUUAGAAUAAUUAUUUAAUUCUACACCAUAACUCCACGUUAUUGCCUCUAUACAAAAAAAAAGUCAAUCCUCUCAAUAUAGCUUGAGGCAAUCCUCCCAAUUUGAAAAGUCUUUGCGUGAACAUAUGUCAUGUAUUUGUUAGUUUAUUGUAAAUAACAAAUACAAAUAAGUUUUCACGUAAUCUAAAUUUGCUUGGAAUGUUUUAGCUCGCACUAUCAAGAGAAACUUUAUCACAACGAUUCAAGCUCGAAACUUCUAAUUAAAUACGACAAAAUUAUAUAUAUAAAGAAAAUUAUAUAUAACAAAACAACUACAAGGGAGAAAUUUUAAUCAUUUCACUGUACCUCUUGAUGUUAUCAAAUUCCCAACUUGACAUGUUUUCAAGUAUAAAAAAAUAUUAUGAAGACAAAGUCUUGUUGGGGGGAAAAGUCAUACUCAUGGAAAAGACAGCUUAAAUUUAUUUAUUUUCCUAUAGCUGUCACUGUAGAAAACUAUUGUUGUACCAUUCUUGUUUGCAAAUCACUCUUAGCAUUCAACAGGUAAAGUAAACUUGUUAGUAAUUGAACAUACAAACAUUUUAUCUUUCUCUAAACUAUUGUUCUCACUUUACUUGUUUUGUUUUGCAGAUUUCAGAAAUGGAGAUUGGGUUAGCAGUUGGUGGUGCAUUUCUCUCUUCAGCUUUGAAUAUUCUCUUUGAUAGGCUUGCUCCUCAUGGUGAUCUGCUCAACAUGUUUUGGAAGCAUAAGGAUCAUGUUCAGCUUUUACACAAGCUGCAGGACAUUUUGCUUGGUCUUCAGAUUGUGCUAAGUGAUGCAGAGAAUAAACAAGCAUCAAAUCGACACGUGAGCCAGUGGCUUCAUAAGUUUCAGAGUGCUGUAGACGGCGCUGAAAACUUGAUAGAAGAAGUCAAUUAUGAAGCUUUGAGGCUUAAGGUGGAAGGCCAGCAUCAAAAUCUUGCAGAAACAAGCAAUAAACAAGUAAGUGACCUUAACCUGUGCUUGACUGAUGAAUUUUUCCUUAACAUAAAGGAGAAGUUGGAAGAAACCAUUGAAACAUUGGAGGUGUUGGAAAAGCAAAUUGGUCGCCUUGGCUUAAAGGAUCAUUUUGGUUCGACUAAACAAGAAAUUAGAACACCUUCAACUUCUUUGGUUGAUGAUUCUGGUAUCUUUGGAAGGCAGUAUGAUAUAGAGAAUUUGGUUGGUCGUUUAUUGUCUAAGAAUACAAAGGGAAAUAAUCUGGCUGUAGUUCCUAUUGUUGGAAUGGGCGGCCUGGGUAAGACAGCACUUGCUAAAGCGGUUUACCAUGAUGAGAGGGUGAAGAACCAUUUUGGUUUGAAAGCUUGGUAUUGUGUUUCUGAGCCAUAUGAUGCUUUGAGAAUAACGAAAGGGUUACUUCAAGAAAUUCACUCAUUUGACUCAAAGGAUGUCCACAACAAUCUUAAUCAGCUUCAAGACAAAUUGAAGGAAAGCUUAAAGGGAAAGAANNNNNNNNNNNNNNNNNNNNNNNNNNNNNNNNNNNNNNNNNNNNNNNNNNNNNNNNNNNNNNNNNNNNNNNNNNNNNNNNNNNNNNNNNNNNNNNNNNNNNNNNNNNNNNNNNNNNNNNNNNNNNNNNNNNNNNNNNNNNNNNNNNNNNNNNNNNNNNNNNNNNNNNNNNNNNNNNNNNNNNNNNNNNNNNNNNNNNNNNNNNNNNNNNNNNNNNNNNNNNNNNNNNNNNNNNNNNNNNNNNNNNNNNNNNNNNNNNNNNNNNNNNNNNNNNNNNNNNNNNNNNNNNNNNNNNNNNNNNNNNNNNNNNNNNNNNNNNNNNNNNNNNNNNNNNNNNNNNNNNNNNNNNNNNNNNNNNNNNNNNNNNNNNNNNNNNNNNNNNNNNNNNNNNNNNNNNNNNNNNNNNNNNNNNNNNNNNNNNNNNNNNNNNNNNNNNNNNNNNNNNNNNNNNNNNNNNNNNNNNNNNNNNNNNNNNNNNNNNNNNNNNNNNNNNNNNNNNNNNNNNNNNNNNNNNNNNNNNNNNNNNNNNNNNNNNNNNNNNNNNNNNNNNNNNNNNNNNNNNNNNNNNNNNNNNNNNNNNNNNNNNNNNNNNNNNNNNNNNNNNNNNNNNNNNNNNNNNNNNNNNNNNNNNNNNNNNNNNNNNNNNNNNNNNNNNNNNNNNNNNNNNNNNNNNNNNNNNNNNNNNNNNNNNNNNNNNNNNNNNNNNNNNNNNNNNNNNNNNNNNNNNNNNNNNNNNNNNNNNNNNNNNNNNNNNNNNNNNNNNNNNNNNNNNNNNNNNNNNNNNNNNNNNNNNNNNCUCUAAGCAAGAGGGUGCAGCAUAACAUACUGCCAAGACUAAGAUCCUUGAGGGCAUUAUCAUUGUCUCAUUACAAGAUUAAGGAGUUGCCAAAUGACUUAUUUAUCAAAUUAAAGCUCCUCAGAUUUUUGGAUAUUUCUCGGACAGAGAUUAAAAGGUUGCCAGAUUCCAUUUGUGUGUUGUAUAACUUAGAGACACUUCUCCUGUCAUCUUGUGAUUAUCUUGAGGAGCUACCACUGCAGAUGGAGAAGUUAAUCAACUUGUGUCAUCUUGACAUAAGCAACACUUCUCUCUUGAAGAUGCCACUAUAUCUGAGCAAGUUGAAAAGCCUCCAAGUGUUAGUGGGAGCCAAGUUUCUUUUAGGUGGUUUGAGAAUGGAAGAUUUGGGUGAAGCACAGAACUUGUAUGGAUCUCUAUCAGUUGUAGAGUUGCAAAAUGUGGUUGAUAGUCGGGAAGCUGUGAAGGCAAAGAUGAGGGAGAAGAAUCAUGUUGACAAGUUAUCUUUGGAGUGGAGUGAAAGUAGUAGUGCCGACAAUUCAGAAACUGAAAGAGACAUACUUGAUGAACUACGCCCACAUAAAAACAUAAAAGAAGUCGAAAUCACUGGAUAUAGAGGGACAAAAUUUCCAAAUUGGCUAGCUGAUCCUUUGUUUCUUAAGCUGGUGGAAUUAUCUCUUAGCAACUGCAAGGUCUGUUAUUCCUUGCCAGCACUAGGAGAACUCCCUUGUUUGAAAUUCCUUUCGAUUAGAGGGAUGCAUGUAAUAACAGAUGUGAUGGAAGAAUUCUAUGGUAGUUUGUCCUCAAAAAAGCCUUUUAACUCUCUUGUGGAGCUUAGAUUUGAAGAUAUGCCGGAGUGGAAGCAAUGGCACCUACUAGGAAGUGUAGAGUUUCCUAUCCUUGAGAAGCUUUUCAUUAAAAAUUUCCCUGAACUCAGUUUGGAGACACCCAUCCAAUUUUCAAGUUUAAAAAGGUUUCAAGUUGUUGGUUCUUCUAAGGUUGGAAUUGUUUUUAAUGAUGCUCAACUGUUUAGAUCCCAACUUGAGGGAAUGAAGCAGAUUGAAGAAUUAUAUAUUAGUGAUUGUAACUCUAUUACCUCCUUACCUUUUAGCAUACUGCCCACUACCUUGAAGAGAAUAAGGAUAUCUGGUUGCCGGAAUUUGAAAUUGGAUCCGCCAGUUGGUGAGAUGAGUAUGUUUCUCGAGGAAUUGAAUCUGAAGGGAUGUGAUUGUAUAGAUGAGUUGCUCCCAAGAGCGCACAAAUUGAGAAUUUGGAGUUGCCAGAACCUUACUAGGUUUUUGAUUCCAACUGCGACUGAAAUACUCAAUAUUUGGAAUUGUGAGAAUCUUGAAAAACUUUCAGUGGCAUGUGGGGGGACCCAGAUGACGUGUUUGAAUAUUUGGGACUGUAAGAAGCUGAAGUGGCUGCCAGAACGUAUGCGGGAACUCCUUCCAUCUCUUAAGGAACUACAUUUGUGGGAUUGUCCAGAAAUAGAGUCCUUUCCUGAAGGAGGAUUGCCCUUCAAUUUACAAGCCCUUCGGAUCAAAUAUUGCAAGAAACUGGUGAAUGGGCGAAAGGAGUGGCGUUUACAGAGACUCCCCUGUCUCAAAAAGGUAACCAUCUUACAUGAUGGCAGUGACGAAGAGAUUGUUGGUGGUGAGAAUUGGGAGUUGCCUUCCUCUAUUCAAAGACUUUUUAUAGAGAAUCUGAAAACAUUAAGCAGCCAACAUCUCAAAAGCCUCACCUCUCUUCAAUCUCUACGUAUUGGGGGUAAUUUACCUCAAAUUCAGUCAAUGUUGGAACAAGGCCAGUUUUUGCACCUCACUUCGCUUCAACGUCUACAAAUCAUUGAUUUCCCUAAUCUCCAAUCUCUUCCAGUAAAAGGGAUGCCAUCUUCCCUCUCUACACUAGAUAUUCGUGACUGUCCAUUGCUCACACCACUACUAGAAUUUGACAAGGGGGAAUACUGGCCAAAUAUUGCUCAUAUCUCCACCAUAAAGAUCAAUGAGAAAUGCCUUUAAUGAUUAAAACAAAUGGUGCUCUCACAAAUGUAAGUUUUUCUUUUUCCUCAUAAGCAUUCUUUUUUCUUUAACUUCCUUUGCUUUUAUGUUAAUUCUUUUUCUUUAUUACAUUCUCGUUGCGCAGUAUGGAGUGUCUAUUGCCACUCUGAAACUGAGAAAUCAUCUUCAGAUUAUAAUUAUUUUAAUUUUAGAUCUCAUUAGCAAUUAAUGUUACAUAUCUUACUCGAAGAUUUUUAUCGCUUGAACUUUCAUCUCAAUAGCAAUUCAUGUGUUCUUAUUAUUUCCCUUUUCAGUCAGUUUAGAGUCAUCCACAUGUCCACUAUCGAAUUCAAAACUAUAAUAGAAUCCAAAGGUGUACCAUACACAAGAUUUGUUUCCUAUGUAUCAAAAAUACAAAUGUUUGCCUCCCAAUAAAUUUAACACCUAAAAGCAUCAGCACUAUUCAGGUUUUUAUUAAUGAUUCAGCCCCAUCAUAGAGAUCGAUUGGGAAUACAUGUGAUGAUUAAAACAGAUGGCUCUCCAACUGAUGUAAGUUAUUCUUUUCCAUCAGAAGCUUUUUAUUUUUGUUUACUUCACUUUGAUUUUUUGUUGAUUCUUUUCCUUUUUAAAACCUUGUUGAGCAGUGUGGAAUGUCUAUUGCUCAAGAAAGUUGAUUGCUUAAUAUAUGUUAGCAGGAUGUCAUCACCUUUGGAGAUAAAGGGUCCAAGAAAUACAACCUCACUUUCUCAAUCAGGUAGCCAACACCUUGAUAAGAGUUACAUCAAGCUUCAAAUUUAAAGAAAGUGAAAACAACUUAAAUUGCCUGAUUCCAUUAUUGACGUCAUGUUGUACCACAUUGAUUUCAAGUUUGAUGCGACUGCAUUAUUACAUCAGUUUUUUUUUCAUAUUCAAAGAUCCAGAAUAUUACAUUAGUUUUUUGGUUUUGAUAUGCAGAGAACUUUGAGGAUUAUGAAGUUUCCUUCAAAUUAUGUCCGUUACUCAACCUCGAGUGGCACCUUACAGCUAGUGGGAAGUCAAGAAAGUAUAUCCUGCUCGGAAUGAAGUCAAGGUUAGAUAAUUAAAUAAUGAUUUACUGGUGUUUCAGUUACUAAGAUGCUUAUUUUGUAGUAAUAGUUUGCACUCUCAUAAAUCAGCGAAAUAGAUUUCCUUCAUUGGCACUCUCAUCAGUCAUCAAUCAGCGAAACAGAGAAAUCAACGGUUUCAAAAUUCUCUGGAACCCAUUUCAAGCUUCACGCCUUCAAUUCUAAUGACACCCAAGACACAGAAGACAUCAACAUAGUAGAAGAAUUCAACCCAAUACCCAUUUCAACCCAAGUUUUCGAUUCCUGCUUCACCUGAUGAGAAGAAGUUUAUGGGUGAGAAAGUUACAAAGCUGAAAAUAUCUUCUUCUAUCUUUUGUUUUACACAUCUUCUGAUUGAGUUAUAAUACAUGCCUCGCUUCUAUACAAGAUGAGAAACCAUAAAAUGCCUUUAUGAAGUGUUUGCGAAGUUGAUGUCACCUAAUUCAGAUUUCACUGAAUUAAUUUUUGAACCAAAUUAAUGCAUAUGUUUGCUCUAACGUUGAAAAGGAAAAACGUUGAAUGAUAUGGAUAUUUUCCUUUUAAGAAUACAAAGUCGCGAUAAAGGUAGAAAAUUUAGAUGGUAUUAAUUUUGAUAUGGAUCACCGUUGAGAACUUUGCCUGAGGUAUUAAAUUCUAUUUUCCCUCUUUAGAAAUGUUUCAUGUAGCUCCUAAUUGUGAUGCUUCAUUUACAUAUUUUUAAAAUUUGAUCAUAUAACAGGGAUAGAGUGUGUCCGAGUCAAUUUGAUGUUACAGACUUGCAGCUAACUGUUGUGCGUUAUAUAAUUGCAUAUUUCUUAGACACCAGAUAUGACCAAGUUCCAUCUACAAUGUUAACAGAAUCUUUGAUAGGUAAAGGAGGCAGACAAAAAAGCUAAACAUCUUUUUUCUUCCGUAUAGCUCCCAGGCAACUACACAAGGCAAUGCUUGAUAUAAGGGCUUUAGAUAUACAUUUGCAGGGUGUUUAUCGUAUGAGUAAGGAAAUCACUGUCUUCGCUCCCAGCAGACAGUGAUUGGAAGAUCCAUCCUCGCAUCACUUAGCACCUUCCAGCAGGCAAGCCUUUUUUUAAAAAAAUCUUCUCUUGCAUAUACUUUUGCAAUUUUAAACUUCAUUUUGAAUUGUGUUGUUGCUAACUUAAACAUGUUUGUGCUUAAUCAGAUGUGGAUUUUGAAGGGCUGUUGACACCCAAUUUUGACCCUCCCUGAUAAUAAUUAAUUUUCGAGCUUUUUAAAUUUCAAACAAUUUAAAAUAAUUAGCCUUGUAAAAUCCAAUUGGUUUCAAGAUUAUUUUAAGUAAUUUUCGUAGAUUUCUAUAGUAGUUUGAAUAAUAAAUAUAUUUUACAUAAUUAUUUAUGUAUUUAGUAUAUUUUAUAAAUGGUUGAAAUCCAUAUCAAAUGAUUUUUACAGUGUUAAAAUAAGUAGUUUAUUAAUUUGGUUUUAGUGUGAGUUAUAGUUUGAAUUUUGAACUAAUUAGUUUAUAUUUAAAUCAAUUACUUUGUAAUCAAGUUAGUUAUUUUAUUUUGUAUAGAUUAAGAAGCUCAUUAAUUAAUUUAUAUAAUUUCAUCUUGUCGAGCUUUUGGCCGAAUUCACAAAUCAAUUUCCAACCGGUUAAAUUUUCAACCUCAAUUGAUCAUAAUUUUAAUCGUAAUCCCUUUUUUUUUUAUUUCUAAGCUUGGUUCUUUUAUUUUUGCAAUCCAGCAGCCCAAACACUUAAAAAACAACCCAUCCCAAACACCAAUUUUCAGCUUCAAUUCCCAACCCAAUAAUUCCUGUGACCAAGCCCAAUUUCCCCUUUAACCCGGCCCACCCCAAUUCUAAAAGAAAUCAAUACAAUCCAAUGUUCCCUUUUUUUUCCUCUGUCAACGCAUCAAAUUCACGGCAACAACGACAAUCCCAAGCGGCGUGAGCAACAAUUCCUAAACGACACCAACAACAGCGUACAAACGACGCCCUAAAGUCCAUCAACUCACGGCGAUUCACGGAAAGCUCACGGCGCGAGAAAACGCGUGCCUAGUACAACAACAUACUGCUAUCCGUCGCCCUCUUCGCUGCAACAGUGCAGUUGCAGCAGCUGCUGUAACAGCGCAGGGUGUCCUUGAGGACGUAGGAUCGAGACACGUAGCAUCUCAAGGACAUCAAAUUGAUUGAAGUCGUCCAUCGCCCUUUCUCCUUCCGGAAUGAGACGAAUUUUCAAAGAAAAGGUGUCGUCCCAAAACGGGAAAAGAAUUUUUUGAAUUUGGAAUGGGCCUCGUUUCACCCGUUCUUUGCCCUAAUUUGAGGGAUAAAUAGUUCCGGAUCCUUCAGGUUUUAGGCAGGAUUUUCAGUUGCUGGAAAGGAAGAUAUAUAAACAUAAGAAUACAUAUAUAAAUGGAGAGCGAUAUUUAGGCAAAAGUCGACAAGAAAUUUGAUUCUUGUGUUCGCCUCUUGCAAGGCUCGUCGGAAUCUCGUUGUGGUAUUGGAGUUGCUGUUUCUCUGCUCGUGGUUCUCGGUUUCGCUGCACCCUUGAAGGUAACACUCAUCUCUCUUCAAGCAUAUCUUGCUCAUAAUGUGUCGUCGCUUGAUUCUUAAUGCGUGAGCCGUCUGCGUGAUAAUGUUUGGAGAAUACUUCGACUCAUUGCUUAUCAUAAAUCAGUAUGUAGCUGGUUUGUCUGCUUCUGGACACUGAUAAGAGUUGAGUUUUUCCGCCUCAUUUGUCUAUUGCUGCAUCUGUUGAUUUAUGUUGGUUAUAUUGUGACCUGGACUUUUGCAAAUGUAUUGGAAUAUUGGGUUUUUAUUGUUAUUACUCUUAUUGUCCUAGUUUUUCUAUAACACCUCUAUGAUCGGUUUCAAAAUUCCUAUUAAUCUUAUUCUGUGUCUAUUUGUUGUAAAUAUGCUUAUGGCUCAGGUUCUAGUGGCAAAUCGUAAUGUAUGCUUCAUGUUUAUUUGGAUUUGUUCACUUCGAUUUAAUAAUGAAACUUGUCAAAAAUCGGUGCUUACCUUAGCCCAUAGGUUGUUAUCUCCGAUAAUCUUAUGUUGCUAUUCAGGGGUCAAGCGUGUCGAAUUAUUAGCAGUCUAUCUAGCUAACGGUGUUCAUCAUAAGUAGCGGUUAUAUUCUUCUCAGAUAGUAGCUUAAGCUUUAACUGAUUUUUACUACUUUAGCAUGAUAUAACUCACCAAAUAUUUGAGGAAUCAGAUUAUUUCCCUUGGAUUUUCACUGAUGGUUGGCCCGUACUUGAGUUACUGUAAGUAGAACAUUUGGUCACGACUCGUUAGCUUAUCCACCAUAUAUUUAAUUCUUCCUGCAAAUAUUCAAAUGCUUGUCCUAUAUAAAAAAAUAAUAAUAUAUAUAUAUAUAUAUAUAUUAAUUUCUAUCCAUUAGUUUAUAGUGUUAUUUCCAGUGAAGUCCUUGAAUAUGCAUUUUAGUUGUUUGUGCUAGUAGCUGUUCAAUUAAAUAAUCUUUUUAUGUCUCAUAGUUUGAUGAAUCCAUGGCUGUUUACUGCUUCUUCGUUAGUAAAAUCGCUUAAUGAUGAUCAUGAAUUACUCAUGUUAAUUCUUUCCUUCCACUUUCCUUACAUGUGAUGCUUCGCCGAGUCUAUUUGGACUUUUCCCAUUGCCUCUUUGCAUUUUCGAGUAUCGAGUCAGCCCUCCGAUGUUCAAGAGUGAAAUGGAAUUGGCGUACAGGUGUUUGGAGCUGAUAUACGGGAUUGUAUACAUUAGUAUACACCUAGUGUAUACGAAAAAAUGAAAAAUGGGCAUAAAGUAGCCUUAAAUUUUCAGCUUUUGUAUUUUUGUAAUUAUUGGACUAAAAGCCCAUUUAUUUUGAUUAUUAUUGUGUUAGUUUAGGACAGGUACCAAGUGUUGGGCCAAAAGCCCCAAAAGCAGAAAUCAGGCCCAAGUAUUGGUCCAGGCGAACAAAAAAAAAAAAAAAAUCCAAACUUGGGCCCAACUCUCUUUCCCUCUUUACUUUAUUGUGUUCAUUUACUUACUAGUAUUUGUCGUUAGUCUUAAGGUCGAAAAAUUCAAAUCCCCGAAAAACGUCUAUUUUGAUUUAAUAAUUUAACUAAACCAGUCAUCUCUUAAACAAGACUUAAAGGAAUAAUUUUGCAGGAUAGCUCACUUAGACAAUAUUUAAAUAUUUCCUCUUUUCCCCCUUUAAAAAUAAGUUUUAACUAUAAAAUAGAUCAAUUUCGCAAGUCAAGCUAAGUUAAAAUUAUUUUAGUCAAGUAGUUAAUCGUCGGAUAACCACAUUAGUGGAUAUUUUAGGUGUCUUUAAAACCAUCCUAGAAUAUUAAUAAGAACCUCGAACCCCCCUUUUAAAAUUUUCAUUAGAUUCCAUGUUUUAAUCUUUUGAAAAAAUAGUUUUCUUGAUUUUUCUUAAAAAUUAAGUGGCGACUCUAAACCAGUCCAAAAUAAUAUUUUCUUAAAUAAAACAAGGGCGAGUACGACAAAUCUGGUCCAUCCAUUGUCCACAAGAAGUGCUUCUAAGGUGUUGCUGCUAUUUUUACAUUUGUUCGCGAGUUCUUUUUUAUUUUUUUUGUUCUUUCUGCUAAAGCUAUUAUGUCAUCCACAGUGAACUCAGGUCUGCUGUUAUAGGCAAGUCAUCGAGAUGGGGCUAUCAAAGAAGGGUGAUUAAAAACAUUGUACCGCUGAUACUAUUUCAUGUUUCCAGUGCAAGCCUCUUUUGUAAGUUGACAAACUCGAUUUGUAAAUAUGUUUGGGACUCAACUAGUGGUUAGAGUAUUGAUUUUGUAAGAUUUUUGUCCAGAAAAUCAAAUUAGAAAGAUUACUCGCGAUGAUUGAAUAAGCUCGAAGAAGUGGAUUUGAAUUUCAAUUCGUGUCUUUUUUUUAUGUGUGUGUGUGUGUGAGAAAUUUGAAGUGUUGUUUAGAUUUGUUGGAAUAGUCAAAAGACUAUAAAAUUUGAAGACAUUUGAUGGAGAUCUGAUUAGAUGAUUUUGAACAACAAUUGCAACUGAAGAUGGAUAUGUAUAUUAUUUUCGUAGUUAGCAACGUGUUAUAUAUUUUUAUAGUGGAUAUAUUGUUUUCUCAUUCGGUGAUGGGCAUCCACAUUGGAGUCCGACUAAAUUCGGAUUUGCACAUUUCGACAGGCGGCGCUCUUGACAUGAUUUUUUCCAUUCCACGGCUUAUGCUCCUAAAUUCUAAUUAAGGGUAGAAAAAUCUCAACUAUUUCACCACAACUCAUAUCCGUUAUAUUGGAUAUACAAGUGUAAACUAAAAAAUAUAACUAUGUAGGUGCAAGUAUUUUUGAAAAAAACCCAAAUAACUAGCCAAUAUAAAGAAAGAAUACUAAAUCCUACACUCCUAUGCACAUUCUACUGCAAAACACAAGUAGAAAAACUUCAAAUUUCGGCCAUGAAAUGACACCAUUUUCUCACACUCAAAAUGAUGUUAAAUUUCAUGAAUGAAACAAUACAUAUUACUUAGGUUGAAGCCCCAUUUUCUUCCUCGUUUUCCCACAGUAUAAAUCCUUAGACUUGAUCAUCCCAGGGACUAAUCCAACGAUCGUUGUGAACGAAAAUUGAGCCACUGCAUCUUGCCUUCCUAACUAAACGAUGAUCUUAGGCGAUGAUCGAGGCCCAUAUAUUGCAAGUUCGCAUUCUUUUCCUCCGCUCAUCAAAAGUCUCAAGUUCUUCGCGGCCACUAGAGCAUGUUUUUGAGCUGAAUAUCCUUGUUUAAGUUCCUGGUAAUGAAGAAGCAUUAGAAUUCAAUUGAAUAAUCCUAAGAACAUACACUGUAUAGUUCCACAAGUGGAGUCUAGGGAGGAUAGAGUUUACACUAACAUUACCCCCUACCUUGUCAGGUAAUAAUUCAAAUGAAUAAUAGAUUCGAAAAAUGCAAGUACUAGCUAGCUGCUUCAGGUCCUCUGGCUACUGCUAUAUUAUCAAAAAGAAUCAAGAUGCCUUUUAAAUCGACAACAUAUCCAAUGUAAUCCACAAGUGGAGUCUAGGGAGGGUUAUGUGUAAGCAGACCUUACCCCUAUCGUAAGGAAGAAAGUUUGUUUCCGAUACUAGGUUGUAGUUUCUCUGUUGCAACAAAACUAAAAAAUCACCACCCUUCACAUUUGGUCGAACAAUGCAGACUAAUAUCAAUCCAUGUCAUUUCAUGAAUAAGAUGUGAUCAAUUAACCAACCAAUUCCUAGCCAAUGAUGCUCUCUUCUAGCUUUACCUACAUGGCGAGGGAAAAAUCAAAGGCGAGGUGGAAAAUGGCCUGCUACAUCAAGAAAUAGAACUGACUAAUCCUAACUCCUAAGUCAGAGGGUCGAGAAACUCAAUACCACUAUUCUCAAACAACUUGGAGCAGGGCCUUCGUUCUGCACUAUUACUGAUAUGAAAAUAAUGGUCAAAAUCAGAUUAAAUUGUCAAUUGCCUCCAUUGGAAAUAUAGAAUUGACUAUUGACUUUGAAGGAACUGGAGUUACAUCUUCUUUUCCAUUCAAGAGAUUUUAUGCGUUUUCACGAUCUUUUAAGACCGUGAAAAAUGGACAAAUUUAUUUUCUUAGAAACACAUACAAGAUUCGUCACUACAAAAAGCAUAUAUUUUCAAGAAAUAAGAGAUAUGCAGUUUAGUGCUUACCUUAAUAUCAGUUAUAUCUCCAACAGCAAAUAUGUUUCUAUGACCCUUGAUUCUAAGAUUUUCAUCAACCUUCAAUCUUCCAAAAUUACGAUUCGAUCCUUCAAAUACGUCUCCCUUAACUACUCUGAACCCGGUGGCUUCCCCGUGCUAAGAAAAUGGCCAUCCUCUCUGAUAGUUUCCCCAGACGAGGUGAAAUAUGUUCUGUUUCCAACCGAGCUGUACAUGUUAUUACUCAUAUCGACAGAUUGCAUCAAUUUCACUUCCAUAUUCUUGUUUUUAACCAUUCUAAAUUCUAGUAGUCUAGAUCCAUCUUGCACCAAAGUUACCUUCUUCUGAGGAAAAUCGACAGUGAUUUCUGCAGCAAGUUUAACACUAGUAGGCCACCACCAACAAUCAAUACUGCUUUUAUCUUUUCAUUCUCUGCAACAAAGAACCUCGCAACAUUUUGACUAGUACAUCUCAACAUUCAUCACAAGACAAUUGACUGAAUCCCGUGAAAACUUGCUAGAGGAGCCGGUUUACAAAUAAAUAAUCUCCGCCUAAUGGAUACAGAACACCCAUGCUUUAGCUUUGUUUUAUCAUUUCCCGUAAAGGACAUCAAAAACAGCCUAGCCUCUCGCCAUUUUGACUUGUAAUAUACAACCUGACAAGACAAUCGCAAAAGAAAAGAUCUAAUCACUAGUAUGUCUCGACGUACAACAUAUCCAAUGUAAUCCCACAAGUGGUAUUUGGGGAGGGUAAGAUGUACACAUACUUUACCUCUACCUUUGCGGGGUAGGGAGGUUGCUUCCUGUAGACCCUCGGCUCAAAAGAAAUGAAGAAAUAAUAGCAUCGUGCAAGAAUAUAUGAUAAACAAAAUUACAUUAUACAAAGCAAAUGAAGCAACAUAUAGUAAUAUACACUGGAAAAAAAGGAAGCUACGCAAUUACUAAAUAUUAAUACUAGUACAUCUCGAACUCUUUGUGAAAUAGUAGAGCAGUCAUGAUCAAGACAAUUGGCUGAAUCAAAUUAAAUAAAACCUGACAGAAGAGCCGGUUUACACAUAAAGAAUCUUUUCUCAACAGAUACAAAACACUAAUGCUUUAGCUUCUUUUUAUCAUUUUCCAAAAAAGUUGACACGAUUAUUUGAUUUCAACAAAACUUUCCACGAUAAACGUACAAGUAAUUUGCUCGUUGAAAAGCAGACAAUAUGGUAAAUCUAACGAAUUAAGCACAACUAUCUAAACCAACUUCAACUCACCACACUAAAUUUUAAACUAAAAAAAAAUAUUCUCUUUAUAUUCUUCUUAUAAUGGUAUAUUAAAUUAUAAUUUAUAGUAAAGGUAUAUUAAAUUACAUUUUAUAAAAUUAUAAUGUAAUGUUAUUUAUUAAUAAUGUAUUAUAUUUGCAUUUUAAUAACGGUAUAUUUUCUCUACCUAGCUCAUGAUUUUUGUUGUUUCAACUUUUCCAGUGACUUCAUUUAGAGUUGCACCCUUGUGCUUUGAUAAAAUGCAGAAUCUUAUGUAUAAAAAAAUACAAGAGGUCAUUUCUAGAUAAUUUAACAUCUAAUGAUCUAAUAAAGCAUCUUGUUUCAGUUGGUGAAAGUUUAUAUCCAAUAAAAAUAUGUCAAUUUGGUGGUAUGUCAGUCCCCACCAAAGACUAAACUAUAGGGUCUCAACUCAUUACUCAUGGUGGCAUGUAUCUAUUGAUUUAUUGUAAAAAAAAAUACGAAUGUGUCUUCAUCCCAUCUGAAUUUGCUUGGUAAUAAUUUACUAUAUAUGAGGUGUUUUAGUUCGCACUAUCGAGAGGACUUUAUUACAAUUUUCAACCAAGAGAAAAUUUUAUCUCUGAUCUUGUAUAUAAGAAAACAACUACAAGGGAAAACUUUUAUCAUUUUACCAAAGCUCUUGGUGUUAUCGAAUUUCCAACUUCUUGACGUGUUUUCAAGUAUAAUAAAUUUAUGAUAGUAUAGAAAGAAAGAAAUGAAAAUAAAACAUUAUUGUUGGGUGAAAAGUGAUACUCAUGGAAAGGACACAGGGGCGGCUCAACGUAACUGGAGGCCUAAAGCGAAAUUUUAUUUGAGGCCUAAAAAAAAUCAUACAUAUUUAUUUAAAAAUUAUUUUUCUAAUUGUUUAGAUGCACAUUAUUACUUCAACUUUUUAAUAGAUGAUUUAUUUGAGUACUUUUUUAAAAAAAAUUAAUUAAUUUUAGGUAAGAUUUUAUCAAUUCAAUGCUGAAAAAUAUCCUUUUACUAAAGCAAUCAUUAUAUGAAUUGUUAACAUAAUUCUCUAAGGAAUAAGUUGACAAACUUUAAGCAAAAUAAGAGUUAGAACCAUAGAAUCUGAUUCAAGACGUUGAUAACUUGAUAUACCUAACUUUGAUUGAAAAUUUAAGUUAAAAAAAAAUUGCGAUUCACUUUGUUCAACAUUGUUCGACUAAUGAUUCAGAUUUAUGAUAGAGUAUUACUUUAACUUAUCAAAGAUUUGUAGAAAAAGAGUGAAAAAGGAGUUUUAAAAUAAAUAAAUAAUGUGAAUAUUAGUUAGCAAAGAAAUGUAAUAAGACAAAACAACGUUNNNNNNNNNNNNNNNNNNNNNNNNNNNNNNNNNNNNNNNNNNNNNNNNNNNNNNNNNNNNNNNNNNNNNNNNNNNNNNNNNNNNNNNNNNNNNNNNNNNNNNNNNNNNNNNNNNNNNNNNNNNNNNNNNNNNNNNNNNNNUGUCCGCAUCCCCCACCCACCCCACCCAAAAUAAAUAAAAUAUCCUUCCUCUUUUGCCUCAAUUUUUCAAUUAUUCAAUUGAGAUAAAAGACUCUUGUUAUUAGGUGAAAAGUGAUGCUCAUGGAAAAGAUAAAAAAGGACAAUUUAAAUUACUUAUUAUUUUUUCCCUAUAGCUAUUAGUCGUGGGAAAAGGCAUCAAUUCCUCUUUAAAUUUGUCCCGAAAAGUCAGUUACAUGCUUAAACUAUUAUAGUGAUCUAUUACACACUUAUACUACUCAAAAGUAAAUUUUCUUACCCCUUAAAACUGACGUGGCAAAAAAAUAAAACAAAAAUAAAAAAUACGCGCGUCAGUUUGAAAUUAAAGUGAUAAAAAAAAGUUAGAAUCUUCUUUUCCACCCCACCCCAUACCUCUUCUUCUUCACACCCCACCCCUUGUCCUCUUCUUCUUCAUUCUUUAUUUUCAUCACACUUCUUUAUUUUUUUUAUCACAAUCUUAAAGCACAAUUUUGUUUUAUUCGCAAUAAGGUUAAUUCUCAUAGAUUUGUUAGUUUAUAAUUGUAUUUUAUCUAGAGAAGUUUCGGUUGAUUGUUUCUAUCUUUGUCAUUUUUUUGACUUUGUUAAAGAAAUUUUUGUUGUUGAUCAAUUUUUGGGUUUAGUGGUGAUAGCAACUUUAUGGGUUUGGUGGUGAUGGUGGUGGGUGAUAAAAAAUUAAAAGAGGUAAUUGAAGAUGGUGAUGAAGAAAAAAUCGAUAUUAAUAAUGGUGGUGGUGAUAUUUGGUGAUGGGUGACAAAGAAGAAGAAGAAUUGAAGGUGAUAUAGUGGUGGUGAAGAACAAAAUCAAUAGUGAAAGGUGGUUGGAUAUGAUUUUUCCGAUGAAAUGAGAAUUGAAAUUGGUGGGAUUUAGUGAUGAAGAAGAUAUAAUUAUUAGAGAAUUAAAGUAAUUAAUAAGAGUAAAAUAUAGUUAACAAAAGAAAAGUUAAUUAAUAAAGAAAAGAAAAUAAAAAAUUAUAAUUUAUGACAUGGCGCUGAUGUAGCGGUGAUGUGGCAACGAGUGUAAUGCACCACAUAAUGUAAGAGUGGUAUUACACGUUUUAGGGUGGUAAUAAAUUCACUUUUGAGUAUUAAAGGUGUGUAAUAGGUCACUAUAAUAGUUUAAGCGGGUAACCGGGACAAGUUCAAGGGGAAUCUAUGACUUUUCCCAUCAGAUGUUGACCAUACAAAACUAUUAUCUUCUCAAAAUCAUUUUGUGUGUUUCCUUGUUUUGCUUUGCAGAUUUCAGAAAUGGAGAUUGUCUUAGCAGUUGGUGGUGCAUUUCUCUCUUCAGCUUUGAAUGUUCUCUUUGAUAGGCUUGCUCCUCACGGUGAUCUGCUCAACAUGUUUCGGAAGCAUAAGGAUCAUGUUAAGCUCUUAAAGAAGCUGGAGGACAUUUUGCUUGGUCUUCAGAUUGUGCUAAGUGAUGCAGAGAAUAAGCAAGCAUCAAAUCGACACGUGAGCCAGUGGUUUAAUAAGCUUCAGAGUGCUGUGAACGGCGCUGAAAACUUGAUAGAAGAAGUCAAUUAUGAAGCUCUGAGGCUUAAGGUGGAAGGUCGGCAUCAAGAUCUCGCAGAAACAAUCAACAAGCAAGUAAGUGACCUUAACCUGAGCUUGAGUGAUGACUUCUUUCUAAACAUAAAGGUCAAGUUGGAAUACAUCAUGGAAACAUUGGAGGAUUUGGAAAAGCAAAUUGGCCGCCUUGGCUUAAAGGGGCAUUUUGGUUCGACGAAACAAGAAACAAGAACACCUUCAACUUCUUUGGUUGAUGAAUCUGAUAUCUUUGGUAGGCAGAGUGAAAUAAAGGAUUUGAUUGACCGUUUAUUGUCUGAAGAUGCAAGUGGGAAAAAGAUGACAGUAGUUCCUAUUGUUGGAAUGGGUGGCCUGGGUAAGACAACACUUGCUAAAGCCGUUUACAAUGAUGAGAGGGUGAAGAACCAUUUUGGUUUGAAAGCUUGGUAUUGUGUUUCUCAGGGAUAUGAUGCUUUGAGAAUAACGAAAGGGUUACUUCAAGAAAUUGGCAAAUUUAACUCAAAGGAUGUCCACAACAAUCUUAAUCAGCUUCAAGUCAAAUUGAAGGAAAGCUUGAAGGAAAAGAAGUUUUUUAUUGUUUUGGAUGAUGUGUGGAAUGACAACUACAACGAGUGGGAUGACUUGAGAAAUAUUUUUGUACAAGGAGAUAUAGGAAGUAAGAUCAUUGUGACGACACGCAAAGAGAGUGUUGCCUUGAUGAUGGGAAAUGAGCAAAUUAGCAUGGACAAUUUGUCAACUGAAGCCUCUUGGUCUUUAUUUAAAAGACAUGCAUUUGAAAACAUGGAUCCUAUGGAACAUCCGGAACUUGAAGAGGUCGGAAAACAAAUUGCAGCUAAGUGCAAAGGACUGCCCUUAGCUCUGAAGACGCUGGCUGGCAUGUUACGCUCCAAAUCAGAGGUUGAAGAGUGGAAACGUAUUUUGAGAAGUGAAAUAUGGGAGCUGCCAGACAAUGACAUAUUACCAGCGUUGAUGUUGAGCUACAAGGAUCUUCCGGCACAUUUAAAGCUAUGUUUUUCCUAUUGUGCAAUAUUUCCUAAAGAUUAUCCAUUUAGUAAAGAACAAGUCAUUCAUCUGUGGAUUGCCAAUGGUCUCGUACCAAAGGAUGAUGAGAGAAUUCAAGAUCCAGGCAACCAAUACUUUCUCGAAUUGAGAUCAAGAUCAUUAUUCGAAAGGGUCCCAAAUCCUUCUGAAGGGAACAUAGAGAAAUUCUUAAUGCAUGACCUUGUCAACGAUUUAGCCCAAAUUGCAUCUUCAAAACUUUGUAUCAGGUUGGAAGAGAGCCAAGGAUCUCAUAUGUUAGAAAAAAGUCAACACUUAUCAUAUUCAAUGGGAUAUGAUGGUGAGUUUGAGAAAUUGACACCCCUCUACAAAUUGGAGCAGCUGAGGACGUUGCUUCCGAUAUGUACUGAUGUCAGUUAUUACUCUCUGAGCAAGAGGGUGCAGCAUAACAUACUGCCAAGACUAAGAUCCUUGAGNNNNNNNNNNNNNNNNNNNNNNNNNNNNNNNNNNNNNNNNNNNNNNNNNNNNNNNNNNNNNNNNNNNNNNNNNNNNNNNNNNNNNNNNNNNNNNCAUUACCAGAUUAAGGAGUUGCCAAAUGACUUGUUUAUCAAAUUAAAGCUCCUCAGAUUUUUGGACCUUUCUCUGACAUAUAUUGAAAAGUUGCCUGAUUCUGUUUGUGGAUUGUAUAACUUGGAGACACUUCUCCUGUCAUCUUGUUAUAAUCUUGAGGAGCUACCGCUGCAGAUGGAGAAGUUGAUUAACUUGCAUCACCUUGACAUAAGCAACAGUUUUCGCUUGAAGAUGCCGCUACAUCUAAGCAAGUUGAAAAGCCUCCAAGUGCUAGUGGGAGCCAAGUUUCUUCUAAGUGGUUGGAGGAUGGAAGAUUUGGGUGAAGUACAUAACUUGCACGGAUCUCUAUCAGUUGUAGAGUUGCAAAAUGUGGUUGAUAGUAGGGAAGCUGUGAAGGCAAAGAUGAGGGAGAAAAAUCAUGUUGACAAGUUAUCUUUGGAGUGGGUUGGAAGUAGUAGUGCCGACAAGUCACAAACUGAAAGAGACAUACUUGAUGAGCUACGCCCACAUAAAAACAUAAAAGAAGUCAAGAUCACCGGAUAUAGAGGGACAACAUUUCCAAAUUGGCUAGCUGAUCCUUUGUUUCUUAAGCUGGUGAAAUUGUCUCUUAGCAACUGCAAGGACUGUUAUUCCUUGCCAGCACUAGGAGAACUCCCUUGUUUGAAAUUCCUUUCGAUUAGAGGGAUGCAUGGAAUAACAGAGGUGACGGAAGAAUUCUAUGGCAGUUUGUCCUCCAAAAAGCCUUUUAACUGUCUUGAGGACCUUGAAUUUGAAGAUAUUCCGGAGUGGAAGCAAUGGCACGUACUAGGAAAUGGAGAGUUCCCUACACUUGAGAAGCUUUUCAUUAUAAAUUGCCCAGAACUCAGUUUGGAGACACCCAUCCAACUUUCAUGUUUAAAAAGGUUUCAUGUUGUUGGUUGUUCUAAGGUUGGAGUUGUUUUUGAUGAUGCUCAACUGUUUAUAUCCCAACUUGAGGGAAUGAAACAGAUUGUUGAACUAUUUAUUAGUGAUUGUAACUCUGUUACCUCCUUUCCUUUUAGCAUACUGCCCACUACCUUGAAGAUAAUAUGCAUAUCUCGUUGCAAGAAAUUGAAAUUGGAGAUGCCAGUUGGCGAGAUGAGUUAUUGUAACAUGUUUCUCGAUUAUUUGAGCGUGGCAGAAUGUGAUUAUAUAUCACCUGAGUUGUGCCAAAGAGCACGCCAAUUGAGAGUACAGGAUUGCCACAACCUUACUAGGUUUUUGAUUCCUACUGCGACUGAAACUCUCUAUAUUCGGGGAUGUGAGAAUGUUGAAAAACUUUCGGUGGCAUGUGGGGGGACCCAGAUGACGUCACUGAUUAUUGAUGGCUGUAAGAAGCUGAAGUGGCUGCCAAAACGUAUGCAGGAACUCCUUCCAUCUCUUAAGCAACUGCAACUGAUUGAUUGUCCAGAAAUAGAGUCCUUUCCUCAAGGAGGAUUGCCCUUCAAUUUACAACGACUUUGGAUCAGAAAUUCCAAGAAACUGGUGAACAGACGAAAGGAGUGGUGUUUGCAGAGACUCCCCUGUCUCAACUUGUUAGAGAUCUCUCAUGAUGGCAGUGACGAAGAGAUUGUUGGUGGUGAGAAUUGGGAGUUGCCUUCCUCUAUUCAAAAACUUACAAUAAACAAUGUGAAAACAUUAAGCAGCCAACAUCUCAAAAGCCUCACCUCUCUUCAAUAUCUAUGUAUUGAGGGUAAUUUUCCUCAAAUUCAGUCAAUGCUGGAAGAAGAGCUUCCCUCCUCUCUUUCUCACCUCACUUCGCUUCAAAGUCUACACAUCGGGAAUUUCCCUAAUCUCCAAUCACUUUCUGAAUCAGCACUGCCCUCCUCCCUCUCUCAGCUGACCAUAGAUGAUUGCCCUAAUCUCCAAUCACUUUCCGAAUCAGCACUGCCCUCCUCCCUCUCUCAGCUGGAGAUCUCCCAUUGUCCUAAUCUCCAAUCCCUUCCGGUAAAAGGGAUGCCCUCUUCCCUCUCUCAACUAAGUAUUUACAACUGCCCAUUGCUCACACCGUUACUAGAAUUUGACAAGGGGGAAUACUGGCUAAAUAUUGCUCAAAUUUCCACCAUAGUGAUCGAUGAGGAAUCCCUGUGAUGAUUAAAACGAAUGGCUCUCCAACUGAUGUAAGUUAUUCUUUUCCAUCAUAAGCUUUUUACUUUUGUUUACUUCACUUUGCAUUUUUGUUAAUCCUUUUCCUUUUUUAAACCUUUUUGAGCAGUGUGGAAUGUCUAUUGCUCAAACCACGGCUGCCGACCAAAAACUGCUCAUAUUUCCACCAUAAAUGUUCAUUGGGAGAACCUCUAAUGAUUCAAACAUGUGGUGCUCCAAUAGAUGUAAGUUCCUUAGUAUCUUUUGAUUUUUGGUUACUUCUCUUUGCUUGUUUCUUAAUUCUUUUUCUACAUUAUAGGAUAAAGACAUGUUUUACUCCUCUCGAUAUGCAGAUAUGUUGCAGAGAUGAAGUCUCUGUGAGAGUGGUAAGAUAUCAUUUAAAGCAUAUGGCAAUCUAGCUCAGCAAGAGAUACAUGCUAAAGUAUAUCCUGUUUGGGAUGAAUUCAACGUGAGAUAACAAAAUAAUGAUUUACUCGUGUUUCAGUUACCAAGAUGCUUAUUUUGUUGUAAUACUUUGCACUCUCAUAAAUCAGUGAAAUAGGUUUCCUUCAUUGGCACCCUCAUCAGUCAUCAGUCUGCGAAACAGAGAAAUCAACGGUUUCAAAAUUCUUUAGAACCCAUUUCGAGCUUCAUACCUUCAAUUCUGAUGACACCCAAGACACAAAAGACAUCAACAUAGUAGAAGAAUUUAACCCAACACCCAUUUCAACCCAAGUUUUUGAUUCCUGCUUCACCUGAUGGGAAGAAGUUUACGUGUGAGAAAGGUCUAUAGGUACAAAUAUUUUUUCUUCUCCCUUUCUUACUGCGGCGCUUAUAUUGGUUUUGCCCCACUUUGCAUCAUAAUGAUGUUGGAGUGUAUCGGUUUUCUACUGGUAUUCAGAUACUUAAAAUGGGAAAUUGCUUUUGAAAAUAUCAUUUUCAUUGUUCGAAUGUUUUUUAAAUCAUCUGUUGAUCCAAAAUUUUCAUUUUUCUGUUGAUCUUCUUCUAUAUUUAGUUUUACAUGUCUUCUGAUUGAGUUAUAAUACAUGCCUUGAUUCUAUAGAAGAUGAUAAAUUGUCAAAUCCUUCCAGUGCGUUGAUCGUAGAUAAGACACUCAGAAGAAGAAAAGAUGACACGAAGAUGGUUAGCUGCAAGGUAACCGACAGAAAUUUCUUUAUAGGAGGAAAAUGGAAUCGAAGAAUCCGGGAUGACAUAGACCCACAGUGUGAAAGAGGUAAGAGAGUUUCAUCUACAGUGUAAACAGAAACUUUGAUAGGUAAAGGAGGCAGACAAAAAAGCUAAACAUCUUUUUAUAUGCAAUAGCAAUUCAUAGAAGUAUCAAUAAGCUUACAAUCCAUCAUAUAUUUCUUCUAAGUACAUAAGAUGUAAUGUCUGUGGCAAGUAACUUUUAAGGAGAUUCUAGUGCUUUUACCAAGGAUAACAUCAAUAUUUUGAUCCAUUGUGAAGGCGUAAUUCUGUUUCCAGCAGGAUUAUAUUAGUUUCUUUUCUAAUUAAGAAAUAACAAUGUCUUCAAUGCAUUGUCAAGAUUCAGUCUACUUUCUAGCAGCAAUUAACAUGAAUCGUACAUCCGUUCCAAAUGUCAUUAUAAAAAGGAAAAAAAAACUGCUGACACUACACUUCAUCUCAAUUCUCAUUAGGAUAGUUGAAGUAUGAAUUAUUCUUAUGUAUUUACAUUUAUCUGCAGGAUUAUCUUAUGUGAAUGUGUUUCUGAGUAAGGAUAUGAGUGAAAUAGCCCAAAAACCUAUAUAAACCCCUUUGGAAGACUACAACUUGCAUAACUCAACACUCUCUCACAUGUGUAACCAGAUUUUGAGGUUCACAUGGACUUCAAUAUGAACUCAAGAGUGUGAGAAUAAACUUAUAAAAGGAUGGUUGUGAUAUUAUGUGAUGAGAACGUAAAACCUUAUAAAUUCCUUUGAAAAGCCUCUAUUCAAAUUUCAACCCAUAUGGAACAACAAUAUAACUUAACUGAAAAUGGCUAAGAAUCAAAUAUACGAUACUCUAAGACCACUCAAUUCUUUGUUUAUAGUAAAAUGUGUAGAGAAUAGCAAAAGAAAAGUAUAUAUAUUCGGGAAGCCUUCUGCUAGCCCAAGACCGUUAAUUAAGAUCGGAAGAUUCAACUAAACAAGAGGAAGCUGGAAAGGAGAACUUUGUUUAAGUAAGAAGACUCUUGAAUUGUCUUUGUUUGGGUUGUUCUUGGGUUGAUUACAAAUGCCUAAUGUCACCCCUAUUUAUUCUAGAUAUUUCUAUACUAUAAAUAUUCUUAAGUAUAUAUAUCAAAAAAUAAUUUACUCUACCAAAUUCUAGAAAGUUCUACGGGAUAUCUAAGAUAUUUUUGGUACCUCCAUAAAAUCAACUUUAAUUUUUCACAAAAUCAACUGCUACAAACAGCUUCACUGAAAACAAAUAGCACAGAAGAAAGGGUCUGGUUGUCUUCUGCUUAGGGAAAAAUUGAUUAUUGAAAACACUUUUGUGUACAUGACAUUAACAUCUCUCAUUUUCAUAUGUGAAGUUUGCAUCCAAGAAGUUCCAAAAGAGGAAGUGAUAAUGUGGUAUGCAUUGUUCACUUUCACAUCCCAUUUUUCUGUUUCUUUGGUCCCUCUUCUUCCUGUUCCAUUACUUUGUUUUCCGUUGGGAAUUUUCUUCUAACUGCUAUGGAGGUUCAACCAUAUCAUACGCGUCGUCAAUGUUUAAAGCCCUUUUGUGAUGUCAUUUAGUGUAGUGAUGUAUAACAUCAUGUUGUGAUUUUAAAGAUUUGCUUAUCUUUUACCCAUGCCUAGGUUGACGCCUUACUUUGUCUUUACUCUUUACGCAUCAUCUGGUGUCGCCCUGAAAAUUUUUGUGUAGUUAAGGUCUUUGAUUCUACCUUAAUCGUAAAAUGCAUCCCUUGUACUUAGGAGGUCAUACAAUCAGUAAGCUUGAUGACAUGCUUUUGUCGAAGAAUGACUAUGAUGAUUGAACUUCUGCAAUUCGUUUGUCGGCAGGUGGAGAUAUACAGCCAUUGUUACGAGAAACAACCUUUGGUUAUCCAAGGUGCUGGAGCAGGAAAUGAUACCACAGAAGCUGGUGUCCUAGCUGAUAUCCUUGACAUUCAAGAUUUAUUCCCUUGACUGAGUAUUACACACUGAGAUACAAACAUUCGAUCCUCAUAGGAUGAAAAAUCGACUCUUCCUGUCCCUCUGCUUUCAGAUUGGAGAUUGAAAUCAUGCUAAGAAAGCUCACAUAUUUUUUGAAAAAAUUCUCGAUACACAAGAGUGCCUUGUCAGUUUACAGUAGAUUAUAAUGCAAUUUCUUUCGUGCAUAACGACUCAAAUGGAACAGUGCAAACUGAGUCAUUUGCCUCAGUACUGGACUAGUUUUUAGGAUUUCACUUCAGCUUAUAAUCAGUUUGCUUUAUAAUGACCAUUUUGGUACCCCAACUUUUUAUGUUAUCACAAUUUUAGAGACUUAUCUCUUGGUUAUUAUGCUUUUCAAUGUAUGAAAUGAUGUGAGAUCAUGCUCAUGAUCUACACAUACCAGAUAAUCAUUAUCUUAAAAUGGAAAAGAACUACUAAAUGAUAUCAAGUAAUAAUCGCCAUUAGUGAUAUCCAAGCAUAAUUUGGUACUCUCGUAAGUUGUUUUCAUCACAACUCGAAUGUCAUCGAAAGUUUUCCAUGGUAACUGUUUACAAUAACAAGGUAUAACAAUUAUUACGCCUCAGUCUCAAACAAGUUAGGGUCGGCUAAACAAUCAAAAACUUGGCAUCAGUUGACAAGUAAGCGCUCAACUGACAACUAAACACUUCAUCUCAUCCCACUAUGUCUUGUGGACACUGGAUGCUGACGUGUCACAUAAAUUUUGGUUGUCUAGAUGUGCAUGCUCAAAGUUGGAGUGCAUACUUGCCUGUUUAGGCCAAAUUUGAGUUGUCUGUCAGAGCAAGAUCAGACCACACACGGGGACUAUCGCCUACCUCAAAGCUUAGAUAUGAGAUCGAAUCGCAUUAAAAAACAAGACCUAAGCAUGUAGCAAAUUAUCUUACCCAGUCUACAAGAUACAUGUUCAUGGCCCUUGGGCCUUAGGACAUCUUCAUCAGGUACCACUCCAGAAUCUCCUGCAUUAUUUACCUGCAGAAAUUUAUUCAGCAACUGUCCAAUAUUUGCCUCGAGAUCGAAUAAGGAUUAAUACAUAGAUUCAUGCUCUUACCAGAAUAUCAAGCCUCCCAUAUUGUGUUUGUAUGAACUUUGCUAAGGACUCAAUGCUCUGAGCAUCAACAUCAAGUUGUUCAUUCAGCAAGGAUGUUGCUUCAGUUCCUCUCUUUUCGUCUCUGGCUGUUAAGACAACCGUUACACCUGAAUUGGCGAGCUGCUUAACAGUCUCGAAGCCAAUUCCCUUGUUUGCUCCAGUAACAACUGCAUACUUACAAACGUCUCCCAUCACUUAAGUCCAAUGUUUCUAACCUUUUCUCCUUUGGAAUCCUUUUGGGCAGAAGAAAAAAGAACAAUAUUUCAAACGAAAUAACGAUACAGGAAGAAAGAGGUACGUAUAGACUAAUAAUCCAAGAGUUUGAAAUAACAACCUCAGGGAAUUCAUUUCAUCUACCUAAGCCUUAAUUGACAGGAUCGAUUACCAGUAUAAAGUUGAUUAGUUCAGGUUUCCGCAGCUGCUAACCUAGACACUACUGUUAUUAAACCCAAAAAACCUCUCUCUUACCAUACUACGAGUCAGGGGUAUAACUAAUGGGACGCAAAGGGGUUCAUCCGAUCCACCCCCUCCCCGAAAAAUUGCUCCAUACAUGUAUACAAAGCCAAAAUUACUUUUUAUAUGUAAGCAUAGUAAUGUUACUUGAGACAAUCAAAACCUCUUUGUGUUUUUACAACAACAUACCCAAUGUAGUUCCACAAAGUGGAGUUUGGGGAGGAGGGUACGCAUACAUUACCCCUACCAUAGAGGUAGAUAGGCUAUUUCCGAAAAAACAGUCCAAAGCAGUUCUGAAAAAGAAGUAACGGAAGUGCAUAGUAAUAACAAAAACAACAGACAGCAAACAAAACAGAAACUAGAACAAAACAAAAGGAUAUAUAAUUGAGAUACGAGAAACAACAAAUAGUAACAAAACUGAAGCAAGAACAAAAUGAUACGAUAUAUAAUUGAGAUACAAGCAACAACAGAUAGUAACAAAACAAAAACUAGAACAAAACAAUACGAUAUAUAAUCGAGGUACAAGAAACAACAAAUUGUAAGAACAACGGAAGGACAACAAACUACAGGGCAAUACAAUCAUGUUAGACCUCAACUAAUUCCAACCAUUAUCUAUAAACUUACCCUGUCACAUGAAUCAAAACGAUAUAGUAAACAAUCAAAGACCAAAUUUCAGAAUCAGUUCAUUUUUGUCAAGAUUUGGAAAUAUUGAGUUACCUGUAAAACAAAUCUGAAAAUGGGGUUGGCAAUUGAAGGCCUAAUUUCUGUUCUACUAUCUACUACUGGUGUAAUUAAAUUUGAUGGAUAAAUAAAUACAUUACAUGAAAUAAAAAAAAUAACAAAAAAAGAGAGAGAAAGAAUGUGAAAAAAAAUGAAAAUAAAUAUGACUUUAGAGGCAAUGUUAUAGGGACUAAAAUCGUUAUUUCCACUUUUAUAUUAUGUUUUCAAUUCCCAUUAUAGGACUUUUUUGCUGUUUUUUUUUUUUGUGUGUGGCUAAAACAUAGUUUGUAGUACCACUAGCAAAAAAGAGAGAGGUGGAUAUAUUAUUUUCGUAGUUAGCAACGUGUUAUAUAUUUUUAUAGUGGACAUAUUGUAUUUUCACUCGAUGUCUGGUAUCCACAACAAUUUUUGCACAUUUUAGGGGCGGCUCCUGACAUGGUCAUUUUCCAUUCCAAUUUCCACAGCCCGUGUUUCUAAAUCAUCAUAUCAUAUCAUAUAUAUCAUAUAUUACUAAAAGUGGAAGUUCCAAAGUGCAAAGUUGGAUUACCAUUUUAUCCCUACACUGUAUAAAUCAUCAUAUCAUAUAUCAUAUAUCAUAUAUCAUCAUAUUCAUAUUCAUCAUAUCAUCAUAUUCAUAUAUAUAUAUUAUGAAAAGUGGGAAGCUUUUAACUUUAAAGUUGGAUUACCAUUUUACCCCUACGAUAAGUUAAAAUGUUAUAAAAUAUUUAAUUUAAUUAGAAUUCUCAAUAAGUUUUCUCUAAUAAAUAUUUGUAUUCAUAACCGAAUUUCUAUGCAACCUAUAAUUACAAUGCUUAAUAUGUAUUAACCUCUCACAAUUGAAUUAUGGAAAAAUUACAAAAAUUCCACCUUUUAGUUUACUUAUUAUCAUUAUCCCCUAUAAAUUUUAUAAAUUUCCAAAAUCCCUCAUUUUUGCACAUCAGAUUAAUGUAUCAACGCUUAUAUUAUUGUAUCUCGCGCUUAUAUUAUUGUAUCUCGCGCAUCAGAUUAAUGUACCAUGUAUAAAAUGUACAUCAUAUUAGUGUAUCAUGUAUAAAAUGUACAUCAGAUUAGUGUAUCAUGUAUAAAAUGUAAUGUAUCUUACUUAACAAUUAAUGUAUCUCGCGCAUCAGAUUAAUGUAUCAUCACUUAUAUUACUGUAUCCGUUUUGAGGGAUUUCUGUAAUUAUAAACUUUUAAGGGAUAAAUUGUAAUUUUGCCUUAAAAGUAUGUGAUUUCUGUAAUUUUCCCUUGAAUUAUUAUUAAUAAUAAUAAUUUAUAUAUAUAUAAUUAAAUCAAAUAUUUAAUUAAAUAUCUAAUUAAAAAAUAUUAUUUUGCGCACCUUAAGUAAAAGUUAAAUAAAAUUCAAUUAAUUAAUUUUUCAAUUACAUAAAUUGAACGGGAUUUGGAAGUGGAAAAGUGGUACUUUAAUGCUCAGACAAACGUAUCCAAGGAAUUCACAUAAUACAUGAUUAAUUGCUUUAAAUUAACACAUCAUGUAUUACUUUACCUAACUUUUACAAUUCCUAUAAUUUGUCUUUUCAUUUUCUUUAACUUAACUUAUCAAAUUCUAACACUUUUAAAUUAGUAACCAAUCUUUGUUAAUAUAACAAUCAAUAGAAUUUGAAUAGUUCAUUAAGUAUUUAAGUGUAGGUUAAUAAAUACAUAUUAUGUUAAAAGGAAUUUUAAAGAACAUAAAAAAAAACACUAUAUAAAGGUAACAAAUGAUUUCCAUUUCCUUAUGCAUGAAAUAAGAAAAUGGGAGAUGGAGAAACAUGUAGAGUUGAUAGAUGUUGGAAUUGAAUAAUUGUCAUAUCAAUUUACAUGCAACAUUCAACAUUCAUUGGAUGAUAUAUGAAGACCACUAUCUCCGUAUGGAGUGCUACCAGAAAUUCAUGAGCUAUGAAAAGGAGGAAGUUGGUUUCUUUGGAAGAUUUGAUUUUAGAAUUUUCAUUAAUUGAUUUAUUCUUAUAAUGUACUGUAAUUAUAAUUGUUUACGGCUAUAGAUAAAUGCGACGUUAUUUGUGUAUUUGGAAGGGAGUUAUAAAAUGAUAUCUUGUAGUAUUUUACUAUAAAAGUGGGAACUACCAAGUUAAAAGUUUGAGAACUACCAAGUUAAAAGUUUACAUCUCUGGCAUUCAUCUUAAUUUGUUUGUUAUUGUUGAUAUAGUAGUUGGAUAUCACAGGUUAUAUGCCUUCAUGGCAACAUCUGAUUGGUAUUGAAAAAAUUAUUUCGUAAUUUUUGUAUUCUGUAAUGUGUCUUCAUAUGUAUCUUCAUAUUUGAAUUUACUGAUUCAUUUUACUGAAAGAAUUAGGAGUAUCCGCGUCAUAUAUAAAUAUAGUAUCAAACUUUAAAAGGAAAAUUUUCUUUUAUUUUGAUAUGAUAUCAUUGAAUAAAAACUAUUUUAGCUAAGUUGCAAUUUUUUGCUACAUUUAUUUUCAAAACUAAAUAUGUAUGUAUUUUUUUAAAUAUCAUUAAUAUGGGAAACACACGCAACGCGCGUGUCCGGAGACUAGUAUAUUACUAAAAGUGGGAAGUUUCAAAGUGCAAAGUUGGAUUAUCAUUUUACCCCUACACUAUAUAAAAAUAUUAUAAAUAAUAAUAUAUAUUAAUUAAUUAUUAAUUAUUAAUCCAACUCAAAAGUUAAUUUUUUAUUAUCAAUUAUGAGUUAUGACUCUUCAAUGGCUCAAUCCCAUUUUUCAGCAACCAUACAACUUCAGCUAUUUUAAUCGUAUACUAUUUUCUGUUUUCAAAGCAUUUAGUUAUUUUUCCAUAUUGAAUUAAAUAUUUUAUGUUUUAUAAGCAUUUAGUUAGUUUUCCGUAUCAAAUUAAAUAUUUUCAGUUUUCUAAACAUUUAAUAGACUCUUCAGUUUUGGAAUAUGAAUAGUUAUUUUCAUUUUCUAUAUAUUUACUGUGAAUAAAUUAUUAUUUUUUACUUCUAAUCCUUUUUAUAGUUUUCUCUUGUAUUUGCUUAGCCUUUGUGUUUGCUAAUUACUAAUUUUUAUUUAUUUUUCUUUGCUUCAGAUCUUAUCUUGCAAUUGUGAUCUCUUCCCUUCUCAAUUGCAUCAUCAGCUACAUAAUAGAUAUGAUAUUCAUAUCAUUGGAGUUAUGCUUAGUCAUGAAGAAGGUAAACAUACAUUAAGCCAAUUCACUAGGAAUCUUUUUAGUUUGUUAAGAUGUGUCUCAUUAUUAGGAAUCUUUUUAGUUUGUAUUAAGUUCUAGCUUGUUUGUGAAUAUGGAUUGAUUAUGUUAUAUUUCAUAAUAUUAUUAUAUUUAAACAAUUUAGUUAAUAUUCUCCUAUAAAAUCUACACAUGAAGGAUUCAUAAUCUUGAAUCAAACAAAGAAAGUCGUACAUGCAAUUAUCUAAUACAAAUAAAUAUGAUUUUUGCAAGUGUACCCCGUGAAUUGACAACGAUACAUUAUCCAUCUUAAAGAAGACAUAUGUUAAUCAAUAUUUCUAUAUUAUGAAAUACAAUUUUUAUUCGAAAACAACAUCUUGAUAUGUAUGUGGAUAUAUAUAAUUGUAACAUCCGGCAAUGUGAAAUGGCUAUGGAGAGGCUUAAGAAUUUGAAAUUUGUCAUUUUUGGAUUGAAUUUUGAAAAUCUGGAAAAUUGGCUAAGUGUGGAAAAAUGAGUUUUUGGCCAACUUUGAACAUCCAUAAAUUAUAUCUCAGGAUGAGUUAGCGGAUUUCCAGUUAUGGUUGCAAAGUUCGUGGAACGAUCUUUCCAAUGCCACCAAGUUUGCUCGAUUCCGAGUUCGUAUGAGCGAGUUAUGGCCAUUGAAAGUUGGGCAGCUGGCAGGGAAUCCGUCCGGAAAUUUUAAGGGCAUUUGGGUCUUUUCCCUUGCCAUUUCUUUUGGGAUUAUAUUGUUGUAUUAGGCUGAUCUUUGGAUCAUUUUGUCCCAUUUUGAAAGAGAAAGAGUUAGGGUUCUUGAGAGUGAAGAAGAGAAGAAGAAGAGAUCAACAAGAUUCGCCAAGAUCAUCGUGGAUUAUCGUCGGGGGUGAUCCCUACUAGGUAUGUGAGUUCUUUGUGUGGGUUGAUCCUUUCCCCCACACACCAAGCUCAUGUUUAUGGUUUGAGAAAAGAUUGGUUGAGUUGUUGAAGUUCUUGUUGGUUUGGGACAUGAUUUGGUUGUGUUUUGAGUCGAAAUCUAUUGUAUGUUGAGGGAUUUAUGAUUCUAAGUGUUUGGGGCUGAAAACCUUUUAAGUUAAGAGAGUUGAGAGUUGGUAACGUGAAGGAGAAAAGCCGGGCAGCUUGCAUGGAGCAAGUCUGCGUCGCGGCUUUGUUCCCAGAGGGAACAAAAGCUUCUCCGCGUCGCGGACAGAACGCGAACUUCACUGUUUUCAGAAUUUAAUCUCAUAAAUUUCCUUAAGUUUAGCUGUCCUAAAUCAUUCCUAAAUCAUUCCUAAACACCAUGAGGUCUUUCCAAACACAAAACAUGAUCCUUAAAUCCAUAAUUCCAAUCAAGAAAGUUAGGAUCAAAGUCAAGCCUAGAAGUUAAGAAUUUUAAGUCAAAGCAAGUUUUCAAGUUGUUCAAGAGUCUUCAUUGAAUGUUUUAACUUCAUUGUGAGGCUCAAGUUUCAAGUUAGUUCAAGUUAAGUCAAGCGUUUCGAGUUGAGCAUUGAGUUUCAAGUCAAGUAAAGAGCAUAAGGGUUUAAAGUUGAGUUCAUUUCUCAAAAGUAUUAGGGAACUAAGUAUUCCCAAAGAAGUUUAUAAAUGUUUUCACAUUUAAGUAAGAAAGGAACUAUGAUUUCCAAAAGAGAGCCUUUGGGCUAGUUUUCAAGAAAAAGGAAUAUCGAUUCCAAGAGAGCCUUUGGGCUAAGCUUUGAGUAAUUAUCUCAAAUUAAAGAAAGAUGUGUUUAAAACACUUAUGAGCGAAAGUAUUUUUGGGAGUAUUAUUGAGCACCGAAUUGGGGACACGAGUUCAUAUUAACUCAACUCUCCAUAAGAACCAUGCGCCAACAUGGGAUUUCUCGGGUCAUACUUUUUAGAUAAUCACGAAAGUUAAGCUAGUGGAUCCAUUAAGCAAAGGUAAGGUCCUAUAUCACGGCAAGGUAUAGGAUGGUCCUUGGGUUACGUGAGGUAAAACGUUGUAUCAUCACUAGGGCUCAUAGUGGUGGUUGUCGGUUAAAGAAUCUCCCACAAAAGUUAUAUUACUUUUAUAUAAGUAAAGUUGAGUUUGUUAUUGUUUUAUCAUUAAUGAACUAAGUUGUUUAUACUAUUUUACAAGUUUUAUAUAUUGCAUGUGUCUUAUUGCUUUAUAUAUUGAGUUCAGUUAUGCAUGAGUUGAACAGAGCCAAGGUAGGAGUUCCUUUGUACUAUUUUCAAGCGUAAGUAGUGGUUCAGCUUUCCAGCUCGCAUACUCGUACAUUCCAUGUACUGAUGCCAGUUGGCCUGCAUCUUUUUAUGAUGCAGACGCAGGUACCCAGGAUCAGCAUCCAGUACGUCGUUGAUCCAGUUGAGCACUCCAGAGUCAGUGGUGAGCCUCCUUGCUUUUCGGAGGACUCGGCUAUCUUGUUCUCUUAGUUUUGCUUUAUUAGGAUGUUGCGGGGUCUGUCCCAACAUCCAUCUCAGUAUUAUAGAGGCUUCAUAGACAGUCAGUCAGUUAGUUUUUGAGUCUCUCAUCUAUGUAUAUAUGUAAAUAUUUUAUUUUGAGACUCGAGUUGCCUUUGUGGCCAGAUAUUAUCAAUUGGGUUGUUUUAUAACCUUUCAUUGCAUGGAGUUAUUCUAUUAAGUUAGGUUUCCGCUGAGUUAAGAAAGCCAGGCCAAGGGUUCGCUUGGGGGCCAGCAAUGGUCUUCGAGUGCCGGCCACGUCCAGGGUGUAGACUCGGGGCGUGACAAUAAUUAAGGAGGAGACUAUAGUUUCUUAAAAAUAAGACACAAACUUUAAGAUAUGAAAUAUUUACAAACAUAAUCAACGUUACUUAUGUUUACCUAUAAACUAUAUGUUAUUGAACUAUUAAAAAAAUAAGAGAAGUGUCACACUGAGUAUAAGAUAUUUGAGAACUACAUAAGAAAAAUGUUAAAUCAAUUCAAUUGACUAUUUAUAGCUACAAACAAUUCCCUUUUCUAAAUUUAAUCACUUAUUACUUACAUGUUUUAGCAUCAUCUAUAUCAUUUAAAAAAUUGUACUAAUUAACAUGAGACACACGUCCGAAAACUAGUUUUAAAUAAGGGUAGAAAAAUCUCAACUAUAGCACCACAACUCAUAUAAGUUGUAUUGGAUAUACAAGUGUAGACUAAAAAAUAUAACUAUGCAAGUGCAAAUAUUUUUGAAAAGAACCAAAUAACAAGCAAAAUGCUCUAUUAAUGUAUGGUAUUUGUAUAUUUAAAUUUUGAUGUAUGUCAAUCACUACUUUAUUGAAUGUUUAUUGUUUUUGAGUAUUUUUUUGCUUUGCAGUUUUAAUUGUUGAUCUGAGAAUCUACUGAACAAUAUUAGCCUCCACUAUUGGUGGUUCAAUUUCUUCAAGAGUUGUCAUAUUACCCUUUUUUUCUGAAAAGAUUUUUGGUUUUCUCUGCUUCUUAUGUGUUAUGUGUUAUGUGUUCUUUUAUACUUUCUGCAAUUUCUUGUUAGUUUGUUUUACUAACAUGGAGAAAGGACAUUUUGUAGGGUAGAGAGGUUGUUUCCGAUAGACCCUCACCUUAAGUAAAUAUAGAAAAAAUAAUACCUUAGAGAAAAGGAAAAUGGAACAGAUUCCAAUUCUUCACAAUUCUAAAGCGUAUUCAUGAUAUGUUAGGCCCAAUUAAGCACUACAAUGAGCUGUUGAAAAAUGAACAAGUGCAUAAAGCAAAAGUAGUUAAUAGACAUAAAGCAAAAGAUACCUUCCUCUAUUGCCUCAAUUAGUGGAGUGAUACUUUUUGAAAAGAGAAAAGAGGACAAUAUUGCUUCUUGUAGAUUAGCUAAAACAUAGUUGUACUAAUUAAAGAGAGAGCAAUCACUGAUCCUUCUUGUUUGCAAAUUACUCUUAACAUUCAACAGGUAAAGUAAAGUUCUAUCUUAGUAGUUGAAGCUAGAUAGAAAAUCAUUUUGUGUUUCCUUGCAGAUUUCAGAAAUGGAGAUUGGUUUAACAGUUGGUAGUGCAUUUCUCUCCUCAGCUUUGAAUGUUCUGUUUGAUAGGCUUGCUCCUCAGGGUGAUCUUCUCAACAUGUUUCAGAAGCAUAAGCAUCAUGGUCGGCUCUUAAAGAAGCUGAAAAUGACUUUGCGUGGUCUUCAGAUUGUGCUAAGUGAUGCAGAGAAUAAGCAAGCAUCGAAUCAAUUUGUGAGCCAGUGGCUUAAUGAGCUUCGACAUGCUGUGGACUCUGCUGAAAACUUGAUUGAAAAAGUCAAUUAUGAAGCUUUGAGGCUUAAGGCUGAAGGUAAGCAUCAAAAUCUUGCAGAAACAAGCAACCAUCAAGUAAGUGACCUCAACCUGUGCUUGAGUGAUGAUUUUUUCCUUAACAUAAAGGACAAAUUGGAAGACACUAUUGAAACAUUAAAGGAUCUGCAAGAGCAAAUUGGUGACCUUGGCUUAAAGGAGCAUUUUGGUUCCACGAAACAAGAAACUAGAAGACCUUCAACUUCUUUGGUUGAUGAAUCUGAUAUCUUUGGUAGGCACAAGGAAAAAAAGGAUUUGAUUGACCGUUUAUUGUCUGAAAGUGCAAGUGGAGAAAAGCUGACCAUAGUUCCUAUAGUUGGAAUGGGUGGUGCGGGUAAGACAGCACUAGCUAAAGUUGUUUACAAUGAUGAGAAAGUGAAGAACCAUUUUGGUUUGAAAGCUUGGUAUUGUGUUUCUGAGCCAUAUGAUGCUUUGAGAAUAACAAAAGGGUUACUUCAAGAAAUUGGUUCAUUUGACUUAAAGGAUGAUGACAAAAAUCUUAAUCAGCUACAGGUCAAAUUGAAGAAUAGCCUGACGGGAAAAAAGUUUCUUGUUGUCCUUGAUGAUGUUUGGAAUGAUAACUAUAGUGAAUGGGAUGACCUGAGAAAUCUUUUUGUACAAGGAGAUAUUGGAAGUAAGAUCAUUGUGACGACACGUAAGGAGAAUGUUGCCUUGAUGAUGGGUAGUGGGGCAAUCAACGUGGGGACUCUGUCUGAUGAAGUCUCCUGGGAUCUAUUCAGACGACAUUCACUAGAAAACAGAGAUCCUAAAGAACAUCCAGAACUUGAAGAGGUUGGAAAACAAAUUGCACACAAGUGCAAAGGAUUGCCUUUAGCUCUGAAGGCACUUGCUGGUAUUUUACGCUGCAAAUCAGACGUGGAUGAAUGGAGGGACAUUUUAAAAAGUGAAAUUUGGGAGCUGCCAAGUCAUUUGAAUGGUAUAUUACCAGCGUUGAUGUUGAGUUACAAUGAUCUUCCUGCACAUUUGAAGCAAUGUUUUGCUUUUUGUUCAAUAUAUCCCAAAGAUUAUCCAUUUUGCAAAGACCAAGUUAUUCACCUGUGGAUUGCUAAUGGUCUUGUACAGCAGUUUCAUUCAGGUAACCAAUACUUUCUCGAGCUGAGAUCAAGAUCACUGUUCGAAAUGGUCUCGGAGUCUUCUGAAAGAGACGUAGAGAAAUUCUUAAUGCAUGACCUUGUCAAUGAUUUGGCCCAAGUUGCAUCUUCAAAUCUUUGUAUAAGGUUGGAAGAGAACAAAGGAUCACAUACGUUGGAACAGUGUCGGCACAUAUCCUAUUCAAUAGGACAAUAUGGCGAGUUUGAGAAAUUGAAAUCACUCUUUAAAUCAGAGCAGCUGAGGACAUUACUUGCAAUCAAUAUCCAGCCCCAUUAUUAUCAUAUUAAGCUAAGCAAGAGGGUGUUGCAUAACGUAUUGCCAAGACUAGCAUCCUUAAGGGCAUUAACGUUGUCAAGCUAUGCAAUUGUUGAGUUGCCAAAUGACUUGUUUAUCGAAUUAAAGCUCCUGAGAUUUUUGGAUAUUUCUCGGACAAAGAUUAAAAGGUUGCCAGAUUCCAUUUGUGUGUUGUAUAACUUAGAGACACUUCUCCUAUCAUCUUGUGAUGAUCUUGAAGAUCUACCUCUGCAGAUGGAGAAGUUGAUCAACUUGCAUCACCUUGAGAUAAGCAACACUUGUCGCUUGAAGAUGCCGCUACAUCUGAGCAAGUUGAAAAGCCUCCAAGUGUUAGUGGGAGCCAAGUUUCUUCUAGGUGGUUCGAGAAUGGAAGAUUUGGGGUGAAGCACAUAACUUGCACGGAUCUCUAUCAGUUGUAGAGUUGCAAAAUGUGGUUGAUAGUAGGGAAGCUGUGAAGGCAAAGAUGAGGGAGAAGAAUCAUGUUGACAAGUUAUCUUUGGAGUGGAAUGGAAGUAGUAGUGCCGACAAUUCACAAACUGAAAGAGACAUACUUGAUGAGCUACGCCCACAUAAAAACAUAAAAGAAAUCGAGAUCACCGGAUAUAGAGGGACAACAUUUCCAAAUUGGCUAGCUGAUCCUUCGUUUCUUAAGCUAGUAGAGUUGUCUAUUGAUAACUGCAAGAACUGUUAUUCCUUGCCAGCACUAGGACAACUCCCUUGUUUAAAAUUCCUUUCGAUUAGAAGGAUGCAUGGAAUAACAGAGGUGACGGAAGAAUUCUAUGGUAGUUUGUCCUCCAAAAAGCCUUUUAACUCUCUUGUGGAGCUUAGAUUUGAAGCUAUGCCGGAGUGGAAGCAAUGGCACCUACUAGGAAGUGGAGAGUUUCCUACACUUGAGAAGCUUUUGAUUAAAAAUUGCCCUGAAGUCAGUUUGGAGACACCCAUCCAACUUUCAAGUUUAAAAAGUUUUGAAGUUAUUGGUUCUCCAAAGGUUGGAGUUGUUUUUUAUGAUGCUGAGCUGUUUAGAUCCCAACUUGAGGGAAUGAAGGAGAUUGAGGAAUUAGAUAUUAAGGAUUGUAACUCUGUUACCUUCUUACCUUUUAGCAUACUGCCAACUACCUUGAACACAAUAAGGAUAUCUUAUUGCGACAACCUUACUACGGUUUUGAUUCCUACUACGACUGAAAAACUUCCGGUUGCAUGGUGGGGGGGGGGGGGCCGAGAUGACGUAUUUGCAUAUUUGGGAGUGUAAGAAGCUGAAGUGUCUGCCAGAACGUAUGCAGGAACUCUUUCCAUCUCUUAAGAUACUGUAUCUGAUUAAUUGUCCAGAAAUAGAGUCCUUUCCUGAAGGAGGAUUGCCCUUCAAUUUACAAGUCCUUUCUAUCAGCAAGUGCAAGAAACUGGUGAACGGCCGAAAGGAGUGGCGACUCCCCUGUCUCAGAGAAUUAAGCAUCUACCAUGAUGGCAGUGACGAAGAGAUUGAACAUUGGGAGUUGCCUUCCUCUAUUCAUUCACUUGGUAUAGACAAUCUGAAAACAUUAAGCAGCCAACAUCUCAAAAGCCUCACCUCUCUUCAAUAUCUAUCUAUUCAGGGUAAUUUACCUCAAAUUCAGUCAAUGCUGGAACAAUGCCAGUUUUCCUCCUUUUCGCGCCUCACUUCGCUUCAAACUCUACAAAUCGUGAAUUUCCCUAAUCUCCAAUUAAUUUCCGAAUCAGCACUGCCCUCCUCCCUCUCUCAGCUGGAGAUCUACCAUUGCCCUAAUCUCCAAUCUCUUCCAGUAAAAGGGAUGCCCUCUUCCUUCUCUAAACUAUAUAUUCACAGCUGUCCAUUGCUCACACCACUACUAGAAGUUAACAAGGGGGAAUACUGGCCAGAAAUUGCUCAUAUCCCCACCAUACAGAUCAAUGAUGAAUGCCUUUAAUGAUUAAAACAAAUGUAAGUUCCCUUUGUUUCUUUUACUCUUUUGAAAUUUUGUUGAGCAGUGUGGAACGUCUAUUGCUGCUCAAAUCAUAAAUGUUGAUUGGGAAAACCUGUAAUGAUUAAAACGAGUGUUGCUCUCAUAGAUGUAAGUUAUGUAGAGAAUAGCAGAAGAAAAGUAUAAUCGGGAAACCUUCUGCUAGCCCAAGAUCGUUGAGGAAGAUAGAAAGGAGAAGAAAUAUUUUGAAUAAGAAAACUUUGUUAUAUAAGAAGACUCUUUGAUUUUGGUUGUUCUUGGGUUGUUUACAAAUGUACAAUACCAUCCCUUAUUUAUAUUUAUAUAUGGAUGAUUCCAUAAUUCUCUACAAAUAUCUAAUUCCUCUACAAGAAAAAUCUUGUGAACUUCAUCUUCUAGAUAUCUUGAUAUUUCUUUAAGAUAAUUAUCCUAGGUACUAUCCUAGACUAUUCUAGAAACAUUACUAGAACGACCUAUCAUAUUCCAAAAAAUCAACUUUAACUUUUUCACAAGUUAUUCUAUUUCUUUAGUAUAUUUUGAUGGUUUGUUAAUUCUUUUUGACCAGUGUGUACCAUCUAUUGCUUCUGUGAAGUCAACGGAAUAUCUUUAGAUCAGGAUGAAAUCUUUAUAUUAUAUUUGUAAAAGAAAUCUAGUAUUGAGAUAAUUUGCUCAAGAAAAUUGAUUGCUUAGUAUAUGUUAGCAGGAUGUUAUCACCUUUGGAGAAAAAGGGUCCAAGAAAUGCAACCUCUUUCUCAAUUAGGUAGCCAGCACCUUGAUAAAAGUUACAUCAAGCUUCAAAUUUAAAGAUAUUGAAAACAACUUUGAAUAUCUGCUUCCAUUAUUUUACGCCAUGUUGUACCACAUUGAUGUCAAGUUUGAUGCCACUGCAUUAUUACAUCAGUUUUUUUGUUUUGUUUUGAUAUUCAAAUAUCCAGAAUAUUACAUCAGUUUUUUGGUUUUGAUAUUCAGAUAACUUUGAAGAUUAUGAAGUUUCCUUCAAAUUAUGUCUAUUACUCAACCUCGAGUGACACCUCAGAGCUAGCAGCAAGUCAAGGAAGUAUAUAUCCUGCUCGAGAUGAUUCAAGGUUAGAUAACAAAAUAAUAAUUUAUUUGUGUUUCAGUUACCAAGAUGCUUAUUUUGUAGUAAUGCUUAUAUCACUAGGUCUUUGGCACCGCUCUUCGUUUCUAUGUCUACACAUCAGUGAUUGCCCUAAUCUCCAAUCACUUUCCGAAUCAGCACUGCCCUCCUCGAUCCCUCUCUGAGCUGACCAUCGAUGAUUGCCCAUAAUCUCCAAUCCGUUCCAGUAAGAGGGAUGCCCUCUACCCUCUCUGCACUAUUUAUUUCCAACUGCUCAUUCCACAACCCACUUCUAAAAUUUGACAAGGGGGAAUAUUGGCCAGAAAUUGCUCAUAUUCCACCAUAGAGAUCGAUGAGGAAUGCCUUCAAUGAUUAAAACGAAUGGUGCUCUCACAAAUGUAAGGUUUUCUUUUUCCUCAUAAGCUUUCUAUUUUUGUUUACUUCCCUUUGCUUUUUUGUCAACUCUUUUACUUUUUUGAAAUCUUGUUGAGCUGAGAAAUCAUCAACACUGUAAAACGAAAUCUAGUAUAGAUAGGAACUAAAAUAAUUUGCUCCACAAAAUUGAUAGCUUAGUGUAAUAUUGGUGAACAUGUAUGUUAUCAAUCUUCAUCUCAAUAGCAAAUUCAUGUAUACUUGUUCUUUCUCUUUUCAGUGAGUUUAGAGUUAUUCAAUAUCGAAUUCAAAGCUCUAAUAGAAUUCAAAGGUGUACCAUACACAAGGUUUGUUUCCUAUGUAUCAAAAAUUCAAAUGCUUGCCUCGGAAUAAAUUUAACAACUAAAAGCAUCAAGCACUAUUCAGGUUUUUAUUAAUGAUUAUCGGAUAUCAACUAAGCAAACUUUUUUCCUUUGUCAGGAAUUUGGUAACAAUAUAUGUAAGUAGUUACCUCUCUAGCUCGAUCAGUUGGUAAAAGGAAAGUUCUGCUGCACUUCUCUACUGAACGGAUAGUCACUUGAAUGGGUAUUGGAUUGGUUUCUCAUUUCUGGUUGGUUUAUACUCAAGACAUCAUAUGUAGCUUGUGCAACCAUGGGAAUGUGUAAUUACGAGGAGACAAUGGCCACCGCCACAUCUGUUUGUUGGGAUAUAAAAAGAACGUGUCUAAGGUAUGGAGAAACUCUUACAAGAUUAUGUUACAUCAGUAUGAAUGUUGGAUGGUUUAAAGGUGGUCCUGACAUUUCUUUUCCCAGAACUUCUCCUUAAUUUCUUGUGCUGGAAGGUCUGUAAUUGUAAUACGCGGAUUGGCUAAGAAUUCUAACGUGUCUUUUUAAUUGCUUUCAGUAAGGAGGUUGUAAUUUCCAAGUCGUACAGCCGCUACCUUGGCUUUUUUGAGAUGAAGCAUGACUUGCUGCAAAUGGAACAUCAGCUCUAAUGAAACCCAAAGGUACAUGAGAAAAAAAGUUGUUUAACGUAACACACAAGAAACAUACUGUACAUUUUGGUCAUAGAUUAGAAGGAAAUAUAUUACUUUUUCAUUGUUAGGAUUUUGACAAGGCUCAACAAUUAUUUGGGAAGUGAAAAAGUUUCGAAGGUCUCUCUGCUCAAGUCGAGAAGGGGAAGUUGUUGAAUCUUUAUGUGGUAUCUAUUCACAUGUUGGAUUGAGCAUCAGGACUAUGGAUGUAAUAUCUUGUAUGGUUCACUUUGGACUAGGCACACACAACUUUAAAACGUGUCACAAGGGCCUAAAGGGUCGCUUCUUUAUACACCGGGGUCAAAUCCCUUUGGUUUUUUCAUAUGUUUUCUUCUUUAUAUUUUGACUCCCCUCUAGAAAAAUUAUGGCUCCGCCAUUGCCCUCGUGUAGGUUUUGUUCUAUCUCGUCCUUAUGGCUUACAACAUAAAAACAAUCCCUCUAAAACUAAUUCAGAGCAAGAUCAGACCGCACACGGGGACUAUCGCCUAUAAAAUACCAAAACAUUUACAAAUGCAUACCAAAUGCCAUAACAUCAAAAAAAUCGAUUUGAUAAUUCUGUAUCUGUCAUACCAUGUUACCCCUAUUUCAUUCUAAAACAAGAGUCCAUUGAUACCAAGAGACACUGAAAGAAAUAGUCUUAUUUCAUAACUUGAUCUAAAACUUCGCGACUGACCUCAACUUGUUUGGGACUGAGGAGUAGUUAUUGCUAUAUCUAAAACUCAUCGACUACAGUACGAUCAAAGUAGCAACCAGUAGGUCCUCCAUCAGGCAAAAGAGCUAGCAUGACAGGUCCUUCAGCUCCUUCCUCAACAGGCAUUGUUCCUGUAUGCCAGGUUAUAUCCGUGUUGACGAAUCCAGGAUGGACACAAUUGAUGCAUAUUUUUGGGUACUUUCUUGCAAGAAUUUGAGUGUAAGCAUUGAGUGAUACUUUUGAUACGCUGUAUGCUGGUAGCAUCAUCUGCCAAUGGUUCACCUCGAGAGAGUCUUGUUUCAGAUCAUAUAAAAAUUUAUGCAGAAUCUCAUCAAUUUUAUCUUCUGUCAGGUUUUCAAUAUCUCCGAGCUCCUUUCUCCUCUCCUCGUUUGGCAUUCGCUGUGUGAGAAUCAAAAAAUCAACAAGAAUUAUGAAAUGUUCAGAAACAACGAGAAUGAUUGUCUUUCUUACUUUUAAAGCUCCUCUACGGGAGGAGACAUUAACAAUCCUUGGUGAAGGGGAAUUUUGCAGCAGUGGAAGAAGAGCUUCAGUAACAUUCUUAACACCAUAGUAAUUAGUGUCCAAGCAUAAUUUGGCACUCUCAUACGUUGUUUUCAUCACAACUCGAAUGUCAUCGAAAGUUUUCCCUGGUAACUGUUUACAAUAACAAACAAUUACGCCUCAGUCUCAAACAAGUUAGGGUCGGACAUAUAAACUAACACUCAAAAACUUGGCAUCAAUAUACAAGUAAGCACUUCAACUCAUCCCACUAUGUCUUGUGGACACUAGAUUUGACGCGUCACAUAAAUUUUGGACGUGUCCAGAUGUGCAUACUCAAAGUUGGAGUGCAUACUUGCCGGUUGAGGCCAAGUUUGAGUAUCUCUCAGAGCAAAGAUCAGACCACACACAGGGACUAUCGCCUACCUCAAAGCUUGGGGACGGAAAUUUUCAAUUAGAUAUGAAAUCAACAACAACAACAUAUCCAGUGUAGUCCCACAAAUAGAUAUGAGAUUGAAUCACAUUAUAAAACAAGACCUAAGCAUUGAGCAUAUUAUCUUACCCAGUCUAGUGGUCUACAAGAUCCAUGUUCAUGGCCCUUAGGACAUCUUCAUCAGGUACCAUUCCAGAAGCUCCAGCAUUAUUUACGUGCAGAAAUUUAUUCAGCAACUGUCCAAUAUUUGCCUCGAGAUUGAAUAAGGAGCAAUACAUAGAUUCAUGCUCUUACCAGAAUAUCAAGCCUCCCAUAUUGUGUUUGUAUGAACUUUGCUAAGGACUCAAUGCUCUGAGCAUCUUGAACAUCAAGCUGAUGAAACACAGCAUUCGAAAAUCCUUGUUCAUUCAGCAAGGAUGUUGCUUCAGUUCCUCUCUUUUCGUCUCUGGCUGUUAAGACAACCGUUACACCUGAAUUCGCGAGCUGCUUAAUAGUCUCGAAGCCAAUUCCCUUGUUUGCUCCUGUAACCACUGCAUACUUACAAGCAUCUCCCAUCACUUAAGUCCAAUUUUUCUAACCUGUAAUCCUUUUGAAUCCUGUUGGGAGAAGAAGAAAAAAGAACACUAUUUCAAACGAACUAACGCGAUAGGAAGAAAGAGGUAUGUAGAGACUAAUAGUCCAACUGUUGAAAUAACAACCUCGGGGAUGUAGUUCCGAAAAAGAGAAAUAAUGGAAGUACAAGAAACAACAGAUAAUAACAAAAACAACAUAUAGUUAUAACAUAACAUAAACUACAACAAAAUAAUACAAUGAUCGAGCUAGGUACAAGAAACAAUAGAUAUCAACUAACUCUAUCUACCGAGGCUUGAACAGAUGGAAAGAAUCACUUGAUCUAAACAGUGUUAAGCAGCAACAUCAAAGUAAACAAUCAAGACCAAAAAUCAAAAUCCCAUUUCAAAGAUAAAAUAUAUUGACUUACCUGUAAAUGGAGAGUAUAGGGCUAAUACUAGUGCUACAAGUAAAAAAAAAUCAACAAUCUACUAUUUAAUAAGUAAAAAUUUGGUAAAAAAAAUAUGUUUUCAUGGGUAUUAUUGUCUAACACUUUAAACUACCUUUUUUUAUGGUAGGCAAACCCAUGUGAUCCUCUAACUGGUAACUCCUUUAUAUAGUAUCAUUAUUCAUUUCAGUUUGAAUGCAUUUCUAUGGCAAUGUUGUCAUUUUUUACUGGCAUUAUUAAAUGUUAUGAAUUACUGGCAUUUGCUAUUAAUGAUGGUAAUUUCUCCGUCCGUUCACUUUUACUUGUCACAUUUGGAUUUGAUACGCCCAUUAACACCUUGAUGAAUGGUUGGUACCUGUUGUAUUGUAUUGAUAGUUUAGAUAUAACAUUUGUUUUGAUUGUUACUUAAAUUUCAUUGUAUCAUAUCAUUUAAAUCCAUCAUUAGGUAACGACGAACAAUAUGGUGUGAUCUCACCGUUACCUUAAUAUUUUCUUCUUAUUUUAUCCUUUAACUACCUAUCUUUUAAUAGUAGCUUUAUUCCGUAUCCUACUUUUUCUUUUAGAUUUAUCAUUCAAAUUGUUGAUGUGAUAGAGAACAAUACAAUCUAUCCAAAUGUUGUACUCUUUAAAACAUUACAGUAUGAUAUAAUACAACACAUUACUUGAUUAUUUUAUCCUUUGCUUCCCUCAUUGUUUCAAUUACUAAUUCAACCAGUAGAACACCAAGCUCAGAAAUUCAACCAAAAUGCCAAGAGACACUGAAAGAAAUAGUCUUAUUUCACGACUUGAUCUAAAACAUCGUAACUGACCCCAACUUAUUUGGGACUGAGGCGUAGUUAUUGUUGUAUCUAAAACUCGUCGACUACUGUACGAUCAAAGUAGCAACCAGUAGGUCCUCCAUCAGGCAAAAGAGCUAGCAUGACAGAUCCUUCAGCUCCUUCUUCGACAGGCAUUGUUCCUGUAUGCCAGUUUAUAUCCGUGUUGACGUAUCCAGGAUGGACACAAUUGAUACACAUUUUCGGGUACUUUCUUGCAAGAAUUCGAGUGUAAGCAUUGAGUGAGACUUUUGAUAUGCUAUAUGCUGGUAGCAUCAUCUGCCAACCAUUCACCUCG